GAGGAAAAUUAGCGCUCUGAGCCCAAACGCUACCGUCAUGGCCGAUAAUAGCGGCAGAGGUGAGGUGGUGACCUUGGCCGUCACCGACAUCGCACAUCAAAUGCUCAUCAACGUAAGUUUGCCACGACAUUAUCUCGAUCUCUUUCUUGUUCUUCCUUUUUCUCUACCCGGUUCGUUUUUUAAGCUAUUUACGUAUGUACGUGCAAUGCAAUUCAACUCUGUGAGGACUUCGUCGUCUCUCGAUAAAUAGGGACCUAACAAGAAUGUCGCAAGAUGAAUCUGAACCGUUAGACUCAAAAGACAUAUUCUUAGCUCCAAAUAAAAUUUUAAUUAAUUCUGCUCACGUCUCGCCUUUGUUCUAGGUUAAUCAAUAACUCCAUUCACGCCAAGUGUCCUUGUCAAUUUCCUCCUAUUUAUAACGAACAAGAAGGAUUUAAGGAAACGAUUAGGACCAUGAUUUUGUAAUAGUGCCCUCUUGAACAACCUCUUUUGAGUAUUAAUUUGACAUAGAGAAUGUUUUACUUUUGAGUUAGUCUUUUAUUAUAUUUGUAUACUUCAAGUUCUUGAUAUUUCAACAAUUAGCUAAAUCUCAAAACAAGACCUACCAUUUGUUAAAAGCCUUAAAACCAAUAAAAACAAAAACAAAUUUGCCAAUAGGUUUAAACAAUAGAAACGGUAAUGUUACGUCCUUCCUUCUAAUAAACCAUUAGCUAGUGGAAUGGUUACUGCAUUAAAAGAAAGUUGUAGUCACAUGACACUACAAGAAAACAGCAAGGAUUCUGAGGGAAAAAAUCGUCGGAAUUUCGUCGGAAUACCGUUAUUCCGACGACAUACCGACGAAACAAGUCGUCGGAAAUAAUUCCUCGGAAUUUCUUCUUUCCUCGGAAAUCCCUCGGAAUUUUCCAACGGAAUUCCGAGGAAACAAAUUUCCGAGGAAAUUCCGAGGACCAUUAUUUUGUCGGAAAUGUCCUCGGAAUAUACCGAGGGAGAACUUCGUCGGGAUAUUUCCUCGGACGUUCAUCGAUCGAUGCGUUUUGGACAUAUAUACAUCGAUCGAUAGGAGUAUACCGACGGAAAUAUUCCUCGGAAUAUUCCGAGGAAGAUGUCCCUCGGUAUAUUCCGAGGAACACGUUCCUCGGUAUAUUCUGAGGAACAUGUCCCUCGGUAUAUUCCGAACGUUUUUUUUGUAAACAGAUCGAUCGAUGGAUUUAUGUCCAAAAACGCAUCGAUCGAUCGCGUAAAAAAUAUAAUUAAUUUCCUCGGAAUGUAAAAAAUAUUAUUUUUUUAAAAAAAAUAAAAUUUCUGAAAUUUAAAUUCGAAAAUAUGAAAUUAAAAUUAAAAUUGAAAUCAUAUUAAUUAAUAUUCAAAGUUUCACAAAUAAAAAUAAAACAUUCUGAGUUUUUGGAAAAAAAAAUAAUAAUCUACGGGUCUGGCACGUCCGGGAACACCUCGUUCGGGUACAUCCUCUGCAUCAUCUCCAUCAUUUGCUGGUUCAGCCUCCUCUGUGCCUCAUAGCCCGCCUGUUGAGCCGCCAUCUGGGUCUCCAACAAAGAUAUACGAUCAUCUUUGUCCUUCAACUGAGCCGUAAGUACUUCUGGAUCAACAAAGGGCGGUGGUGCAGAAGAAGGAGGAACCGACCGGGUGCGACGACCCAAACCGACCAAACGUCCCUUCUUCUUUGGAACCGACUGAAUAGAAAAUAGCCAAAUUUACAAAUUUAAACCAAAAAAUAAAUGAAUUGAACUUAAAAAAAAAGAACUUACGGAUUCAACGAUUUCGUUGAUUCGAAACCGAGACAAGUUGGUCGAAGCCGUCGAAGCGUCAUCCUCGGUUUGAAGCUGAGACACUUCGUCUACCACCUGAGUUUGGACCAGGUCGACCACGUCCCUCACAAGACCGUCAUCAAUCUGGCCGGUCUUCUUGUUGGUAUACGCCCUCCUCAUUAGGGCGAGAUCAUCAACCGGCUCGCCAUCAUUUUCUUCCGCCUUGAAAAAAAACAUAAAUUAAAGAAACAUUAGAAAUUAGAAGAAAUGCACAAUAAAUUAAAAUUCUGAAACUCAAAUAAUUGAAGAAAAAACGUUUGAACUUACCAUGCGAUCUCUCAGAGUGGCAAUAGAUUGAGCACCCAAGUUAUGCUUGUAGAUGCCCUUCCCUUUACAGUCGCUCCUGCGGUUGGUGGAGUUGGUGGAAGAAGUUUCUUUUGUCUCUUCCUUAUCCCAAUGCGCACACAACUCCUUCCAGACCGUGUCGUUCAUCGACUUUGGUACCUUUUAAUAAAAAAAAAAUAGUUUAUUAAAUUUAAAAAUAGUUUAAUAAAUUAAAAAAUUGUUUAAUAAAUUAAAUCGAACCUUAUUGAUUUCCCACUUUUUCUUCCACUCGUGGAUCUGCUUCCUAUAGUUGUCCAUAACUUUAUGGACGAAGUGGUGAUAGAUAAAGAGCGUCUCAUCGGAAUUCCAGUUGAACUCUUGCUGAAAAAAAAACACAAUUAGUAAAAAAAUUAUAUUAAAGAUUAAAAAUAUAAGUAAAAAAUUAGAAUACUUACCGCAAACUGACGAAACCACAGAACCUGCUUUUCGGUAGGGAAGUGAGUGAAAGUCGGAUGUCCCUUGUCGAGGGCCGAGUACAUCAUACGGUUGAUCCAUGCGCUGAUCCCGUUCCCGGAUCGGUUGAACCUAAUAAAUAGAACAAACGGUUAAUAAUGAAUCAAAAUUUAAAGAAAAAAAAUGUUUAAUUACCAUGUUUGACCAUGUCCAUGUGGAUACGGAGUGAGAUACGGAAGAUGGUCACGACCGGGCUGUUGAACCAACUCCGCAACACUCAUCACUCCUGGAGGACCCGGAGGAGGAGGAGCGGGUGCAGCAGCGGGAGCGAGAGGAGCAGGAGCGGGUGCAGCAGAGGGAGAUGUAUGGUAGGAGCUGUGGGGCGAAGGGGAAUCCUGAAAAUAUAUUAAAUAAAUACAGAAAUAUAUAAAUUAUUUUUUUUUUAAAGUCUCAAAUAAUUUAAUCAAAAAAUAUUUUUAAAUCCCAAAUAAUAGUUUUUAAUCACAAAAAAGUUGUAUAGAUAUUAAAAAAUGUUUUGUAAAAUCCAAAAAAUCGAAUUUAUAUACAAAAAAGAUUUUGUAAAAUCCAAAAAAUCGAAUUUAUAUAGAAAAAUCGUUUUGUAAAAUAAAAAAAUCAAUUUUAUAUACUAAAAUCAAUUUUAUAAAUACAAAAAAAUAAAAAAAUUAUAAAAAAAUUAUAAAUCAAUUCAACAAAACAAAUUAUUCAACCAAAUCACAAUUCUAAACAUAUUAUACAACCAAAAAUCACAGUCCUAACCAAUCACCUUAACAAAAAUCUAUCAAAACUCCACAAAAACCUAACAAAUAGAACCUAAGAGAGUGGGAUAGGGUCCUUACAUGAUUUGUGUAAGAAAAGUGGGAGAUCGCCGGAGAUAUCGUCGGAUUUCAGGGGGAAAUCGCCGGAGAAAAAAGAGAGGAGUCGCGCAGAGGAAGAAGAGAGAAAUGGGGAAGAAGAAGUGGCUCGUGGUUAUAAAACCUAGGGUCCGACGGAUAUUUUCCGUCGGAAUUCUAAUUUCAAUUUUCGCGAAAUAUUUGCCCGGUAAAAUGAAAAUUUAUGCCGAGGAAAUUCCGACGGAUAGUAAAGUAUCCGUCGGAAUUUCCUCGGAAUAUUCCGAGGAAAUACCGAGGAACUAGUGUUUGGGGUUUCAAAACAUCAAUUUUUUUUGGGGUUUUUCAUUUCUUAUACAAUUGUAAUAUAUACCAUUGAGGAUUCUUUGUAUAGAUUAGCAUAAACCAUGAAAUAACAAAUUUCAAAACUAAUUGAAAGUAUUCCCUAUACCGUUCAUUAAAACGUAUAAGUGUUUCUCUUAUGUUGUGGGAUUUCGUUCAUACAAUCGGAAAAGUGUUAAUUAAGGGGUAAGGAACAAAUUUUAGACUUCAUAAUUAACGUAAGACACUUAAUAAGGGUUAUAUAGGUGUUAUUCAAACCGCAAAACGUUGUUUUCGGUUUAAAACCCCUAUUUCCUCGGAAUUUCCUCAGACUAUUCCGAGGGAAUUCCGAGGAAACCCUUUUCUUCCUCGUAAUUCCGUCGGAAUAUUCUGAGGAAAUUCCGAGGAACUAGUGUUUGGGGUUUCAAUCUUGUAUGUUUUUUUAUAAACGAAUCGCUCGAUGUGUUUUUGAAAAAAAAAUACAUCGAUCGAUCACCAGAUGGACGAAAGCCGUAAGAAUGUGAUCGAUCGAUCAGAUUAUAUAAUCGCUCGAUUGAACAAAAUCUCAAACCUUCCUCGGAAUAUCCUCGGAAAACGGAUCGAUCGAUGCAUUUGUGUAAAAAAACACAUCGAUCGAUCACCAGAUGGACGAAAGCCGUAAGAAUGUGAUCGAUCGAUCAGAUUAUAUUAUCGAUCGAUUUAACAAAAUCUCAAACCUUCCUCGGAAUAUCCUCGGAAAACGGAUCGAUCGAUGCGUUUGUGUAAAAAAUCGCAUCGAUCGAUCACCAGAUGGACGAAAGCCGUAAGAAUGUAAUCGAUCGAUUGGAUUAUACGAUCGAUCGAUCGAACAAAAUCUGAAGCCUUCCUCGGAAUAGCCUCGGAAAAUCUUGUAUCUUUUGUUAUAAACCGAUCGAUCGAUGCGUUUAUAUAACAAAACGCAUCGAUCGAUGCGUGUGCGAACAGAAUUAUUAGGCAAAACCCGAAUUUUUUGGAUCUAAACCUCAGAACUCUCAUCCCCUCCGAUUUCCCCUAUAAUUCGACCCCCUUUUUCUCUCUCUAUAAUCAUCCGAUUUGAACAAUUUUGGGCUCUAUUCCCCUUGAUUUAUCGAGCUCUACCUGAUUCCUACACUCGUUUUCACCCUAAGACAGGUAUACUCCGCGAAUCUCCACAUUCUCAAAUCGUGUUCUUGAGCAAUUUUUUGGGUUUUGUGAAUUUCUUAUUUCCGUGUUGAUUCCUUGAUCAAAUAAGUAUGAAACAGAUGUUUAAACACCAAAUAGAACACAAUUGUCUGUGAUCAACGAGUUUGGAACCGGAUUUGAGAUGAUUUAGGGAUUGAGAAUUUUUUUCAAUUUGGUUUUUAUUUAUCACAACUCGCUUGUUUUUUAUCAAAACAUAUACUGCAUACUCACUUGUUUCAAAGAUUCUAUUUUGUAGAGAAUGAACCGUCCGAAAACAUCAGCAAAGAAGAACACACAAGAAGAGGGUUCGUCUCAGCGAGAGAAGCAAAGGCCAAAGAACUGGGAUAAGUCUGAUACCACCCACUACAACAACAUGAAGAAGGUAGCCGUUCCGGCUACACAACUAGCAUGUCCUGAGACGAUGACAAUAUUGGGAAUCAAAUCAGACAUUGAAGGGCUGUUCCAGAACAUGGGUCUAGGCCAACUAUGCAACCUCAACGAACCCACUUAUCCGGAGUUGGUACGCCAGUUCAUAGCAUCCGCAUACGUCAGCCAUCCCGAUGAUAGCCAUCAGGAAGGUUUUUUGGCAUUCGUAGUGCAGAAAAAAUACUUUGAGGUAUCUUUCACAGACCUCUGUGGAUUAUUUGGAUUGAGUGCAGGGGAGAGGACAUCUGGUCUUUAUUGGACUUCAGAGCUGUUAAACUUCUGGGAAACGAUUGGCACAGGGGUUUAUAGAUCUUCUCAGGCAAAGGAGUCACUUAUCCGGAGCCCAGUACUGAGAUAUGCCACACGCCUCAUUGGCUCAUUGCUAUACGGGACAACCACAGCCGCAUCAGUCACGUAAUGGGAGUUGUGCCUCCUGUACCAAGGUGUGAGGCAUUUGCUACCGGCAUUUGGAAGCUCUACAUUCCCACCUGCUACUGCCUUCAACAUGGGAGCGGUGCUGGCCGCAAACUUAGCAGGAUACAAGGGGAAAGUAACCAAAUCCAAGAGCCGUGCAUGUGGAUUUGGUGCAGUGAUUACUCGGAUCCUUACACAUGUGGGUGUAGACUGCGAGAACCAUCAGGUAGCACUGGACAGAUCGAACAAAAUUGCUUGGAACUACCUGGAUGUCAAAAAUCUAGUAAGUAAAGAGUUCAUAGCUGGUCCCCACUCGAGGAUCCAUCGGGAUGGUCCUUACGUCUACGUAUUCCAGGACCGAGCGAAGAAAACACUCUACUGCCACCUGCCUCAGAUCGGCCUGACUGCUCUACUUUCAGACGCUGCAGUUGAGUUCCUACCCCCUGCUACCGCACUAGUAGACAAGCCAUCCUUCUUCACGCCAAAAUAUCAGACCAAAGGCAAGGCUGUGGAUGAUGAAGAAGGAGAAGAUGAGGCUGCACAAGCCAUUCCAGAUGAUUCACAACCCCAUCAGCUACUCCCAUCAGACUCCAGCCAGUACAAGCUGCAAGAGCUUCCACCGAACGCCACUUCGCGCCAGCAACAACAUUGGAGAGAUCAGAGCAUAAAGACAAACAACGACAUGCUACACAAGAUCUGGGCUGCCAUUUCACGUAUCAGGCCGUGUCGUUGCCAAAAGGAUGAUGUAGUUCAUCGGGACAACUCUCCAUCCAGCUCUGGUUCGGGUUCGAGUGGUACACACAGGGUAAGAAAGAGGUCUAAGAGAGCCAAAGAUGCAGGAACAUCUGGAGCAGGAGACGAGGAGUAGGAGCUAUGUUUUUUUUUCGGUUAAUUUUGAACUUAGUUUUUUAUUUUUUUUUUUUCUUAAUUAUGAGUUCCUAUAUCUUUUACAUGGUUUCUUCGUUUUAUUUGGUUGUGUUUUGAGUAGUUUUUAAUUCGUAUUCAGCUUUGCCUUGCUAGAUAAACCAAAUAACUUAUAUCCGAGGAAAGAGGUUAUAUCAAGUGUUCCUCGGAAUUUCCUCGGUAUUUCUUUAAAAAAAAAAAAAAAUCAAUGGUAUUCUGUUUCCGAGUCAUCAUCACUAGAUGAAUCUGAAUCUGGAUCUUGGUGAAACUCUCCAAUCACUGGUUCAUCCUCUACGUGAACGACGGCUUCCUCUCCGAAGUCGGUUAAAUCGACUACAAGACCAACUCCAGCUAAAUCUUCUGCUGCACUUAAGUUGCCGGAUGUGCUUGGUUGUAGUGGGUCUUCCAGCUCAGAACUUCCCUGAACUCGGCCUCUCGGGUUGAGUCUUGUAACAGUAACCCAUGGAUCAUCUCUGUUCCUUACCCGGGGGUACUUGAUAUAACAAACCUGUAACAUUUAGAAAAAUUAUAAAUUAAUACACAUGAUGAUGAAUCAUUCUGAAUAAUUAACAUUUAAUUACCUGAUCGGUUUGAGAAGCAAGAAUGAAAGGAUCAUAAUAUUGCAGCUUUCGCCUCGAAUUUACUGAUGUAACACCAAAUGCAUCUGUUCUCACACCUCGAUCUGGAGUGUUGUCGUGCCAAUCACAAUAGAAAACAGUACAGCGCAAUCCAACCAUGCCCAAAUACUUGAUUUCCAAAAUCUCAUGUAUGUGUCCGUAGUAUACAUCAUCUCCUGAUGCAGAACAAACGCCAUCAUCAUAAGUCGUACUCGAACGUCUCCUCUUCUGAGUUGUGAAUGCAUAUCCUCGAGUACAAAAUCUCGGAUAUGACUUCACAACAAAGUUUGGUCCAACGACCAUCUCGCGUAUCCAAUCGUCAAAUGUUUCACCUCUGGCCAAACCAGCAGACACCUAUUAAUAGCACAUAUAUAUGUUAUAUCAAUAAAUGUGAAUUAGUAUAAAUAUGUGAUAAAUGAUAUUUUAAUUUGUUUAAAGCACUCACAUAAAUAAACAUCCAUCUAGCAAAAUCUCUCUGCUUCAUUUCUUCUAGUUCAUCCUCUGUGGCGUAUCUAUAUUCGAACCGCUUUUCUGCCAUGAAAAUCCUGUACAUAUGAUGACAAUAAUGUAAUUAAUUAAGAUUUAAAUUUCAACUUGUUAAAAUAAAAAUUUGUAAGCUAAUUUAUUUACCUCUCAUAUUGAAGAACAUCUUCGCAGUUGGUGAGCAAAUAUGUUUGCAAAUGACUGCGCUCCUGCUCAGUAAGUCGACGGUCCUUUGGUUUUCUGCUAAGUCGCCCAACGUCUGUGAAAAAGUCUGGAACCGUAACAGGAUAUGUUGCCCGUUCGCCUCUAUCAUCAUGCCGAGCAGGUCUUCUGUUUUUGGUCUGAACUUCUGCUGGAAAGUAAUACUCGGUAAAGUUUGAAGUUUCUUCAUUGAUCAUCUGUGCGACUAUAGAACCUUCCACCCUACUUAAAUUUUUCACCAUCUUCUUCAAAUGGAACAUAUACCGCUCAUACAGAUACAUCCAUCUAUACUGCACAGGACCACCAAGUUCCAAUUCUCUAGCCAGGUGAAUAACAAGAUGCUCCAUAACAUCAAAAAAUGAAGGAGGAAAUAUCUUCUCUAGGUUGCACUGAAUCACGGCUAUGUUAGUCUUCAAAUUUUCAAUACCUUCAAGAGUCACUGAUCUCGUGCAUAAAUCGCGGAAGAAACCACUUAUCCCUGCAAUUGCUUCAUGAACAUUUCGUGGUAAUAGUUCCUUGAAGGCAAACAGAAGGAGGCGCUGCAUCAUUACAUGGCAAUCGUGGCUUUUCAAGCCAGUAAACUUUCCUUCCUUUCUGUCGAUACAGUUACGCAAAUUAGAUGCGUAACCGUCUGGAAAUUCUACAUCGUUUGAAAUCCAAUCAAAGAACGCAUCUUUUCCCUCUGCAUCAAGUCGGUAUAUGGGAAAAGGAGCCCUACCAUUCUCAUCAACAUGAAGUUCUGAACGAGCGCAUAUAUCGACUAAAUCCUGUCUUGACUUCAAAUUAUCCUUUGUUUUACCUUGAACAUUAAGGAUCGUGUUCAUGAGAUUGUCAAAAAAGUUCUUCUCAAUAUGCAUGACAUCUAAAUUAUGCCUUAGCAGAUGAUCCUCUCAGUAUGGCAAAUCCCAGAAAAUACUUUUUUUGUGUCAGUUAUGUAGUUCUCCAACAGCAUCUACCGGAAAACGCUCAUGUCCACCGACGUCUGGCGUCCUUUCUGCACCAAAAUCUCUUAGUUGUAUCUUCAAAUCUUUCCCACAAAUUUCCGGAGGUGGACUGUCAAACACCCUCUUGUUCUUCGUAAACAAAUUCUUACUCCUACGAUGUGGAUGAUCAGGUGGUAGGAAUCUCCUGUGACAGUCAAACCAACACGUUUUCCUUCCGUGUUUUAGUUGGAAAGCAUCAGUGUUAUCUUGACAAUAUGGACAUGAUAGCCUUCCAUGCGUUGUCCAUCCAGACAACAUUCCAUAUGCUGGAAAAUCACUUAUUGUCCACAUUAGUACUGCCCGCAUUUGAAAGUUUUCUUUACACGAAACAUCAUAUGUUUCAGCACCUUGAGCCCAUAGUUGUUGCAACUCAUAUAUUAGUGGCUGAAUAAACACAUCAAGUGAUCUCUUAGGAUGCUCUGGUCCGGGAACGAGAAUCGAGAGAAACAAAAACUCUCGUCGCAAGCACAAGUUUGGGGGUAGGUUGUAUGGUGUAAGAAUGACGGGCCAUAGAGAAUACUGUCUUCCACUCUUGCCAAACGGACUGAAACCAUCAGUACAUAAUCCAAGGUAGACAUUUCUUCUCUCAUACGCAAAGUCGGGAUACUUUGAUUGGAAAUGCUUCCACGCUUUUGCAUCUGAAGGAUGUCUGAUCUCACCAUCUGUUGAGUGCUCCGCAUGCCAUCUCAUUGGUUGCGAUGUGCGUUCAGACAUAUACAACCUCUGUAACCUUUCCGUCAAAGGCAAAUACCACAUCCUUUUAUAUGGCACUGGAACUCUUCCACUCGUAUCUUUAUAACGAGGCUUCCCACAAAAUUUGCAUGUAACCCGCUGUUCAUCCGCCCUCCAAUAAAUCAUGCAGUUGUCGCUGCAUACAUCUAUUACCUGAUACGAUAAACCAAGACCAGCUACGAGUUUCUGAACCUCGUAGUAUGAACCAAGAGCUACAUUAUCCUCGGGUAGAAUACCUUUUACAAAAUCAACAAUCGCAUCCACACAGUCUUCAGCCAAAUUAUAAUCUGUUUUAAUGCCCAUCAAUCUUGUAGCAGAUGAUAAAGCUGAAUGACCAUCUCUGCAACCUUCGUACAAUGGUUGCUUUCCAGCAUCCAACAUAUCAUAAAAUCUCCUAGCUUGUGCAUUGGGUAAAUCUUCCCCUCUAAAAUGAUCAUUUACCAUCUGCUCAGUACCUACACCAUAAUCUACAUCCGUUCUAAUUGGUUCUUCUAAUCUAACCGCUGGCUGAGGUUCGCUAGUACUACCAUGUUCAUAAUCAGUUUCCCCAUGAUGAUACCAAAUUUUGUAACUUCGUGUAAACCCACUCAAAUAUAGAUGAGUCCAAACAUCCCACUCUUUAAUAACCUUUCUAUUUUUACAAUUAGAGCAAGGACAUCUUAACUUACAUGUUUUUGCUUCCGGUUGUCGGUGAACUAACCCCAUGAAUUCGGUUAUACCUCGUUGGUAUUCUUCCGUAAGCAAUCUCGUGUUCGGAUCCAAAUGAGGUCGAUCGAUCCAAGAACGAAAAUAAUUUGAAGAAGACAUAUUUUUAUGAAUCAAAUUCGUGUGUAAAUAGAGUAAGAGGGAGGAUGAAGAUAUGGAGUGAAUGAAGAGGAAGAGGAGCUUGUAUUUAUAGGUUAAAUCCUGCCGACAAACCGAGGAAAUUCCGACGGAAUUCCGACGCCAACGGCUAGUCCGUCGGAAUUUCCUCGGAAUUAUGUAAAAUCCUCAAACGGCUCUCCAACGGCUCUAAUAUUUCCUCGGAAUUCAUCGGUUUUUUCCGAGGAAAAUAUAUUUCCUCGGAAUUUCCUCGGAAUAUUCCGACGGAUUGAUAUUUCCUCGGAAUUCCGUCGGUUUAUUCCGAGGAAAUUCCGAGGAAACCAAAUUUUGUGUUUCCUCAGAAUUUCCGAGGAAAUUCCUCGGGAUAUUCCGAGGAUUUCAUUUUCCGUCGGAAUGUCCGUCAGAAUAUCGUUGUUUUCUUGUAGUGAAAGUGACCAAUUUAAAGAAUUAUUUAUGCCUUAAGUUCUUCAAAAUGCUUUUCUGUCUUUAAAAGGAAAAGGAAAAGAAUUGAGGAUAAUUACGUAUAAUAUUGUAACUGAUACGUAUAUGCAAACAAGAAUGAGUUGGAUUGCUCAUUCAGCUAAAAUUAAUUGUUGAUUUGGAUAAUAAUGCAUUGAAUUUAUGAAGACAGUCAUCGUCAUGAGAAAAAGUAAGUCUAAUUAAACUUAAAUUAAGAGACUAAUUAGUCCAGAUUUAAUGCGACCAACUUUUGGUGGAGCUUUAAGCAAAAAAAAAAAAAAAAACUUUUGGUGGAGCUGACUAUGUUUGCUUUGUAUUGCUUUCAAAUGUAGUCUGCUUUGGCAUAAUGAAAUAAAAGGUUAAUGAUUUAUAGCUUUCAAGUUGGUCUAACGUAUAAGCUUCAACUUCACAUUAUUAUUAGUGUUUCUACAUAUUACAAUAAAUAAUUUUAUCAUUAUGCCGUAUGAAAUUAUUAAUUUUAUUUUUAGAAGCACAUUUCAGGUUUUGAAAAUUUAAAAGGUGCAUACUUUCCUCUCGUACCCCAACUACCAUUUCCAUCAUGAAAAUCAGAUUUCAUCAAGGCUUUUAUCUAAGCGUUACUAGUAGGAUCCGAUGUAUGUCACCUGGUAUUAUGAUCGUUUAGUUAUUGUUUUCUUACUGUAUAAUGAAUCUUUGGGUUUGUGAUCUUGAGAAUUUGUCUUCCGUCUUUAUAAGAGAAAAUUGUUGGCGGUGGUUUAACCGUUAACAUUCUCAGUAAUUCUUCAUUGGUUUUCUAAAAAGUAGUAUGUCUUGCAGGUUUUGAGUUAGUGUGAGCAUUUUGUCUCUGUUUAAGUUUUGGGUUUGUUCUAUUUCGUUUAAAACUAUUUUAAUGUUAUGCAUUGUUUGGAGUUUUUAGGUUUUUUCCCUUCAAAACACUGAUUCUAAGAAAAACAUUCGAGGCACGGUUAUAAGCUCCGUGGAGUUCAUUGAGAAUUAGCUAUUCCGAAAACGUCACGAGAAGUCCCGGUAUCCGAGGCAACAAAGAGAACCUCACAUUCCCGGGAACUUCGUCGAUAGUUGAGAACGGCAACCGAAUCCUAAAGAUUACAAAAAACAGACUAGCGGAAUAUGCUGGGUUUAGUGGACGGGCGAAGCUAGUUUUGCAAUAGUUUGACUUAGGAAUUUUUGUCCGAAAUGGGCUUAUAACCAGAUCUGAUUUGUCGAUGUUUCUGAUUGAAUAAAUAUUAUCUACAUAUUAAAGGAGAAACAUUACAACAUUUAAUGUCGUCAUGUAUCAUCACCACAAUGAAUCUUAGAAUUCUUAGAAAAUAUGUUGGUCUAUCUAAAUAUAUAAUAAACUUUUUAUUAAAAUAACCAUAUAUUCACUAUUAAUGUUCCUCAUUUUCCUAAAAUAAAAAUUACAGAAUUACCUAAUUUGACUAAAGUAAACAUAAAAUUAAUUAUUUUGAAUAAGAAAUAUUUGAUAAAAAUUAGUGUAACCUCUAUCAUAUUUUUUAAUUUUAAAUUAAUAAAAUAAAUAAAACAACCACAUUAAAAAUAUAAUAAAAUUUUGGAUUUUUCUGUAUAUGUUAUAUUUUGAUUUUUGUAAAGGACUAUAAAUUAUUAAAACUAUUAAAAGUCUCACAUAAUUUUUGUGAUCCAUGAUUUAAAUUUUUUGUUAUGAUAAGAUACAAAUGAUUACAAAAUCAUAUAAGUAGGUAGUAUCAUUUAAAAAUAUUAAGAUUAAAAGAUAUAUAUAUAUAUAUAUAUUAAUAUUGUUUAAAUUGUAAUAUAAACGAUAUAAAAUACAUAAAUAUUUUAAUUUGGAAAUCUGCUUUGAACAAAAUUGAAAACUUAAUAUUAAAUUUUAAAUUUUGCUUUGAUUUUUUUAAAUUAUAAAUUACUAAAACUAUUAAUCCCACAAUAUUUUUUUUUUGCAAGUGAUUUAUGUUUUUGUUAUAAAAAUACACAAAUGAUCAAAAAACCAUAUGAGUAGAAAUUAUCAUUUAAUAUAUAUCAAUAUUUAAAUUACACUAUAUAUACGUUAAUAUCAUUUAAAUUUAAUUAUGUACCAUAUAAAAUAGAAAAAGAGUGUUUGGAUUAUUAAAAUUUAUUUAUGUAUUCACACCAAUUUGAUUAUAUACGUAAUAGUUACUGACUUUUUAAUUAUUUAAUAUAUAUUUAUUAUUUCAUAAUAUGUAUGAAAAUAUAUAAUAUAUAUGAAAUGUUUAUCACGCGCAAGGUGCAGAUCUUAAUCUAGUUAUAUUAAAAACAUUGUUUUAUCAGUAUUGAGUUAAUUAACAUGCUUUAAGAUAACCAUAAAAACUGGAGUAUAUUCAAUUUGAAAUUGGAAUUGGUUUUAUUUUUAUUAAAUUCUAGUUAAACCAUUUAAAAAUUAUCAGAUUUAGAAUGUAAUUUUUUAAUUAAAACACUCUAAAAUAACUAAAAUGCAUAAAAUUUACGACUUAAAUAUUUUUAAUAAUAAUAACUUUUAAGAUAUCAUGUCAAAUAACAAAUUGAAUAAAUAUUUGAAUAACAUUGAAUUUGUUAUUUUACUACAAAUCAUUUCAGACUUCCAAUUGAAUAGAUCUGAAUAUGCUAUUCAUUUAUCAUGGAUAAAAAUUAUAAAAUGGUGCUAUAUUAAAAGAUAAAUAAAUCUAAUAAAAUAAUAGAAACAUAUUAAAAGAAACCCAGACGACUCAAAUUAGAGACAAUGGGGCAGAAACAUAUUCUGAGUGGGGGUAACAGAGCAGUGCAUCCAGCGUUUUCUAUAAGAAUUUGCACACAUUUAAAUAAUUAUUAUAAUUCUUCACUGGGGACAGCCGCCCCCACCUCACAUAAGGUUUGCUGGUGUGUAAUAGGUCUGAGACGGAUCGGGUAUCCGGCCAAUUUUAAGGUAUCCGGAUCCGGAUUUUUAUCCGGCGGAUCCAUAAUUUUACUAUCCUUACCGGAUCUGGGGUUCUCGGAUAUCCGGGUGUCGGAUAUCCUUCUAAAAAUUGUAAUAUCCUGAUGUUGAUUUGGAUCCUUAAAAUAAAUACAAAAUAAUAUAAAUAUAUAUAAAAUAUUAAAAAUAAUUUUAAAAUAAAAAAUAUAAUGUUUUUAAUUAUUUCUAUGUAUAAUAUAUUGAUAUUACAAAAUUUACAUAAAAUUUAUAUAUACUAUUAUAAAAAUGAAAUAUAUUAAAUAAAAUUAAUUUUUAUAUAUAGAUAUUACUAUUUUUGAAAUAGUUAUUAAUAAAACUUACGGAUCCGGAUAUCCAGACUAAAAAAUUAAGAUAUUCGGAUUCGGAUCCGGCUUCGACGGAUCCAACAUUUUACUAUCCAGAUCCGGAUUCGACCCCUUUGGAUAUUCAGAUUUUCGGAUCGGAUCCGGAUCGGAGUCCAGAUCUCAGAUAAAAGUAUCAGGUCUAGUGUGUAAUGUUACAAAAUGAUAAUGUUACAGUGUACUUUUAUAAUGUACUAGUUGCAGAUAAAUAGGUGAAUAAUAUUUGCAGAGGCUGGUGUGUGGGGCCCAUAUUAUAUGGGCUUACUAUUAACCUAAAACAAAAACUCUUUUCACACGUUGGGCCUUUCGCACGUGAAAAUAACCGAAUCAUGUUUUGGAGGCAGGAUUAGGCCCACACGUCGUCCCAUUUCUUACAUGUCGCCUCCAGUUUCAGUCUGCCGAUUUCACCCCCUACUCAACACCUCUCUUUCUUUUUUAUCAACUAUUUUAUUUAUAUAAAAUAUAACAUUACAAAAAGAUAAUAAAAAUACAGUACAAUCAAUUACAAAUUUAGAGAAAAAAUACAUUAUAAUACAUAAAUUAAAAUUUGAAAAUCUAUCUUCUGAACUAUAUUCUUCGAUAAAAUAGACCAAAUUUUAUUUUGCAAUUUUCUUUGUUGUAUUAUAUUGGUCAAACUCCAAUAUAUAGACAUCAACCGAAUAAUAAUUUAGUAUAAUAAUUCUUUUAGAAUAACAAAAACUUAAAUCUGCCAAUUUUCAACCAUUCAAAAAAUAUUGCAAUACAACAAAAAAAAUAGUCUUGAUUAUUGCAAAAAAUAAUCUAUAGUGCUUUUUAAUUAUGACAAUCUUGAACAACGUAAUUAGGGCAAGUUCCUUACCACUUAAAUCUGUAUAUAAUACCAAUACGAUGAUUGUCUUGUUGUCGAUCAUGGCCACAAAUCUGGAUUACUGCACCUCUAUUUCAUGUGAUAUUAUGGUAUUUAUCUCUAUUUUCAGCAUAAUAAUUGAUUUCUUUUGUCGACAAUUGAUCUUUAAAAAAAAAUCCAAGUGUAUGUAUAUAAAAUUGUAAGAGUAAAAAUCUAAAUAUUUCUAAAACUGAUGAAUAAAGAUGUCUACCUGUUUAGUACAUAGAUAUCCGACAGUUAACGUAUACUAGAUUUUGACCCGCACAUGUAUAUUUUUUUAUUUUAUAAAUAUUUAUUUUAGAUAUUAUCGAUAAAUUUUUUAAUAUAGUGAUUGACGUUUUAGUGUUAUAUAUUAUAUAAAUUUUUAAUAUUAUUGUUUAGGUUUCUUAUUCGAUAUUAUUAAUAAAUACUAAGUUGUUUAUGUAUUUUACUAUGUUAUUAAUUGUUAUUGCAUAUUAAUAUAUUUUGAGUACAAUACAAUAAAUUCAUAUAGUAAAAAUUUAUUAAUUGUUAUCACAUAAUUUGUUUUCCGGUGUUUCAUUAUACAAAGAUUAUACUUUAGGGUCUAUGAUUUUAUCUUUUUAAAAUUUGGACUAUUAUAAUUUUCGAGUUUGAAAUAUAUUUUUCAAAUUUGUAUAUUUGGUUAAGAGAAAUUUAAAAAAGUAACACAACUAUUUUGAAUUUGGAAGAUUAUACGACUGAAUUUUUUUGUUACUAAAUUAAUGUGUUGUCUUUAUAAAAAAAAAAUUGGUAAGAUUUUUAAAAACGUUUUCAACUUAUUUUUAUAACUAAAAGAAUAAAAGUUAUUGUUAAAAUUGAUUUUUCAUUACUAUAUUUAAUGAAUUAUUAAAAAUUAAAAUUUUAUAAUAGCAUAUUUAAAAUAACACAUCAAUUAAAAGCUGUUAUAUACAUUUAUAUUUUGCAUCUAAUCAUUUUAGAUAAUAUAUUCUUGUGAGUUUCAAAAUAAAUAAAAUAAUAAUAUAUAGCUGUAGACAUACAGUUUAACACAUGCUAAGAAUUUUAUAUUUUGUAUAAAAAUAAUACAUACACGAUUUCUUAUACGACCCUUAUGUCUAUUUAGAGUAUUCACUGAGAAUUACAAUAAUCAGAGUCGUGUAUCAGGUCCAAUUACAAUUUAAUAUGGCGUUGGUUUAGUAGAUAACCGAAUAUACAUUUAAUAUGGCGAUGGUUUAGUUGUGUGUUACCAUGUUGGUUUAGUUUAAGUAGUUCUUAUGAUAUUUUUAUAAAUAGCGUAAUUAGAUUGUAACUUUUUGAAAAGGUCCAAAACUUAAAUGACAACUUGUAACAGUAGAUAAAAAUAAGACUCUAAAUUAAUAGAUUAGAUGUAUAUAAGUUUAUAAGAGAAUUCAAGUUCUAUUUUUUUUGUCUUUUUUAUCAUAGAAAGCAAAAAUAUUUAAGGAAACAAAAAAUUCUUAACACUCUAACCAACAAAAAAUGAAGAAAAACUCGUUAUACAAGGUUCACAAAGUUAGGAAAACUCUUGUUCCAUUUGCAUACAACUGAUGACAUUAAAAAAUUUAAAGAAAAAAUCACUCUCAAAACAUUGCAGUUCCUUCUUUGGCUAAUGUCGUUUUUUGGAAACAAGUGUGUUGUUUGAUGCGGAAAAUAUGAAAAUAGAGUGUUUAUUAGGAACUUUAGAUUCUAAUAUAGCGACGCAGUGCCGGUCCGGAGUUUUGGGGCACCUAAAGCGCACUAACAAAAUAAUGCCCUUAGCAACAACAUUUUUUUCUUGAUUUUUGUUUUUUUAAACCAAAAAAAUCCAAAAUUAUUGUUCAUAAUGCCGAAAUUUCAUAAAAACACUAACAUGUUAUUGAGAAUACCAUUGGUUUCUUAUUACUCUAAUUCAUCUUGUAUUCACCUAACUGUUUUUUCUUUCAGCAACAAUUUAUACAAAUGCAAAAGUCCGAAUAAUUUAGUUAUAUCUAGUGAGAAACAGAACAAUACAAAUAUUAGUAAAUACAACACAAGACAACGAUCACUUUGAGUUCGUUUUAGUUUAAUUUUUGUAAACUGAAUCCUUAAACCGUUGAAGUUGGAGAAAGUGGAAGGGAUAGUGAGAUAGUAUUAGAACCCACCAAUAAACCUCAUGUUUGGCUUUAGUUUAAAAAAUACACAAAAGAAAAAUUGGGAGAAACAAGGAUAAUUAGUAUAAUGUAAGAGCUUUGACAAUGAAAAAAGAGAAUACGGUCGAAUUUGUUGGAAUUCUGCAAGAAAUCAGUGUUCUAGCAAAAUUUAUUCAUGGAAAAUGAAAGAAGAAAGAAAGAUGAAUUGUCUUAAUAAAUGCAUCAUGCACGAAACAAAAUCAGUGCUUUAUUUUAUUUUAUAUGACUAAUAGUAUCAUUUAAUGAAAAAAUAUAUAAAAUCGGAAACCAAGACUGUCACUAAAUAAAUACAAAUCAAUUAGAUUCUUUCAGUUAUUAUCAAAAAAAAGAAUAAAGGAAAACAAAAAUAGAACCAGCGGAUUCAAACUGAACAUCUCGGAGUUAAGUAAUGAAGAGCUCAACCAGUAGACUAAAUCUUAUAUAAUGUUUGGCGCCCAUAAAUCUUAUAUAAUGUUUGGCGCCUAAAGCCCUACCUUUCCGGGCUUUAGUCCAGGGCCGGUCCUGAGCGACGUUAGUAUGUCUGUCGUCAGUACUGGCUACUAAUCGUCAAUUGUGAAAUGAAGUAACGAAGUCAAUCAACGUAUUAUAUAAAUAUUGUCUUCAUUUAAUACAAAGUAAACGACAUAUACAUAAAUUAGAUUUGUUCUACAAGAAACCUCUUAAAAUAAUACCAGUUUUUGAUUAAUAAAACCGUAUAAGAAACAUUAAACAUACCGGAUGAAUCCAUAACUCAUGUCUUAGAUCUGGAUUAGAUCUUCCAAAGCAAUAGAAGGUUUUUCUAGGUGAGAAAAAGAAAUUUAUAGUGAUUGAGUACGAACCAAUAAGAUAUACGUUUAUCUUCAGCUUGUUUGCAAUCGAAAUUAGUCAAUUUCUUUUAGAGAAUUCACGAGUACAGUUUUAAAACAAAAGUAUAUAUAUAAAAAUAUAGAUAUUAACUAAAUAUAAAGCAUAAGAAAGAGAAAUACUCAAUGUAUAGAAAAAUAAAUAAUAAGUAAAUCUUACUAAUAAAAGGGACCUUUUGAGGCUCCAUAGAGCGUCCACAUCAGCAAAAAAACUUCACUCCGAAAAAUACACGUGGUAUAAAAUAUAGUUUUACAUUUUAAUAUUACUAAUUUUCGAAAAUUAUAAAUAAUAUGUAAACAUACAGCAUAAAAAAUAGAAAAACUACAUUAAACAUAUGUAAAAUUACCAUUUUUCACUUAAAAAAAAGACGGCUUAUCUCCAUAAUGUAAUAUUACCGUUUUAUGAAAAAAAACAAAAAAAAUUAUUUAUAAUUUUCAAAAAUUAGUAAUAUUAAAAUGUAAAACUAUAUUUUAUACCACGUGUCAUCUUUCGGGUGAAGUUUUUUUGCUGAUGUGGACGAUCUGUGGAGCCUCAAAAGGUCCCUUUUAUUAGUAAGAUUUACUUAUUAUUUAUUUUUCUAUACAUUGAGUAUUUCUCUUUCUUAUGCUUUAUAUUUAGUUAAUAUCUAUAUUUUAUAUUUUAAGAUAGAUGUUUAAAUCUUAAUGUUUUUUCCAUUUUUAAUGUAAAACGGCAAUGUUUAAUAGAAGGGGCCUUUUGAGGCUUCAUAGAGCGUUCACAUCAGCAAAAAAACUUGAGAAAAUUGCCAAAUAUGACUCACAACUUGAUUUCAAACAGAAAGGUUAACCCAAACUUGAAACAAAUGCAAAAGUAACCUAAAAGACUAUUGAAAUUACAACCAACCCCUUGUGAACAAACAAAAAAAACCAAAAUUUUUUUACGUUUCUAACCCCCGUAAGUCGCUGCCCAGACGACUUUCCAGUAAGUCGUCCAGACGACUUACCAGAAAGUCGUCCAGACGACUUAUCUGGACUAGUUUUACUUAGAAAUAAUUUAAAAAUUUUGUAAAAAAUAUUUUGAUAAGCGAAAAAUUGAAAUCAUGUAAUUAACAUAUGUUUUAAGAGAUAUAAAUUAAGAUAUAACAAAAGUUAAUUGUUUUCAACAUAGAUGAGUGAAAGUAGUGAGUCAUGAUAUUCUUUGGUUUAUGUUUUGCCAACAUAUGUUGUAGUAUUGUAUGUGUUCUUAGGGUUAGAUUUUGGAAUGCAUAAAUGUUUUUUUGAAAACUUUAAAAUUUACCUAAGUGUUUUAAUUCUGUGUAUAGUAAACACUAUUUAAGUAUAACUACGGGUUUAUAACGUGGUUAGUUAGUUAAUUUAGUCAAUUUAGUUUAGGGGUUAAAUUUCGGGUCUGGGACGACUUACUAGUAAGUCGUCUGAUGUACAUUAUUCAACAGACGACUUACUAGUAAGUCGUCCAACCGGACCAAACCUUUAAUUUUACAAUGUACUUUUAAACCUAACUGGAUUAUUUACCGGCCAUAUAUAAGGUGUUUUUUUUUCACUGUUUAUCGAAAAUCAGAAGCCGUUUCUCUCAAAGGCGAUUUCGAAGGCGAUUUCCGUCGAUUCUCUCUAAUCCAUCGUUCUCACCGCCGGUUAUCUCUCCGCCGUUAUCACCGUCGUUCUAACCACCGUUCUCACAGCCGCUUCCUCUAUUUAAGAUCCGAGAGGAAACCCUUGCGCGCAUUCUCUCAGAGGCGUUUCGUUGAACUCCGCCGCCGGUAAGUUAUAUCUCUUACUGUCGAGUGAUUGAUUGAGGAAAAGAUGAACAUAAAACUGGAAGUCUUGGAAGACUUAUAAUUAAGUCGUCUGGGAAGUCUUCCAGCUGGAAGACUUCCCAGACGACUUAAUUAUAAGUCUUUCAGCUGGAAAACUUGCCAGACGACUUAAUUAUAAGUCUUUGAUUGUUUGAGAUGGUUGUCUUUGAUUGUUUUGCAGGCAGACAAAAAAAAUGGAGAUGCCAGAACUCCCCCGUAGGAUAUAUACAUUAGGGGAAGAGCUCCCCGCAGUGCAUAGCAUUUCGUAUCAUACUUGUUGGACGUUGCAUGCUGCUUUAAAGAAAGCUCUUCAUGAUGACGAAUAUGAAGAGCUGAAGGAGUCGAAGUUGGGAGUUUUCAUCAAGUUCCAAGAGCUGGGAUUUGAUUGGGCUUCAAGGCUGGUUCACUACAUGCUCGGUUUCCAGCUGGACAUAAAGAAGAAGCAUGAGCUGUGGAGUCUCGUUGGUCCAGAACCUGUGAGGUUUUCACUGUUAGAGUUUGAACACCUCACUGGUCUUGUCCGUAAGUGUUUGCUUUUCACAUAAUAGCUUGCUUUUUACGUAAUAGCUUGCUUUUCCCAUAAAACCUGAUUGCUUUUCAACAUUUUGUGUUUUCAGUUAUUAUAGAACAGCUCUCGAUAAAAAACCACGUAAAAGUAGAACUCGGUGGUAUCAAAUCCUCCGAACCUCCCUAGAGUGGCUGGAGGACUGUGUAAGUCUUCUGCUAUGACGUAGACAACUUACUUGUAAGUCGUCUGGUAAGUCAUCGACGUAGAAGACUUACCACUAAGUCGUCUGAUAUCUUCUGACUUCUACUUUAUUUUAUAUGCAGCAUAUUGAUGCUUGGAUUAAUGUGCUGAGGAAGAGGUACAACGCUAACCCACAACAUUUCAGGAGCGAGAGAAUGUGCUUCCUUGAUCAUCUCUCUGCUCAGCAAUGGAGAUUCAACUUCAAGGAUUUUAAGGACUCGAAGCCCGAUCAAAACGGUUUAGGAAGAAGACUCACUGGUGGGGCGUGGAAUUAUUAUGCAAGCACUAUACCAUCAUUUUGCCAAUCGAACAAGGUUUGGGGGACAGAUAUUGAUGAUAUCUAUGCGCCAGUAAACUUCGCCGACAGUCAUUGGAUUGCUAUUUGGAUAUCGAUCCCUAAGAGGCACAUAGUCGUCUUUGACAGCAUUUGUUCCAGUAUCUCCCCAAAAGAACUCGAUGUGGUAAUGGAGCCUUUUCUCUACAUGGUCCCUUAUCGGCUUGUUGAGUGCACUUCCUCAGACGAACUACGUGCCCAAUACAGCAUGGAGCCAUUCACAUAUGAGAGACCGACCAAUAUACCUCCGGCCCGAGCUGGUGAUUGUGGCGUGUACACUCUAAAGUACAUUGAAUGUCAUGCUCUUGGGAUAGAGUUUAGUAAAAAAGACUUUGCUAAGGCCAACGGGAAGAGUAUGAGGGAUAAGAUGGCGGUGGAUAUAUUUCAAGAGCUUCCUGACGCGCAUGAGUUCGAAAACAAGGACAUGGAUGACAUCCUGGGUACGUAUGACGGGUGAUAAACAUGCCACUUUAGAUGAUUUUGUAUGAUAGAUUAGGCUGAUGUGUGUAUUUGAACUUGAUCCCUAUUUUGUAACUAUAUUCUGCGCAGAAGACUUACAGUUAAGUCGUCUGGACGACUUAACUAUAAGUAGUCUGGAAAGUCUUCUGAGCAGUGACCUUUUGUAACUAUAUUUCGGAUAAUAUAAAGGGCAAGACCAUCUCAAAUUUGUUUGGUAGUGCAAUUUGACAAAGAAGUUGACACAGAUAAGUUCAUAACACAAAUUUUUAGUACAUAGACUGAACACUGGACGACUAACUGGACGACCUUCUGGACGACUUAAUUGAAGGUCUUCUGGAAGACUGAACACUGGACGACUAACUUGAAGGUCUUCUAGAAGAAAAAACUCUGGACGACCUUCUGGACGACUUAAUUGAAGGUCUUCUGGAAGACUGAACACUGGACGACUAACUUGAAGGUCUUCUAGAAGAAAAAACUCUGGACGACCUUCUGGACGACUUAAUUGAAGGUCUUCUGGAAGACUGAACACUGGACGACUAACUUGAAGGUCUUCUAGAAGAAAAAACUCUGGACGACCUUCUGGACGACUUAAUUGAAGGUCUUCUGGAAGACUAAACACUGGACGACUAACUUGAAGGUCUUCAGGAAGAAAAAACCCUGGAUGACUAACUGGACGACCUUCUGGACGACUUAACUGAAGGUCAUCUGGAAGACUAAACACUGGACGACUUACAUUGUGGUUUCGUAUGGCCAGUUUCCUUGCAUUUUGAGCAUCUAUAAGCCUUGUGUUGCUUCCGGGGUUUACGUCCUCUCAUCCUGGAUAGCUCCAACCAAGAUUGCCAUCUUGAUUUCUUCUGUCUUCCCGAACCACGUUUUACUUCCGGAGGAAAGCAUGUGCGUUCCUCAACUUGUUGUCCAACACAAGGAUAUAUAUUCUCUGAGUAUCCUGCAAACAGAAAAUCCUUUGAGUACACUGGACAUACAAGUGUGGAGAUAUGCAAACCAACAGAUGUUCCAGCAGCUAUAGCAUGAGGGCAAGGUAUUUUCUCCACUGCAUAGACACCACAAUCACACUUUCCAUGUUCCAAAUCAACCACACAGUCCAUUUUCCCACCUUUCACAAAGAAUCGCCAUCCAUCAAUUGGUUGUACCGUCAUCGUAUCCGCUAUCUCCGAUCGAACAACAAGCAAGUAUUCAACACCUCGACUAUGUUGAGUUGGGAGACUCAAAGCAUCUUCUCUCCUUUUCCAAAACCACUUUCCUAGCUUCUCCCUUAUGAACUCCAACAGGAACUGAACCGGAAAUCCUCUAGCUCGCUUCAGAGCGGAAUUAAUAGAUUCAGCGAUGUUGCUUGUCUUUAUGUUGUACCUGUCCCCCUGACAAUAAACCCUUGACCAUAGGCUGACGUCGGCAUUCUCCAAAUACGUUACAAGCCAUGUACCGGUCAAAAUCUGAAACCGUAUGAGCAUAAGCAGCACCUUUCACCAAGUACAAGAGAUGUUUCCCUUUAUACUUUUUGACAAUGUUAUCUUGAAGGUGAUAAUAACAUAUUCCUCGGGUUGCCCAAGGAAACACCUUAUCACACGCACUUUUAAUGGCCGCGUGCCGGUCAGAGACUAUCACCAGAGGCUGCUCAUCAGAUACACAACUAGCCAAUUUUGUGAAAAACCAUUCUCAAGAAGGUUCAUCUUCAGCAUCUACGAUCCCAAAAGCCAAUGGAAAUAUCUGAAAAUUCACAUCUUGUGCGGCUGCAACUAACAUAACACCUCCAUAUUUCCCACUUAGGUGAGUCUCAUCCACCACAAUGACCCUUCUCUGAUACUUAAAACCUUUGAUAUAAGCUCCAAAAGAGAGAAAUAGAUACUUAAAUCUAUUGAUAGAAUCAAGUUCUAUAGCCGUGAUAGAAUCGGGAUUUGCUAAGGAGAUUUGCUCGAGAUAUGAUGGCAGACGCGAAUACCCAUAUUCUGCUGAUCCUCUCACCAAUGUUUGUGCAUAUAAAAGUGCUCUGUAUGAAGUGGUGUAAUCAAGCGUCAUGCCAAACAUGUUCUUCAUUGCAUCAGUGAUAUGCUGCGGAUUCAACCCAUCAAUGAUUCCAACACGAUCAAUGAAAAGCCAACCAACAUACUUCGGAGUACAGUGUCUCCGCUGAGCGAGUCGGUCUCCCGCUGAGCAUGUAUGUUUUUCCACAUACUUUGUUACCCAAAACGUGUUUGUCCCAUGUUUCACACUCGCUCUGACCUUCCAUUGACAACCACUAACCGGACAUGUUGUCACAAGGAGAGUUUUCGUUGACUUGUAUAUUCUGAAGGAGAACUUAAACCUCACUGCUGUCAACCGCAGCUCUGAAAGCAGUGCAUCCUUGCUAAAAAAACUCUGGUUGACAUAGAUACUGUUACCAUCCGAUUUUCCUCCUUCAAUCUUUUCGAUAUCUUCAAAACACAUAUCAUCAUCUUCCUCAUCCUCAUCUUCAACCUUUCCAUAAACACUGUAAUCCUCACCAUUCUCGUCCGCUUCAGCAACAAUAGAGAUACCAGCAUCCUCCUCCCCAUCGUCCUCAUCCCCAUCGUCCUCCUCCCCGUCAUGAUUUUCAUCUUCAACCAAAUCAUCAUCAUCAUCAUCUUCAAAACAUUCAUCAGCUUCAUCAUCUUCCCUGAACUCUGAAACCGUUUCCACCUUGCUACGGCUUGAUACACAAAGCCGUACUCCAUGCGUUUUGGUUAUCUCGAGCAAGUUUCGAACUUGUCUAUCACUUGUAACAUGAAUAGGAGGGGUGUCUGGAGCCUGCAUCAUUUCUGCUGGUAAUGAGUAGGUUAUCUCCACAGAUUCUGUGCUCAUGUCCAGGUUAUAAUCUUCUUGAGCCAUUGCAAGAAGUUCAGCAUGUGUCGAACCUUCCCCCAAAAAAAUGAUUCUCGCUCCUUUGACAUUAUCAACCACAAAAUCUCAACGACAAUCAUUCAACAACCAUUCUCCAUACACUGCAUGUAACUGACGCAUCAUCUACAAAAAUUCAAAAUAAAACACAUUAGUAAACAUAGAGAAAAUGUAAGUUUACUAAACAUUGACGCAGACGACAUACCAGUAAGUCGUCUGGAAGACUUACCAGUAAGUUGUCCAAACAGGUCAUUUUUGCAAUUGAAUUUUAAAUAGGACGACUUACUUGUAAGUCGUCCAGCUUUGUUUGUUAAAAAAAAAAAACCUAGACGACUUACCAGUAAGUCGUCUAGGAUAAAUGGGUUUGUUUUGCAUUUGACCGAAUUGUAUCAGAUAUUUGACUUUUUUUGGACGACUUACCAGUAAGUCAUCUCAGGGAAAACAAAAAUUUCAAUAGUUUAUUAAAGCUAGACGACUUAUUUGUAAGUCUUCUCAGGUUAGUUUGCAAUUCGAAAAAGAAACUUAUAUAUUUAACUUUACCCAGACGACUUACUUGAAAGUCGUCCAGGCAGACGACAAACAAGAAAGUCGUCCGAGAUAAGCAAUGUUUGACCAUAAUCUAGGAAUUAAAUCUGGACGACUUUGCUUAUCCUGGACGACUUUCAAGUAAGUCGUCUUACUGGACGACUUCCGCGUAAGUCGUGUGGGAAAAGUUAAAUUUAAGUUUUAUUUUCCAAUUGCAAAAGUAACCUGAGAUGACUUACAGAUAAGUCGUCCAGAUUUAAUAAAAUAUUGAAAUUUUUGUUUUCCCAGAGAAGACUUACUGGUAAGUCGUCCAGGAAUAGUCAAAUAUCUUACACAAUUCGGUCAAAUGCAAAACUAACCCAUUUAUCCUAGACGACUUAUCAGUAAGUCGUCUAGGGUAUUCUCUAGUUCUUUUUUUAACAAACAAAGAUGACGACUUAAAAGUAAGUCGUCCGUUUGACCAGAAGACUUACCCGUAAGUCUUCUACAGCCAGACUACUUACGGGUAAGUCUUCUACACAAACAGAUCUGGAAAAAAUUUCAGUUUCAUACCUUAAACUAGUGAGAUGACUUCCUUAGCACACAGAGUCUUCUCCAACCACCCACAAUCUCAAACGAAAGUAACCCACCAAGAAUAGUAUGCUUGAAUGGCUCUAUAAACCAUAAAAAAAAUUGAAUCAAAAGCUUGAGUUUUUUGGAUGAAUAUGGAGGCAAAGUGAAAGAGAUGUUGUUUUUAGUUCAUAACAAGUGAGAAAGAGAGAGUGUAAAUCGAUUUUAGGUGCAUUAAGAGCUUCAAAUUGGUUGCUCAUGGUGGUUGGGGUAUUGAUCACAAUGGCAAUCUUGUAAUUACUUGAAGAUGAUGAGGGUGAGAGAGUAAAAAUAUCAUUUUCGGAAAAAAAAAAUAAAAAAAAUUUGAUGGCAUUUUCGUGAAUAUCAUGAACUUGUGGGGUGAAUAGGACAAAAGAACAAUCCAAGAAAAGCAUGAGUUAGUUUUAGGUUUGACUUUGAGUUUUGAGUCAAUCUUGCAAAAAGCCCAAAAAACUUCACCCGAAAGAUGAAACGAGGUAUAAAAUAUAGUUUUACAUUUUAAUAUUACUAAUUUUCAAAAAUUAUAAAUAACAUGUAAACAUACAACAUAAAAAAUAGAAAAACUACAUUAAACAUAUGUAAAAUUACCAUUUUUCACUUAAAAAAAGACGGCUUAUCUCCAUAAUGUAAUAUUACCGUUUUAUGAAAAAAACAAAAAAAUUAUAUAUAAUUUCGAAAAUAAUAAAUAUAUGUAAACAUACAACAUAAAAAAUGGAAAUAAUACAUUGAACAUAAGUAAGAUUACCAUUUUAAAUUUUUAUUUUUUAAAAAUAAUAUGUAAACAUACAACAUAAAAAGCGGAAAAACUACAUUAAACAUAUGUAAGAUUACCAUUUUUUCACUAAAAAAAAGACGGUUUAUCUCCAUAAUGUAACAUUACUAUUUUGUAAAAAAAAAACAUUAUAUAUAAUUUCGAAAAUAAUAAAUAAUAUGCAAAUAUACAACAUAAAAAUUGAAAUACUACUUUAAACAUACGUAAGAUUACUAUUUUACAUUUAAAAAUAACAAAAAUAUGUAAACAUACAACAUAAAAAAAAAUGGAAAAACUACAUUAAACAUAUCCUUACUAAUAAAAGAGACCUUUUGAGGCUCCAUAGAGCGUCCACAUCAGCAAAAAAACUUCACUCGAAAGAUGACACGUGGCAUAAAAUAUAGUUUUACAUUUUAAUAUUAUUAAUUUUAGAAAAUUAUAAAUAAUAUGUAAACAUACAUCAUAAAAAAUAGAAAAACUACAUUAAACAUAUGUAAAAUUACCAUUUUUCACUUAAAAAAAAUGACGGUUUAUCUCCAUAAUGUAACAUUACCGUUUUAUAAAAAAAACAAAAAAAAUUAUAUAUAAUUUCGAAAAUAAUAAAUAUAUGUAAACAUACAACAUAAAAAAUGGAAAUACUACAUUAAACAUAUGUAAGACUACCAUUUUACAUUUUUAUUUUUAAAAAAUAAUAUGUAAACAUACAACUUAAAAAAUGGAAAAACUACAUUAAACAUAUGUAAGAUUACCAUUUUUCACUAAAAAAAAGAUGGCUUAUCUCCAUAAUGUAACAUUACUAUUUUGUAAAUAAAAAACAUUAUAUAUAAUUUCGAAAAUAAUAAAUAAUAUGUAAACAUACAACAUAAAAAAUGGAAAUACUACUUUAAACAUAUAUAAGACUACCCUUUUAAAUUUAAAAAUAACAAAAAUAUGUAAACAUACAAACAUAAAAAAAAUGGAAAAACUACAUUAAACAUAUCCUUACUAAUAAAAGGGACCUUUUGAGGCUCCAUAGAGCGUCCACAUCAGCAAAAAAACUUCACCCGAAAGAUGACACGUGGCAUAAAAUAUAGUUUUACAUUUUAAUAUUACUAAUUUUAGAAAAUUAUAAAUAAUAUGUAAACAUACAGCAUAAAAAAUGAAAAACUACAUUAAACAUAUGUAAACUUAAAAUUUUUCACUUAAAAAAAAAUGACGGUUUAUCUCCAUAAUGUAACAUUACCGUUUUAUAAAAAAACAAAAAAAGUUAUAUAUAAUUUCGAAAAUAAUAAAUAUAUGUAAAUAUACAACAUAAAAAAUGGAAAUACUACAUUAAACAUAUGUAAGAUUACCGUUUUACAUUUUUAUUUUUAAAAAAUAAUAUGUAAACAUACAACAUAAAAAAUGAAAAACUACAUUAAACAUAUGUAAGAUUACCAUUUUUCACUAAAAAAACGACGGCUUAUCUCCAUAAUGUUAUUUUGUAAAAAAAACAUUAUAUAUAAUUUCGAAAAUAAUAAAUAAUAUGUAAACAUACAACAUAAAAAAAUGGAAAUACUACAUUAAACAUAAGUAAGAUUACCGUUUUACAUUUAAAAAUAACAAGAAUAUGUAAACAUACAACAUAAAAAAAAAAAAAAACUACAUUAAACAUAUGUAAGAUUACCAUUUUUCACUAAAAAAAAUGGCUUAUCUCCAUAAUGUAACAUUACCGUUUUAUAAAAAAAAAAAACAUAAAUAUAACUAUUUGAUUAUUUGUCCAAGUUCUUCUAUUAAACAUUUCCGUUUUACAUUAAAAACGGAAAAAACAUUAAGAUUUAAACAUCUAUCUUAAAAUAUAAAACAUAGAUAUUAACUAAAUAUAAAGUAUAAGAAAAAGAAAUACUCAAUGUAUAGAAAAAUAAAUAAUAAGUAAAUAUUAUAAAUAUAUAAAUAUAUGAAUUAUAUAUACAAUAAUAAGUAAAUGCACAAUUUUUAAAAUAUGGAAAGAGUACAUUAAAUAUUAAACAUCUAUCUUAAAAUAUAAAAUAUAGAUAUUAAGUAAAUAGAAAGUAUAAGAAAAAGAAAUACACAGCUUAAGAACAAUGGAAAAAGUAUAUUAAUAUUUAAACAUCUAUCUUAAAAUGUAAAAUAUAGAUAUUACGCAAAUAGAAAGUAUAAGAAAAUGAAAUACACAAUUUAAAAAAAUGGAAAAAGUACAUUAGUAUUUAAACAUCCAUCUUAAAAUGUAAAUCUAUCUUAAAAUAUAAAAUUAUUAGUAAAUAGAAAGUAUAUGAAAUAGAAAUACACAAUAUAAAGAAAGAUAAAUAAUAAGUAAAUAUAUAAUAUAAGUAAAUACGUAAUUUAAAAAUGGAAAAUUACAUUAAGAUUUAAAAAUAUAUCUUAAAAUUUAUAAUAUAGAUAUUACGUAAAUAGAAAGUAUAACAAAUGGAAAUAUACAAUUUAAAGAAAAAGGAAAAUGUACAUUAAGAUCUAAACAUCUAUCUUAAAAUGUAAAAUAGAGAUAUUAAGUAAACAAAAAAUACAAGAAAUAGAAAUACAUAUACAGGAAAAUAAGUAAUAAGUAAAUAAUGUAAAUAUAUAAUAUAUGAAUUAUAUAUAUAAUAAUAAGUAAAUACACAUUUUUAUUUAAAAAAUGGAAAAAGUUCAUUAAGCAUUAAACAUCUAUCUUAAAAUGUAAAAUAUAUAAUAUAAGUAAAUACACAAUUUUAAAAAAUAGAAAAAGUACAUUAAGAUUUAAAUAUCUAUUUUAAAAUAUAAAAUAUAAAUAUAGAUAUUACGUAAAUAAAAAAUAUAAGAAAUGAAAAUAAACAUUUAAAAAAAUGGAAAAAAUACAUUAAAAUUUAAACAUCUAUCUUAAAAUGUACAUCUAUCUUAAAAUGAUAGUAAAUUAUAUAAAAAUGGAAAUACCACAUUAAACAAAAAAAAAUGUAUAGUUUUACAUCAAGAAAGUCCCUAUAAAAUUCAUUAUUUCAUCAACAUCAACCUCACACUAUUAAGGAAAACUUCAAAGCACUCGAGCAAAAAAAAUGGUUCCACCAUCAACUCUUGCCGUCCCAAAAACCUGUAAUGACCUUGAAGGAGAUUUUUUAUAACAACGAACUUUUUGUUAGGUGGAUUCAUUGUUGGGAAACCCGCAACUUUCAAAAGCUAAACUUAUUCAUGGGAAUUGAAUUGCUUUUCAUAUACUCAAAGGUAUUCUUACAAAUUUAAAUUAAUCUAAUCCAUAAUUUUAUUGUUAAUAUUUAUAUUACUCUUUAAUGAUCAAACCAUUACAUUUAAUAACCAUUCAAGCGUUUAUCCCGAAACACUUCUUUCCUCGCCGAAUCAGGUAUUGGUUCAUGUUGGUUUAGUAUUGUUUUUGGUUUAUUAACCGGUUUAGGAUGAUCCUAUUGUAAAUAUAAUUUAAGUUGGUUUAGCAUAUAUUAUGCUUAAAAUAACUUAAAUUAAAUAAUAGGAAUAUUAUGCUUAAAAUAUAAUUUUAGAGAAUUUUCAAAUAUAGUUUACAGAACAUUAUAGGUGAUGAAUUUAAUUUAUUAAAUUUAUUAAAUUUAUUAAAUUCGUUUAUUACUUAAAACUAAGUUUUUUUUAAGAAAAACAUACUGAGUUAUAAAUAUCAAUGCUCGAUUGGUGAGUAUAACAUGAAGACAAAAAUAUAAAUAUUUCAUUUUCAAGAUAAGAAAUUCAGCUUUUAUUCAGUUACUCAAUAUAUAAUAUCUUAAAUUAUUUUUAAAAAAAUAUACAUAAUUUGUAUAUAUAGAUUAAUCUUCCAAACUUAAACUAUUAUAUUAUAUAUGAAUAAUUUUUUUAAAUAAAAAUAAUUUCUGAUUUAAAAAAAAUAAAAACAACAAAUGGUUAUUUUCAAAUAACGGAUGCAAUUUACAUUAUACUAUCAUUUAACAAGUAUUAGAUACAUUUUGAUAUAUCAUUAUUUUCUAUUUUCAGAAAAAAAUAAAUUGUUAAACAUUAAUAUCAUCUAGGUUAAGUAUACUAACAACACAAAUUCAAACAUCACAAAAAAUAUUUACAUAAACAUUAUAAUACAAUAAUUUAAUCAAAAAAUACAAUUCAAAAAAAAUAUUCAAAAGAAUAGUUAUAUACUUAAUAUUUGAAAAUCAAAGAUAUUUUUGCUAAAAUUGUACUUACCUGGCCAAGGAGAUCGACCAUCUUUUUACGGAUCGAUCGAUUGUUGAGCAUGUAGUCGAUCCGAAAAAGCUCUGCAGUUUAAUUACUUUGUGCAGAAGCCUUUGCUAACUGGAUCGCUCCUCCGUGCCCGUUCUAUUGGUAUAAUGCCUCCUUGAUCAAGUGACAAUCAUUAAAACCCAAAAUUCUGUAUUUUGCUCUGUGUGUAGCACGUUAGUAAACCAUGGAAUCAACUUGCAGUGUGAAAACAUUGAUUCAAAGUCACUGUGAAGUUCAUGGAUAGUUGUUAUCAGGCCAAGAAGCUUUAUAAUCAAGUACGAAGCCGUGGAUAAAAGUAACUCGGUAUGUAAGUUUUCUCCAUAUCUUAAUAAUUAUUUCACCUAUAUAUAUACAUAAAUACUCCAGUUUCUUUCACGAACCGAACUUCUUAGGUGAAUCCUCAGGUGUUAACGACGAUAACAACUCCGAUAUGAUAUACUACUAUAUGUCCAGAAGAAGCAUUCAACAACAAAACCAAACGAUGCAGCAGCAGCAUCAACUGUCUCCGUCAGGACUUGGAGCAACACCUAGCCUCGCAGGCGUGAUGCAGUUUGCGCACUUUGGUCUGAAACUGGCGUUGAACCAGACCAGAAACCAAGAUGAUCAAGAAACCGGGAUGGACCCAGUUUAUUUCUUGAAGUUACAAGUCUUAAAUGAUAAGAUAGAGGAUCAUAACCAAAUCCAUAAUCUCAUGUCUCAAGCAGGAGGUGAGUGUGAAGGAAACAUAGUCAACGUGUUUCUUGAAGAAAAGGAGAAUCAAGAGGAUGAAAACGACAAUAGCUCCGUGCAACUCCGUUUUACUGGAGGAGAAGAAGAAGGAGAUAGAGAGAACAAGAAUGACUUGACAAAGGAGUUAAAGAGCAAGAAGAAGAGAACAAGAACAAGCAAGACAAGUGAAGAAGUAGAAAGCCAACGAACGAUUUAUAUCGCAGUCGUUAAAGGAACUGUAUGAAGAAAAUGAACAAGCAUCUUCAUGUCCUCAGGUCUCUUAUGCCUGGAUCCUACGUUCAAAGGGCACCCUAAUAACGUAUAUACUUCUUUUUUGUAUUCAUAUAUCUUAAAACAUUUUUUAGUAUGCACGUAUAUAACAUGGAGAUCAAGCUUUGAUCAUAGGUGGAGCAAUAGAGUUUGUGAGAGAGUUGUAGCAACUUCUACAAUGCCUAGAGUCACAAAAGCGUCAGAUAAUCCUCGGAGAAACCGGUAAUAGGCAAAUUGGGAACAUGACCACGGCAAUGACUUCUUCUUCAUCGAUAACUUCAGUUGCUAACCCGCUAAUUAUUAGUGGAAAUUUAAUUGAACUAGAGGGUGGAGGAGGAGGGCUCCAGGAAGAAACAGCAGAGAACAAGCCGUGCUUGGCUGAUGUGGAGGUGGAGCUGCUGGGUUUGAUGCCAUGAUCAAGAAGAAGACCAAGACAACUGAUUAAGACUAUUGCUGCGGAUCUUCAAGAUGCAUGAUUAACAUUUUCCAUGAUUUUUAGUUUGCUAAACUCUGUUUCAAAUUUUCCCGUUUCAAUAAUUAAUCUCCUUUUCCAUAAGUUGCAUACUUAGCUAUUAGAAGCUUACGUGAAAACAUCAUCAAAGAUAACAAAUUAAAUAUUAAAAACAACAAAUAUUUACCAUAUAUACAGUGAUAUAUGAUACACUAAGAAAACAUAUUCACGAAAAUGAUAUUGAAAGCUAUCUCUGCAAUAAGUACAAUAAUACAUUAAAGAUUACUUGACAGACUGCUUGACAGACAAGUUAUUACUACAAACACACAAACAUAGCUAAAAAGACAUAUACUAAUUUUACGGCAACAAGUCCACAUAUGAUUUACAAACCCAAACAAACGUAGCUUACAAUAGAUAGUUUAAGACAAAUAAUAAGUAAAUAACUCUUAAUUGGCGGUCGCUUCUUAAUAGCAUUGACACAACCUAUGGGUAAAAAAUAUUGACAUUCUCUUGAACACGAUUAUACAAACCCUACAUGGUCCUUCAGCCACAAGGCAACCAAGGUUGUCUUAUACUCAAAACUAUUAUAUCUUCCUUCAAAAUUAUAGCACGCAAUCAUGCUGACUUCAUUUUAUUAUUGAACACAUUCACAAAAUACCAAUCCAACUAAAAUAUCUAACAAUGUGAAAUUCACAACUUAUUUGUAAUAUCCCAUAAAAUAAAACAAUAAAAUCAAUAGGAAAAAAAUCUCAUAACAAACAAUGAUUUCACAAUUCUGUUCAAAAAGAAAUAACACAAUGUUUAAAUUAUGUGUAGCGUGGACGAGUCCUAGGCCAUAACAGUCCUAGGCGGUGAUCUAUAUAAUUAUAUAACUGUAUAUUUUCAUUUAUUUUCACAUUAUCUAAAUCAAUAGGUUUAAAAAUGUAUAAAAAUAUCAAUGCAUUCAAAAACAAAUAUAUAAGAAUGAAAAAUAAUUCAUAAUUUGUAUUGAAUUUCAACUAUAAUGACAAGUAUUUUUAUUUCACUUACUUUUAUAAUAAAUAUAUAACAAACACUAAAUAUAAAAAAAAAUAAUUACAUUAAUUAAAAAAUAAAAUAUUUUUGUUAAUUUAUCAAACCUUUUAUUUCUAAUAAGAACAAAAGAAACAAUAGAAAAAAAUAUUUUUAGUUUAGAGUAAACUGCAUAUUUUUACACGUACAUGAAAAUACAAUAAAUCUUUUAAUUGAUCUUCACUUGCUUAACAUAGAUUAAUAUAGGCAAAAAUAAGUUAAUAACAACAUCAAUUAUAAUAACUGAUAUUAAAACAAAUAUUUUGUAUAAUUUAUUAAUAAGUGUCUCAAAUUGAUAUCAUUUGUUUUUCUGUUACUAUUUAUGUAAUAUAAUAUGAUAUUUUUUGUAGUGUUAUCAUACACAUCUCUUGCAAAUUCAAAUUUAAAAUACAAACCACAAAAUCAUACAAAAAAUAAUAACUUAGAUCAUAAGUAAAGUAUAUUCCGCCGGUAGGGCGGACCGACCCUAGUUAUCUAUAUCCCCUAUAUAUUAAUUGAGAAGCAUUUGAAAAAUUAGAACCUUAAUUUUGUAUUAAUUAAAAAAACCUCAAAUCCUAUGUGGCACUCUAAAUGCCUUCUAAAAUUCAUUUCAAAGAAUUCUAGAGCAUUUAAUAUAAAGUAUAGUUUAAUCUAAUGGUGUCACAUUAUUUCAUAAUUAUAUAACACUAGAGAACAUUAUAUUAACCUAAAAUAUAGGAAGUGUGUAUUCUUUCCUUAAAUAAAAGCUACGGAAUUACCUAAUAUGAUUUACAUAUAUAUGGCAAUUAAUGAUUAUGAAUAAUAAAGAUUUGAUAACAAUUUUUACAUCCUUCUUCAUUUUUGUUUAAAUUUAUAUUAUUAAAAAAAAUUAAACAAUCACAUUAACUAUAUAAUAAAAAAAUUAGAUUUUUUCUUAUAUGUUAUAUUUUGAAUUUUUUAAAAUGACUUUAAAUUACAAAAAUGAGAAAACCUUAUAUGUUAUAUUUUUUUAAAAAAUGACUUUAAAAUACAAAAAUGAGGACACCUUAUAUGUUAUAUUUUUCUUAUAUGUUAGAAUUUUCUUAUAUGUUAUAUUUUGAAUUUUUUUAAAACGAUUUUAAAUUACAAAAAUGUAAGUUUUUCUUAAGUAAACGACUAAAAACAUUAAAAUGACAUGUAUUAAUUCGAUGGUUGAUUUGAAAGUUUUCAAAACUAUAUGGAAGAUAAAAGUCAAAAUAAUUUAACUGUGGAAACAAUACUGUUCACUUUUUUCAAGAAUGUGUUCGAGGGGAAAAAUAAGGUUUUUAUGUCAUAAUUUGUUUAAUGUCCACUAGAGAACAUUAUAUUAACCUAAAAUAUAAGAAGUGUGUAUUCUUUCCCUAAAUAAAAGCUACAGAAUUACCUAAUAUGAUUUACAUAUAUAUGACAAUUAAUGAUUAUGAAUAAUAAAGAUUUGAUAACAAUUUUUGCAUCCUUCUUCAUUUUUGUUUAAUUUUAUAUUAUUAAAAAAAUAAACAAUCACAUUAACCAUAUAAUAAAAAAUUAGAUUUUUUCUUAUAUGUUAUAAAAAAAAAUAAACAAUCACAUUAACCAUAUAAUAAAAAAAUUAGAUUUUUUCUUAUAUGUUAUAUUUUGAAUUUUUUAAAAUAAUUUUAAAUUACAAAAAUGAGGAAACCUUAUAUGUUAUAUAUUUUUUUAAAACGACUUUAAAAUACAAGAAUGAGGACACCUUAUAUGUUAUAUUUUUCUUAUAUGUUAUAUUUUUCUUAUAUGUUAUAUUUUGAAUUAUUUAAAACGACUUUAAAUUACAAAAAUGUAAGUUUUCCUCAAGUAUACGACUAAAAACAUUAAAAUGACAUGUAUCAGUUCGAUGUUUGAUUUGAAAGCUUUCAAAACCAUAUGUAAGAUAAAAGUCAAAACAAUUCAACUGUGAAAACAAUACUGUUCACUUUUUCAAGAAUGUGUUCGAGGGGAAAAAUAAGGUUUUAUGUCAUAAUUUGUUUAAUGUCCACUAGAGAACAUUAUAUUAACUUAAAAUAUAAGAAGUGUGUAUUCUUUCCCUAAAUAAAAGCUACGAAAUUACCUAAUAUUAUUUACAUAUAUAUGACAAUUAAUGAUUAUGAAUAAUAAAGAUUUGAUAACAAUUUUUGCAUCCUUCUUCAUUUUGUUUAAUUUUAUAUUAUUAAAAGUAAUAAACAAUCACAUUAACCAUAUAAUAAAAAAAAUUAGAUUUUUUUCUUAUAUGUUAUAUUUUGAAUUUUUUAAAAUGACUUUAAAUUACAAAAAUGAGGAAACCUUAUAUGUUAUAUAUUUUUUUUUAAAAACGACUUUAAAAUACAAAAAUGAGGACACCUUAUAUGUUAUAUUUUUCUUAUAUGUUAGAUUUUUUCUUAUAUGUUAAUUUUGAAUUUUUUAAAACGACUUUAAAUUACAAAAAUGUAAGUUUUUCUUAAGUAUACGACUAAAAACAUUAAAAUGACAUGUAUCAAUUCGAUGGUUGAUUUGAAAACUUUUAGAACCAUAUGAAAGAUAAAAGUCAAAAUAACUCAACUGUGAAAAUAAUAUUGUUCAUUUUGUUCAAGAAUGUGUUCGAUGGAAAAAUAAGGUUUUUAUGUCAUAAUUUGUUUAAUGUCCAAUCCGAUCAACCCAUGAUGUAUUAAUUAUAGUUUUGUUCUAUUAUUUUUAAUAAAAAUUGAUCCGAUCCAUCGGAAAAAAAUUAUAUAAUAACAACACAAAAUAUUUUAUAUAUAUAAAUAAAAUGAUCAAAUAUAUAAAAGAAACUAUCGAUAAUAUAUACAAAUAAAUUCAUCCUGCGCAAGGCGCAUCUCUUAUCCUAGUAAUAAUAAUAAUAAUAAUAAUAAAGUUGCUCAGAAAGCUCCUCGUGCAUCCACAUCAUCUCUCCAUGCUCCAAAACUCGCCACGUGUCUCUGUUCCAUGGCUCUUUCUUUAUGUUUGAUUUUUUUGUCCUCUUUGUUUCGUUUGAUUUUAUUUGGGCCCAUGAUUAUACGAAAAUCUCACCCCGAUAUGUCUUUUAGGGUUAUCUCAUGCUCAAGUUACUGUUCGGCGCUGUAAACAUUCAGAUUUCCAAGGUUCCCAUUAAAAAGAAUUGUAACGUUUUCCCUUCUAUGUAACUCCACCAUUAAUCCAAUCAUUAAAACUACACUCCACCUCCCCUCACACUCCGUCUCAUUUAUUCAGUCUCAUCAUCGGUGUAGGUACCGGCUUGAAGCUCCACCUAUAAAUGAGUCCGUUUGAUGCGAUGAACAUCUCCGUCAGAUUUCUGAAAGAUUAAACUCUGUAACGCAACAGCUCCAACCUCAUCCUUGACAAGAAGGUAACUCCCACGACCUCAUCCCUUUCUUAUUAAUACAAACGUUUAUCACAAAACCGAUUGUGUAAAGUUAUUGUUUAUUCUUGUCAAGCAGUCUCCGCUUAUCCAAGGGACCAUCAAUGCCAACCGAAACUCAGCGAUCAUUAACAUGUAAUAGUCGUAACUUUUCCUUCGCUUCUUCUAAUUCUGAUUACUGUAACAGUCGAAUAUCCUUUUUACUAGCUGUUGUGGAAAAGGAUUUGAUGGUUAUGUAUCUGCUUAUCUUCUUAAUUCAUUGACUCCGAUGAUUUUUAAAAUGUCCCUCUUUCGUUUAUCGAUUUGUCUAAUAUUUCAUUUGUUUGGUUACUGCAAAAAGUGUUAUCGGCUAAAUAUGUUAUGGUGUUCUUCCUGAUUAGUAUUUAAAACUUUUAUAUCACUUUUGGAGUCUAUUUGUGCUUCAGUCUUCAUGUCUUUCCUUCUCUAAUGGUUUUCAUGUAAAGUUUCAUGUCAGCUCUCCGAUGGUUCACAAGUAUUUUCAUCGUAAACGUUUCUUCUCUUUAACUUAAACUGUUAUGUAGAACGUGCUUCUUAUUUUUAACCUCAUCUUGUGAGGUGAAACAUUCUGCUCGCCUAUUCGGUCUUCUGCUGAUCAUUUGUGUUCUUGCAGGUUGUAGUCAGGAGACUCAAGGCAUGUAGAAACAGAGAAGAUAUAGAUUUUGUUGUUGAAGUCGAGAUUCGAAAGAAAGUUUUGUGAAAAUUGUUGAUCAGAGACUGAGAGUAGAGAACGUGGAAGAGAAGCUGAGAAGUUUUUCUUGCUGGGACUAAAAUAUGCUCAGAUGGAGCCGGAGAAGAGACCAACAAUGUCUGAAGUGGUGGAGAUGCUAAUGAAUAAAUUAAUGGAGAAAAUGUCGUCUGAAAUUGAAGCCAAUUCUCUCUUCAAGAAUCCAUAUAGCAGCAAUUAAAACUGUAGAGAGCAUCAGGAGGUUGCAGAUGAAAGCUCAUACGUGAUCUCGGAAGAAAAGGAUCAUUAUUAAAAGGGUUUUUAGGCACAUGACAUUUGUUUUCUCAGAUUAGUUUUUAACAUCUUCUCUUAAUUAUAUUAACACAUGACAAAGCUACUCCAUUUCCAAAUUUCUACUAACACACUUCUCCACUGAAACUUCCAUUAAAAAGGUGUCAAAUGAAACUAUUUCACUUAGUUUGUGUAUGACAACUUUGUUUUGUACAUCCUUAGGGUUGCUUCAUCACAGUUUCUCUGACUUGGCCCAAGUCACCAUACCUUGACCGUAGAAAGACCUGCAGCAAAAUAGUAAACUCAUCAUAUCAUUAGGUGAAAGAGAAGCAUUGUUCUCAACAUCGCAACAGUGUAGAUGGUUGGAAGCAAGGAUCCAAAGCGAGUAAUAACCCGCGGAUUCCAAUAUAAAAAAUGAUCUCAAAGGAAACACCACCAAAGUCUGAAAAAAGUUUAUGAAAAAAAGAAGUGGUAAAUACAUUUAAAAGCAUUUUAGUAAUUUAUAAAAGGUCCAAAUAUAUCACAUAUUUUGUAUUACUGAAAAAGUUUUUUAAAAAAUAAUGAUAAAAAUAAAUUUCACCACUAAAACUCCUUUAAUGUAUGUAUUGUAUCUACUUCCUAAAGUGAUAUAUAUGUAGUCUUACACUACCAAAUUUAAUAGAACGAUUAGCAAAUUUUAACAUUUAAGGAACAAAUUUAUAUGAUCAAAUUAUUAUAACAAAUGUUAUAUUUCAGUGAAAUUUUGAUGCUUUAAAAUGAACCAUCAACACAUAUAAUCUCAAUUUAUGAUAACCAGAAGCUUAAAACUUAACAUUAAAAUAUUGAUAUAUGUACAACAAAUUUUUAUGAGUUAGCUAUACACAAAAUAAUCUAUAAAUUUUUGAAAAUAAUUAAUCUCUUCUAAAAUUUUAAGAUUGUAAUAUAAACUUUGAACUGAAAAAAUUAAAAUAAUUAUCAUGAAAAUUAUUAGCAUAUGAAUAUUUAUGUUUUGUGUUGAUAAGAGGAAACUAGACCGCGAAAUACACAUCAAGCAAAAAAUUACAUUAAAAUAUUAUUGAAAACCAACACUUAUAAAAAAAACUAUAGAACAAGAAAACCUUACGAAUCAAAACAAUAUUUUUCAUCAUUUGUUUUCAUAAGUCCCAUCAUCUUAUGAAUUUAAAUUAUAAUAUUAACUUAGAAUUAUAAGUUUAAUUUCCAAGGGAUUGAAACAAAAUCCAUAUGUAGAAUAUAUUCUCCCCGUUGAUAGUCAGGGUCUUCUGUAUUAUUGAUGGUAACAUUCAAGAGGGUUCAACCAUUGUCCAACCAACCUUACAAACCAAUGAUGACACUGCAGACCAGGCUUUGGACAUUUGGGUAUUCCUUCGGAUAGAAUUUUUUGGAUUAAAAAAAUUGGUCUCAUUCGGAUAUUACAAAAAUAAUCACGUUCAAGUCGGAUCCUCCCAGAUACGUGUGGGUUCGAAUUUUAUCCGAAAUAACCAAACUAUUCGAUUCAACUCGGGUAUUUUAUAUCCAAAUUACUCAAACUAAUAUAAAAUAACUUAAAACCUAAAAAUACUCAAUUUAUAUAGUUCGAAUUAGUUAUAUUUUAUUUGAAAGUAACUAUAUACAUAAUGUUAUUUGAGUAUUUUUUUUUUAAAUCUAAGCAUCUAUUUUUAUCUAUGAAUACCUAAAAUAACUAAUAUAUUUGAUUUAUAAUUUUAAUUUUAAGUAUUAAUACUAUUAUAAAUAUGAUUUAAAAUAAUAUUAUAUAUAUAUUUAUGUUUGGACAUGUUUGGAUGCUCAUUUAGUUUUCCGUACGGGUCGGGUUUGGUUUUGAUUUUUUUGGAUUUUUGAAAAAUGGUCACAUUCAGAUGUUCAGGCAUGAUCCAACUGAUACCCUAUUUUUCGGGUCGGUUCGGGUAAAUAUUUCGGAUAUGAAUAUUAUACCCAGCCCUACUGCAGACAUAAAGGACAAGUGAGACGCAAUAUACACAACAGAUUUAAAGCAAUUGUGUUUAAAUAAAUUUGUAAAAUAAAAACCAUAUUUCUCCAGUUCUAAAAACUCUUCAAGCAUAAAUCAAAUACUAAUAUGGAUAUUAAUAUAUAUAUAUAUAUAUAUAUAUAUAGUGAAAACAAGAGAUACAAUAUAAAUGAUCGGAAAAGUACAAAAUAAUAUAAAUAAAAUUAUCUCAAUUGUGGUAUAGAUUAAAACAAAUCGAUAAAAAUAUAUACCAUUAAAUGAGAAUAUCUUCACUGAAACUUUGUUAAUUAUGAAAAUUAGUUACCCUCAACUAAAAGGAAGCUGAAUAUUAUUAAAAACAAAAUCAACCGAAAAACGAUAAAAGUAAGAUAAAAAGGAUCAAAUAAAUAUUAUUUUAUACAAAAUAAUCAAAUCAUGAAAAUAAAUGAUAAAUAAAAUAUAAUUUGAAACUAAAUUUUCACGCGAAGUGCGGACAAACCACUAGUAUUAGAAUAAAGUUAGCAUGAUUACAUAUGGAGUUAAAUCAUGGAGGCCUUAAAAGAGAGCUUAAAUCAUUGAGAAGAGCAGUGACAACUUGUAUUAAUAAUUAGUGAUAACAGUUAAUCUAUCUAUUCGUUUUUAAUAACGCGAUUAGAAUAAAGGACCCUUAAUCAGUGUCCAUAUUUUGCCUUAGGCUCGUAGAGAAAAAAACCAAGUGUCUACAUGUUCUCUUUUUUUUUUUAACUGAUUACAUGUUCUCUUUAGUUAGAUAGAUUUCUCAUUUCUGUAUCGUUACAUUAAUUCUUAUUCUAGUUUCUUUUUGAAAACGGGCUUUACAUUCUUAUUCUAGUUUUUUUUUUUUUUUUUUUUAGGUAACCGCGGGUUUCCGGCGACCGUGGUCAACCGACUAUUCCUGCGAGGUCCACGGCACUCCAUGUAUUUUUGGGAUUUAACCCUAACCCGGAUGGCCAGCAGGACUCGAACUGCGGGUACCGUAUUGAGGAUUUUUUCCUCGAGCACCACUAGCGCAAGGCUGCUGGUUACUUUCUUAUUCCAGUUGCAGAGUAUAAAUUUUGUUUCAUGGAGUUUAUAAGUUUCUCUUAGUCAUAUAUAUAUAUGUUUAUAAGUGUAUGUUUCUUCAUAAUUUUUUUUUUGCGAACUUUUCUCCAUAAUUCUUUUAAUACGUCUCUUUGAUUCCUUACUAUUUUGUUUGUUUUGGUUAGUUGCCGUAAGAACGAUAACGAUGUUUGUUUGUUUUUUUGUCAACGAUCAUGUUAUUUGUUAGGUUUGUUAAUUUUCUCGAAUUAUUAGGUUGUAGUUGCGGUAACCUUCUUUCGUUGUUUUUUUUUUUUUCUGAACACCUCUUUCGUUGUUUUUAUACUGUCUUUGUUUUGGGUGAGAAAAACACACUAUUCUUUUUUUGGGUAAACUUCGAGUUGUUUUAGCAAACCCUAAAGUUUUUUGAAUGGUCAAUUGCCGUCGAAUCCAUUACUGGGCCGAAUCGCUUAAAUGGGCUAUAUAUCAUAUAUAAUACCAGACUAGUGAAUGGGCUUCGAUCCAUCUCCUUAUAUUAAACUUGAAAUUGCUUCGAAUAAGGUUUGUCACGAGACAUCAAUUAAUACGUGACAAAUUUCUUUUUUGGUAAAAAUGUAAAGUUAUUAUUACCAGGAGCUUUUGGACAGAAACACAGAGAACAAGAAGCAGAUCAACAGAAAACAAAACUAAACACACCCAAAUUUAUUGGAGAGCGACACUACAAACCGAUAAGCCGUCCAGAGGUCUUGACCAGGAUUGCACUAACAGCUUGCCGCAAAGAGAGUAGCCGCAAUUAAACCGAGAGCUAAAAUCCGGUAAUUUUGGCCUCCACGAUGAUCCACUCUUUAUGAUUCGACUCCAUCGAGAACAGCUUGCGGAAGGCUACCUAAGCACCCACACACACGAGCAGACAACACCGGCAGAGACCAAACACACCCGCUCCGACCAAACCGAGCAAUUAUUCGGAAAGAAAGGCCUCCACGGCUAGCCACACACCACAGACCAACACCAAGAAAUUAGAGAAGACACGCACCGCCAGUAAAAGAAGGACAGAAGACAGCCCUAAAUCAUGCCCCUGAAGCUAAUCGUCUCAACGCGCAAGCCACAUAGAAGGAGAAUCGUGGUUGACAAGACCAGCAACAGACCUCCUUUUACGCGUCCACAGCGGAGAACCCGCAGCAGAACUUCUCAGAUCAGAACCAAAGCAACCGAAGAGACCAGUCAAGAGCUUGACUGACUUACCUUAAGACAUGCGCCGCCGUGACCAAAGAACAUGCACAAGAACACCGAACCUUCACCGUCUGAAGAGCUCAGUCGCGAAUGCAGAUCGAGAGAGCUAGCUCCCCCGCACCGAGAAGGUGAGGCAGAGGAGAAGGGAGGAGAUCCACUUCCAAUGGUCAGAUAUCUGACACUAGAUCGAAAACCUCAGCCCCCGAGCCCGACCAAAAAAAAACCCUCAACAAACCGAACACCUUGAUUUUCCGAUGCUCCGAGCCAAACACACCAGAUCUGAACCGCGGUGGUGAUAGGGCCUAGAGUGUAGAGAAAGGAAUCACGGAGGGAGGGAUCGAGAGGGGUGAGACGGAGAGAGCCAAAUCGAAAAGGAGGGGGGGGGGGCGACCAGAGCAGGAAGUGGAGUUCAGGCCACCCAAAGCGGCUGAAUUAGGGUUUGCGCUCUAUACGCUUUUAGAGAUGGAAGAGAGCGUUUUAAUUUAGAAAAAGAAAGUUUUUCGACAAAUUCUCUAUUAACCCUUCUUUUUGUAACAAUUCUCUAUUAGCCCCUUGAUUCUGAAACAUUGCUUCUACUGCUAGUUUAUACUAUAACAGAUUCAAAAAAAUAUUAUAAGACAAAUCUACUAACAAAUUUACCUACUUUGUUAAGAUUAAUAUGAAAUUCUACGUGCACUAGUUUCAAAAAAAAAAUAUACGUGCACUACAAUUAACCAUCAUAUAAAAAUCUAAUCUUGAUGGUUCUAACUAUACCAUAUUAAAGAUUUUUUUUUAACGUCUGAUUAAUUAUGUUAUUACAACGAUAAAAAAUAUUAUAUAGACGAUUCUACGGCCGACAAUUCUAAUAUCAUAUGAGAAUGCAUGUCUGACUGCAUCACUCUGAGCCGCCUUAUGAUAUUCAUGUUCGAUGAUACGCUCUUGCACCAUGAUGAAUACCUCUUGUAACCAUUUUUCUCCAUAAUCUGCAUAAUUUGUGUUUUCUGGAGUUUGAACCCCAAACCUCUUGGUGUAGAAGCAUUAAUGAACUUUUAGUCAAAUCACUGGACUAAUGGGACUUCCAUCGUAUUAAAGAUCUUAUGUAAAUUAUUAUUAUUUAUUUAUAUAAUUAAUGACAAUUCAUAUUUUGAUACUCUAAACUUAGACCUUCUGGUAUAAUAACAUUAAUAAAAUUUUAAUCAAAUCACUAUAGUAAGUGCUUCAACAAUUUCGAAAGAUGGCUUUACAAGAGAUUGUACGCACUACGCAGUACGGCAGUAGCCAGUAGGCCGCUUUCUUCAUUGACUUUCCAGUAACUGGAGUCUAGAGAGUAGAAACUAUCUGAGGUCAACCGGUUUCCAUUCCAUAUCAAUAUCCGUUUCUGGUCAGCUACUCAUCAAACCUAACCAAAUCGAACAAACCCUAUAUGUGCCAGUGGCCAUGAUAUAUAUUACAUUUGGUAUUUACAGAUUUCGGCAAAUAGAAUAAUGUGAAUAAGCAUCAUCAUGUGGUAUAUCUUCAUAAAUCUUGAUAGUGGAACGCAAUAAUGCAAUAUGCAUAUACAAAUGGAGCAUAUAUGUAAACCUACAUCAUUGAGGCUUACGACUUAUAAACGUCGACUCUGAUUGACAAAGUCAAUUUUCCAAUACCAAUCACUUUCUAAAAUGUCUACCAUAUAUUUGUCAAAGAAAAUUUUAAUGAAUCUCAUGAUUACAGUAUUUGAAAUCUUAUAAAAAAAUUAUACCCUUCGAUCAAAUGUAUACUCACACUAACCCUAUAUUUAUAUUUGCAUCAAGGAUCAAAACAAUUUUCCUAAUUUGAUAUAAUUUUUUUACUUAUUAUUGGAUUCACCUUUUAUGGUGAACUUCUAGGUUCACCAAUGAUCUUGUUAUUUCAUAUUCGAUAUUUGAAAGAAAAAAAAUUGUUAAGUUAUAUUAUGUUUUUUAAAAUAAAAUGGUAAAAAAAUAAAAAAUAGUAAUAGUUAUAAAAAAAUAUUUUUAGCGUCAUCAGCAAAACACUAAACCCUAAAUCCUAAACUUUUGGGUAAACCAUAAAUACUUGGGUAAACCCUAAACCCUUGGGUAAACCCUAAACCCUUGGAUAAAUCAUAAAUUCUAAAUCUAAAACACUAAAACACUCAAGGGUUUAGGGUUUAAGAUUUAGGUUUAGGGUUUAGUGUUUUAAUGUUUAAUGUUUUUUAUUUAGAGUGUAGGAUUUAGGGUUUACCAAAGAAUUUAGGGUUUAGGAUUUAGGGUUUAAUGUUUUGAUGACGACCCUAAAAAAUAUAUUAAAAAAAAAAAUUGUAACUACUAUUAUUUUUAUUUUUAUUUUUACCUUUUUAAUUUAAAAACAUAAUAUAACUUGACAAUAUUUUGUUUCUUUUUCUAAAAGAUAUCAAAAAUGAAAUAACGAUAUCAUGUUGGUUGGUGAACCUAAAGGUUCAUCACAGGAGGUGUCUCAUGAUUACAGUAUUUGAAAUCUUUAAAAAUUACACCCUCCGAUCAAAUGUAUACUCACAGUAACCCUAUAUAUAUGUGUAUAUUUGCAUCGAGGAUCAAAACAAUUUUCCUAAAUUUGAUAUAAUUUCCCCAAAACAACCGGGAGUGUCAUUGGUAUAACCGACCUUUUACUGUUGCGGCAAAGGUCACUAACAUUAUUAUUAAUCACAGCAAUUUCUUAACAGAGUGAAAUAACCGCGUCUGAAUGAAGAUAAUAUAAUAUCUAAUCAUUCAUGGUCGUCGUAUUGAUUCGAUAGUAGGUUAUAAUGGAGCAUGAGGUUCUUGUAUAGAUGUUAAAUCAGUGGAGUAAGUGGCUGCUUUGUGUAAAGAUUCACACUGUCGCUUUGAUCUUUUUCUUUCCAUUGCUACACAAAUCGAUCUUUCACUAACGUCGUAUGUACAAUCUUUCACUGAUUUAACGUUUUUAGGUAUAGUGUAAUUCCAGUCGAUAUUCAACUAAAUAUAUUUUCAGUUAGUCAUUGUUUUGAUGCCUUGCAGGAACUAUUUGUAGUAAUAUAACAAGCAUUAAUUAGAAUCUGAUAACGUUUUUAAUAUAUCAUCAUAAUUUACACUUCAGUUAGCACUUUUUAUGUUCCCUUAAUACGUUGAAAAUAAUAAACACACAUCCAAGGACAACAUUUUAUCUAUAAGUUACUUAUGGUAUCUCUUUCUAAUAUAAUUAAAACCUAUAUGAUUUAGUCAAACAAAGUGCUACUAGCUAGUAAUAAUUAUAAUCAGCACAUCUGAAUAUCUGAUGCAACAAUGAUUAUGCAACAGCCAUAUACAUCUUUAGAGUUUACAUAUUGCAUAAAUUUCGAUAGUGAUAAAACAUUGUAACUAUAACUUUUAAUGAACUAAUGGCUCGAUUAGAUGGUGAGUUGAGGUGCAAUUUAAGAUGAGAUGUUUGUAAAACGACAAAAACUUACCAAAAAAGAGAGAGAAAGACAAAUGAAAAAGGAAAAUAAAGGCACCUUAUGAUUAAGACCCUCGAACUUACACAAAAACACAAAUCCAAAAAGCUUUAGAUAAGAUACAAAGAUGAAUCCACGUUAGAGGCUUUAGUUAACCAAAUUACUAUGCAUGGUGUAACAAUGCAACGUACACGUAUUUUUUAUAUAUAUAUAUAUAUACAAUUUAAUAAAAUGGAAACUGUUAUCUCGUUGGUAGAAAUGGCAAAUAUUUAUCUAUUACUUUUUCGUUUUCCAUCCACGCGAAUCUCUGAAUUUUUUUCUAUUAAAAAACUGGCUUAAAAUCCGGAGUAUGCAGCUUUUGUAAUAUUACAAUACUAAAAGUUGGAUAUACUCAACAGAGAAGCUGUCCACGUCAUCUAUAAAAAUUGACAAAUCAGAAAGCUUUCAUUCGCCACAUUAGUACUGCUGUUUUGACUGAUCAAAACUGGGUUUCGUUUCUCUGUCUUAGUCUGUCUUAACAUUUUAAUUCGGCCCAUAACAAACCCACCUUGCUAAGCCCUUUUUUCGUCUGUCUAUUGAGAGUCGAUAUCUCCCUCCCCCGACUGUUCCACUUCUUCUCCCUCAUCUGUUCCCUCUCUGAACUAAACGUAGCCUUCAGACAUUACUGAUCAAUCAAUGAAGGUCUUUAAGCUCCUCUUGAUUGUUUCGUUCCACUUCCCAUUCAUCCUCCUCCUAUAUAAAUCAUUGCGUCUACUCCUUAACUCCACACAAAAUCAAAACAUACUGAAACAGCUACAUUCAUGGCCAUGAAAUCGACCGGAAAAUCUCAGUUUUUUACUUCAGCGAUGCCUCACCAGGUCCAGCCGAAUCAGAGCUUCGAUUUCAAUUGAUCCACUUCUAGCACUACAAGAAAACAGCGACAUACUGAGGGAAAAAAUCGUCGGUAUGUCGUCGGAAUAACGUUAUUCCGACGACAUACCGACGAAACAAGUCCUCGGAAAUAACUCCUCGGAAAUUCAUUUUUCCUCGGAAAUCCCUCGGAAUUUUCUGACGGAAUUCCGAGGACCACCUGUUCGUCGGAAAGCUCCUCGGAAUAUACCGAGGGAGAGCUUCCUCAGGAUAUUUCGAUGGAUUUUCCGAUGGUCCAAUCCUCGGAAGUUCCGACGAAAUGUUCCUCGAAAUUUUCAUCGGAAGUUCCGACAAAAAAAAGUCGACUUUUUUUGUGACAACCCGCCCCGUGGGAACUACCUGCCCCGUGGGGCCCAGGCUCACAGCGCUGCAGCGCACCGACCCCAACCUCUCCAUUAUGAGUUCUCUCUAACUCCAUAAUUAGGUUGUUGGUGAGCCUCGAACCCAGAACCUCACCCUUUAACAGCAUUCCCACUGGACAAGCUGUCACCAAUUGACAUUACAAGGCUCUGAUACCAACUUGUAUGACCAGAUCCUGGAUUCCCCAAUCCAACCAGACCGCAGCCUCACCAAACAAUGCAACCAGUUUCAUUUACAUAUUCAAGUUUAAGUGAUAAAUAAUUCUAAGUCUUUUUCAGAGUUUUGAGGUUCCAACAUUCACAGUCAAACCAUCCAACAUCGACUAGGGCAAAUAGAUAUUUCAUAGAUAAUAACCAAGGUUCAUACAUCAUUCAUCAUCCUAAUAAAUAGAUCACACACUAGAAUCGCAUAAGUUCACAAGUUGCACAAUAGGCUACAAUAAUUACAUAAUUUUCCGAAUCAACCCAAUCACCACACAUCUUCCCAUGGCCGCUUCCUCAUGGUGCUUUUCCCUUACCACGGUCCAUUUCAGGUCCUGGAUCCAACACAGACAAACACACAAUCACAAGGUUAGAUUACAAAACUAGAAUCAGUUCACAUUGCAUGGUCGAAUCCAAUCUAGACAAGAACAAUCAUCAAAAAUGUCAAAUCUGACCCCUUUAAAAAGAGAUCCAAAUACCAAAUAAAAUUCGUGAUAAAUCAUGACAAUUCAGAAGAAAAAUAUUCUCAUAAUCAGAUUCAAAAGAACCGGCUCAGAUCAUAGUGAUCUCGGCCAUGAUCAGCCCACACAAGAACAAGGGGCUUUCAUGGGGAUUUGAUCAGGCCAAGGCCUUAAGAUUGAUAGAUCCUUCCCUGUAAUAUCAUAAAACAAUCCCUAGUACAAUAUAUAUAAAGAAACAGAGUAGAAGAAGUCAGAGUAAGGAGUGGCCAAUCGAUCCAAACCGGCCAGACUCACACGGCCAUCAUCCGCAGCCUCGUCCGGUUACUCUUGGCCACACCUCUCACCUUAGGAGUUCGGUCUCCAGGGGCGACUUCCUUCUCUUUCUCCUUUGCCUUCUCCUUGUCUUUCUGUCUCAAAUCCAUCCUCUUGAUCACACGCCCAAACACACCAGGAACACUCAAGAACAAUCGCUUGGAUCAAAUCGGCCAAUCCAAGGUUUGUGUCUCUCUUUCUCUCUUGAAUUUUCUCUGUGUUUCUCUCUGUGUGAAAGUGAGUAAAAAUCGACCAGAAUGGCAGAAAAGAGAGAGAGAGGACGACUUAAACUGUCCCCAACCGCCUGGGCGAACAGUUACCAAAAAUCACAUCCCUUCUUCCCAAAACCGUCCCAUAACCGCCCAUUGGCGGUUUCUCCCCUUUUCUUCCUUUGACAAAUCAAUCACUGAGCCUUAGCUCACACUUUGGAAGCUUGCCCACUCCCUGUCCCAAGCCUAAGACCAAUUUGGUCGAACCGUCCCGCACCCGGACCAUCGGCUCGCCCAGUAACCGUCCCAGACUCGUCCACACUGAUCCGAACCAGAACGCACCGAUCACCGGAUUGAGCUGACCUCCAGCUGUUCCCAGCUGAGUGAGCUAGUCCACCAGCUCCCGUGAGCUGAACAUAUCUUAGUGAACUGAAUACCAGCUGAACCGAUCUGAUUGAACUCAAACCAACACUCGUCCAGCUGCCUAAACACUCACUCAACUCCUUUAACCUUGUUUCCAUCCUAUCCUGGUUAAGUCUCAGCUGACUGAUGCCCUUAACCUUCAUUUAGGGCCAUGAAACGCUUGUCUCAAGGUCCAAUGACCUGACUGGUGUGUCUCCCCGCACCAUGGCCCGUCCGGCCGAUCCUAUCUAGGAUCGGAGACAUGACAAGUCUCCCCCACUAACUUGAGAUUCGUCCUCGAAUCCAUGUUAAGUGUUUCCUCAGGAAGAAAUUGUUUGUACCAGUCCGGAUAUGUAGCUUUCAUUUUUGCUUCUGUUUCCCAAGUGAUGAGGUCUUUACCAUUAUAAUCCCACACCACUUUGAUCAUGGGAACUGUCUUCUUUCUCAUAGCUUUCUUUGACCGAUCCACAAUCCGAACCGGUAAGGUUUCCAAAGCCAGGUCCUUACCAAGGUCAGCAGGAAUCUCGGGCAAGAAAAUGUCUUGUUUAGACAAACAUUUCCGGAGUUGGGAUACAUGGAACACAUUGUGGUAUGCAUCCAUUGCUGAUGGCAAGUCCAACUUGUAUGCCACUGCACCCAUUCUCUCUAUGAUUCUGAAUGGACCCAAGUACCUAGGAUCCAGUUUCUUUCGUCCAGAAACCCUCGUCCUACCCUUAAAGGUAAUCAUCUUGAGAUACACCAGGUCAUUGACCUCAAACUCAAGAUGUUUCCUACGCUUGUCUGCAUAGCUCUUUUGGCGGUCAUGCGCUUCUUUCAUCUUCUCUUUAGGCUAUUUGCGUGUGAUGUAUGGAUGUAGCGCCUCUUUCAUCUUCUCUUUAGGCUAUUUGCGUGUGAUGUAUGGAUGUAGAGGAAGCCUAGGGCGUGGCAAACAAUAACCAAAACUCACCAGAGUAGAAAGAAGAAAUAAAGGAAAUGAUAAGCCAUCAAAGUAGAAAGAAAGAAGAUGAUGAAUAUUUUAACCAAAAAAAAUAUAUUGAAAAGGACAUAAUAGAUAUAAACAUAUUAUGAUUUGGACAUGUGCAGUGUAGCAUAUAGCCAACAUAUGACUAUGCGAGUGCCAUUUUCUAAAAUUACACUUAAAAAUAAAUUAUAGAGGAUUUGUGAAUCAUACUCAAAUUGUAAAACAUAUACAUGCUAUUCGAGUCAAACACACAUUGAAAAUGAUGUGAAAAUUACUGAUCAUACUAAAGGUUUUUCAAAAGUCAUCUUACAUGAAAACAUAUACUAAAAUUUUUAUUUUUAAACAAAUUUCAAAGCGACAUUACAUACAUGCCAACAUCACAAAUUACAAAAUGGCAAAAAAACAUUAUAAGGAAUAUAAGAGAGAUUCAAAAAGAAUUUCGAAACCAUCAUGUCUUUAUUGUGAAUUGGAGACAUAACUAACUGGAAUUUGGACAUGGUAUAACACCCACUUGACGAUGUAGGAAAACAGAUAAUAUAAAUUAAAUGGUGAGAGUAAUUAGUAAUUAGUGAUUAGUGAAAAAUAAAACGAGUAAUAAACAUGUUAUCAAAUAGGCCCAAACGCAAAAAGAAAUUAAAAAAAUGUUGAAAAUUUAUAACAUAGAUAAUAUUCAAUGCAGUUUUUAAGUUCUAUAAAAUUUAAAACAUUAUUCUUCUACUUUAGUUUCUACUUUCUACAUUUAGAAUGUAACUAAUUUGACGAGAAGCGUAUAAGUAUUUUUUUUUAAAUUAGUUACAUAACUAACUACAAAUCAAAUGCAUGGUUUACUUAUAUAUAAUAAAAUCUAUAUAUUUUAUAAACAUAAAUAAGUAUAUGGAAACAUCAUAUUUUAGCUAUAUUUAUAUAUAAAAAUUAAAAAUUUAUAAUGCUUUUAUUCAUAUUUAAAAUUAAUUGAAAAAUUAAACUAAGUUAUCAGUUUAUAAUAUCUUUAUUCAUAUUUUUAUAAUUUUUGGUUCAAAUCCACCGAGAACAAAAUUUAAAAAAGAUUCUCAUAUAUCUGUUAAAACUGGUCUUAACUAAUGGUCAAUUAUAGGUUGCUUUCUUACAUAUUACAACUAAAGCUGGAAUGACAAUCAUUCAAAAAAAAAAGGUUACAUCUUCUAAAACUGAAGAACAUAGUGUACAAAAAACUAAAAUUUAAUAAAUAAAAUUGAUAAGAGCCCAAAAUAAUUUGUAAGUAUAUAGUUUUACUUUCAUCACAAAUUAAAAAAAAAAUGUUACUGAUUAAGUUUUGAAAAUAUUUUAAAAUUAAAUAAAUAUAAAAUUUAAAAGGAAAAAGAAAGAUUUGUUUUGUCUUAGAGCCCGUACUAGUGUUGAAUCGGUCCUGAUCACAAUUUAAUUGUUGUCAACGUAUGUUAACUAUAAGUUUAUAACCUUAUAUGAGAAAACAUGUAUUUAUAUAUUAUAACUAACGAUUGCUAUUACAACAUUCCUCUCUUGAUCCUUUCCAAAUACUCUCUACCAUAUUACCAGAGACUAUUGAUUUCAUACAGUAGUUAAAUUGUUAUAAUUAACCUUUUCAGUUGUCAUAUACAAUGACGAUAAACACAUUCAACUUUCUAAAGUUAUGCAUGCAAAUCAUAUUUUUUGGUUACAUAAAGACUGUACACAAAAAUUUUAGUAUCAAAAUUUAAACUAAUUACUAAUAUACUGCAAAACACCAAACAAAAAAACAAAUAUAUCAAACUUAAGAUCAAAAUGGUCAAUGAUAUAACUAAUAAAGUUUUCAAAAAAACACAAAUGAGAAAAAUAGUUCACAUUCUAAUUAAACAUCAAAAUAAUAUAUAUUUACAGGCAUUAUCCGCGCGUAGCGUGGAAAAAAGUUCUAGUAAUAAUAAAGAUAGAAAUGUAUAUCUCUAACUACCGCUAAACGUAAUAGAUGAAAUAUGAUACUUUCAUGAAUAUAUAGGAUAUAUGUGUUUCUCCCGGACAUAAAUAUCCACACAUGCAAACAUAAAUAUUUUAUAAUUAUUUAUUAAUAUAUGCAUUACUAAUUAAGAGACUAUAAUGAUAAAUUAUUAUUUAUGUUUUUUGAAAAUUCUUAUAUAUUAUUUUUUUUGAAAAUUUCUUUGUAUACUAUACUCAUCAUUUAAAUAAAUUUUAGAAUUCACUAAAUAUUAUUUUUCAGUUAUAUAAUAGAAAUUUUACUUGAUUAUUAUUUAAUUAUGUAUUUUCUGUUUCUUAAUUUUAAAUUUUUGAUUAAAAGAUAUUUUUGGUUAACAACACAAUAUCUAUAGGAAGUAUCUUUUUAUUUUAAAAUAUAUUUUUAAAAUUUUGGAUAAUUCUUAUUAUAUUAAUUUUAAUUACCUAUGUUAUCAAGAAAGUAAACUCUUUUUUAUUUUAGCUAAUUAAUAUAUUUUAUUUAUUAUGUGUAUAAACGAUAUUAUAUGCUCUAACUUUUAACAUGAGAACACAAAUGUCAAAAAAUCACUUCGCAAAUAAAAUUACCUGUCAAAAAAUUAAACUCAUUUUUGUUUUUAGCUAACUAAUAUAUUUUAUUCAUUAUGUGUAUAAACAAUAUUACCCGCUCUAGUUUUUAACAUGAGAAUUCGAAUGUCAAAAAUCACUUCGCAAAUAAUAGUAUAAAUAUUAUACAUGAAACAUUAUGAUGCAAAUAUAUAAUAGAUACACAAAAACCCACUAAAUUCGAGUGAAAUGUGAUGUAUAUUUGUCCAAAAAAAUAUGAUGUAUAUAUAAUCUGAUAAACAUUUAUACUAAACACACUAACAGAGAGUUUCAUAAUCCAUUCUUGAUCUUUUUAAUGACUUUCACACAUUAUUCCAACUAUCCAAAAUUUUAUUAUAGGUCAAAACUUUAAACAUAUUCCUGAUUUUGGGAAAGCAUAGUAUAAAAUAAAAAGGUGGUUUGUGGAGACGACACUUCUUUAUUUGGGAACACUGCUCAAUAUUGCUACUGCGGCUAAGUGGCAAAGACCUACCCCCUACUGUUUCUUUCCACUUUUCAUGCCCCGUGUGGCCCCAAUAAUGAGAGCCCAUGGGCCCAAAACUUUUCGAGAUUCUCUGCUCUCCCUCAUCCUCAAGUCUCAUCAUCUUCAUUGCAAUUAUUGGCGAUUUAGUAAAUCUCUAUACCAUUAGUGAACGGGUAACAUUACUAAUAUCUAUUCAUUACGAUUUAGAAACAUAAUAUGUAAAGUUUCAUUUUAUUUUAUAAAAUGAUAUUGCAGUGAAAAAAAAGUUACAUACUUCUACUCAUUUCAAUCAAAUUCACAAAAGUCAUGAACUCUAUUAAAAGUUGAUUUUAUAAUUCACUAACUAAACAUAAUUAUCGGUGCAAUCAUCAAGACGGAUUACAUUAAGAAAGCGUAUUUUAGCUGCUAAAUCAUAUGCAUGGUAGCAUAACAUGCGCUUCCAAGAGAAAGCAAAUUGUUUUUAAAUAAAAUAGAAUAAGAAAAUGGAGAAAGCGAGAGACAAUGGCAGAAUCGUAAAGCUAACAGGACGCUUUCUGUGACCUGUCGGGGAGUAGAUGUCUAUACAUAUGUAGCGUGUAUAUAUAGAUUCAUACAUGUAUAUACAAUUUGCCAAAUACAGUACUACCAUUCUUUUUCUUAAUUCAAAGUCAGUAGUCUAUUUUAAGGUUAAUCUAAUGUAUCGUGAUUUGUGUUUAAACCCCAAAGAGGAAAUAAUUUACUUCUAAUUAUUGAUUAUAAAAAAUAUUAACUUAAGUAUAUUUAUUCAAAUAAAUAAAAGAAGAGAAAGCUCUUGCUUUUGUUUAUCACACAAGUUUUAAUUUUUCCUCUUCUUCUUCAUCUCUCUCUCUCUCUCUCUCUCUCUCUCUCGCACAGGAAGGGUUUUACUGUUUUCUCUAAAUCACUAUAUGCUUCAACAGUUACUCCACAUUCAUCAUACUUGAGAAUGUCUGAAUCCGUAGCAGCAGAGCAUGAUUACAUAGGUUUGUCCAUGGAAGCAGCACAAAUGUCUGACAACAAAACCAAAACCAGAGACAACAACAACAACAAAAACGACGACGUUCUGAAUUUCAAAGCAACCGAGUUAAGACUCGGUUUACCCGGUUCUGAGUCACCGGAGCGAGUUGACCAAUGGUUCUUGUCUCCCAAGAGCUCAUGUCCAGUGUCAGGUGCCAAAAGGGUGUUUUCCGACGCCAUUAACGGGUCUACCAAAUGGGUCUUCUCUCCUGGAUCCGCUACUGAUGUCAAAGACAUUAAACCGGCCGUUCCGGUUAAGGAGAAGAAGAGCUCUGCUGCAGCAGCACCUCCAGCUUCCAAGUAAGAUAUUAAAAAAAAAAAGCUCUCUCCUUUCUACUCAGACAUCUCUGUUUUAGAGCUUUAAUGAUGUUUAUUUGAUGGAGCAGGGCACAAGUUGUGGGUUGGCCACCGAUUAGAUCAUUCAGGAAGAACACAAUGGCUUCUUCUCAAUCUCAGAAACAAGGUGGUGGUGAUAAUAAUAACUCAGAGACUGAAGGAGAAGCAAAGUCUGGAGCUGAGCCUUGCUUGUAUGUUAAAGUGAGCAUGGAAGGUGCUCCUUACUUGAGGAAAAUCGAUCUCAAGACUUACAAGAGCUACGUCGAGCUCUCUUCUGCUCUUGAGGAGAUGUUCAGCUGCUUCACUAUUGGUAUUGUUGUUUAUAAGUCUCUUUCAUUGAAGAUAAUAAUACAUGUGAGUGUGACUGAGUUGUUUCAUUUUCUACAGGUCAGUUUGGGUCUCACGGAGGGUGUGGCCGAGAUGGGUUAAACGAGAGUCGUUUGACCGAUCUCUUGCGUGGUUCUGAGUAUGUUGUUACCUAUGAAGACAAAGACAGUGUCUGGAUGUUGGUUGGUGAUGUCCCUUGGGAGUAAGUCUUUGAUUGUGCUCAAUUUUAGAAACCACUAAGAUCAAUCAACAACUUAAGCUUAACCGAAGAAGGAUAUAUCAAUGAAACUCUUUACUGUGUUUUCUCUGCAGAACGUUUAUAUGCUCCUGCAAGAAGCUGAGGAUCAUGAAGAGCUCUGAGGCUAUAGGCUUAGGUUAGCCUUCCUUCUCUAAACUCUUGCUCUAAGCAUAAAACUUUUCUUCAGAGAAAGAAACAUAUCAGUGAUAAAUAGCUCAGAAAGGAUACCACUUGGUCCCUUCCGAACUCUUGAAACACUAAGAACUGUCCUAUAACACAAAUCUUGUUUGUUUUGCAGCUCCAAGGGUGAUGGAGAAAUGCAGAAGCCGGAACUAGUUGAUGAUAUAUGAAUUUGUUUUCUAAGUAUUCUUGUGUGUGUGUUUGUGUGCUAAGAGUGAUGUUUGAUCUUUGUUUAAACAGCCUCUCUGUCUCUAAUCCAUCAAAUGGGUUUGUUUGUGUAUGUGUGUUUUUGCUUAGUGAGACUUCAUAACUCAUAUGUAUAAAAAGAUUGUUAGUGUGUAAACCAGCUGCGUUUUGAAACUUCAUAUCGAUGCACUCUCUCUCUGGUUUGGUCCCGGCUAACCAAAUGAUAUACCUAAAAGUCGCAGUGAAGCAAAAGUUGGAACAUUCUCUGGUUCAGAGUUUACGUUGAAGUGAUAUCUAAUUUGAUUGAACUAUUGGAUUCAAACGAAGUGAUACGGAUCAUCAUACUAUUACUAAACAUGUACAAAGGGUUUAAAACACGCACACCACAGUUUCAUAUUAAAUGUAUUUGAUCUAAUAUAUAUUACAGAACCUAAUCCUCAGUUCCCUUCUCUUUAAACCUCUAUGUACCAAACUGGAAACCGGAAAGGCUUACAGGACUUGUAGCGUAACACACUCCGAUUUGCUUCCUUGUGUCUCUCAAUUCUUCUGGAAGUUCCAGCUUCUCUUGCUAAGGCUGUUCACUAGCCAGCCAAAGUCGAGUAGAUUUUGCCCGUAUUGUAUCUUCACGAGGUAGCUUCUGUAAGGUAUCAGUAUGUUCUUAAGACCUGAGAGCAUUCAAGAUAGAUAUCAUUAAACGGAGAGUGGAGACAGUCAUUAACAGACAUCAAACAUAAAGAGCGUUGUUAGUUACCUGUUAUGCACAUUGUCUUGUAGAAGUGGGCAACAUGCGCAUCACCCUUGGUCACAACGCGCUUGUUCGACUCCAAACACUCAAGAAACGCCAGGUCGGCUUUCAGCAACUCAGCCUGGUCAUGAGUGUCAUAACCAAUAUCAUGGCAAUAACAGCAAUGGUCUAACCAAUCAAUAGGUCUCUGAUCCCAAAUCGGCGAACCCCCAUCUUUCCCACUAGACCAAUUCGGUCCACAGUAAUGCCCGUACCUCGGGAAAAGCUGCGAAAGAAGCGCUCUCGGCCCUGUGUGCCACGGAACCUUAGACACAUAAGGUCUAAACCGAUAAACAGUGCUCACGGUAUUCACUCUCGAUGACCUGCGAGACACGGCAUGCCUUUUCAACCCUCUGUUUAUAGUAGUGGGUUUCUGCUGCUUCCCAUCAGGUGAAGUUGCAGCCCAAGGAAACACAGAACCAAGGGAGAAAGUCCAUAUCUUUAUGCCGAACAAGCUUUGCCCUUGAUCUUGCUGUUCAAGGAGAGAAGUGGUGGAUGUCACGGUUUCUACCAUGGUUGCAUCUUUCUUCGAGCUGUUGCUGUUAAACCAGGAGAUGCUCGGUAACCCAAAGUUCAUCUGUAAACAACACACAGCAGUACAUACAAUGACUUCAGAAACUAAGUAUCAACUCUGUCAUCACUAUGAAUAUAAUCAUGUUUGAGUAAUUAAAAAAAACAAGACUUUGUUUCUGAAACUUCUUGGAAACCGACCUUUUUUGUGUAAUGAUCAAGACAAGAAGAAAAGUUUUAAUUUUUUCAGACAUAGGUUAGUAGUGUACGAAAAGGAAUAAACUUUGGUCUGUGUAAUAAGACGCGAGUGUUUGGGAAUUCAAGUUUUUGAAUUUCAUGAUAAUGCAAAGAGAGCAGUUUUAAUGGAUGAUGAUGAACAAGUCGAGAUCUCAAUAAACAUUUAAAAUUUACUAAACCUAAAUUACAUUAGAUCAAGAUCUCCAAAAUGGAAAUAGAAUCAGACUGAUUGAAUCAAAAUGAAAUUCACGAACCUGAACAGGAAAUUUUACAGAGACGCUACGAGAAGAAGACAGCUUUUUCGUUUUCCUUCACAAGUUUUAUCUAACCCUUUGUUUUAUUUUAUUGAGAAGAAACUUUAAUGAGCCGAAAACUUUAGUGGGCCGACGUUAUAGCCCAUAUAGGAACUAGAUUAUCACAAAAAAGUCUCAAGUCUUCACCUCUCAGAGGUAGAGAUGUCAAACGGGUUGAUCCGUUCUGUCCCGUCCCGUACCAAUAAACCCGGCAGCAGGUGAGGCCUGGAAGCGGAGAGGACAGGCUCGUGCUGCUCUUGGGGAAUUUGCUGAGGUUAGUAGUUCCACGUCUUCUCUACUUCUUUGUUCAGAGCUAAAAGCAUAGACAAUAAAUGUAUUUGAUGGUCCUCUAUUCGCCCCUGCAUAAUAUGAUAAAUAAUAUUUUCUGAUUGAUAUCCAAUGAUUUGGAUUACUCUCUGAUUGAUGUCUGUGUUUAAGCCUGUUUAGUGCUUGCAUUUUAUGGGUAAAUACAAGUUUCUUGUACACACUCUCAAUCUACUCGUUAUUGAUAGGCGGUUGAAGCUUUGACUCGAGCACUGGAAUUGGAGCCAAAAUCACCUGAUAUUUUGCAUGAAAGGGGUAAGUGUCUUUGUAAUGUAUUUCCUUUUACUUUACCUAUUUCAGUUUUGAUAUCUUAAUAAUUGUAUUCAGGUAUUUCAAUUUUAGAUCUAAGGACUUCACUGCUGCCGUAAAGGACUUAUCUAUAUGUCUGAAACAAGAAAAGGAUAACAAGUCCGCACAUACUUUAUUUGGUAAGACUAUCUUCUGUUCUUAUUCUUGGUCUCCGAAAUAACAAUGACAAAGUCCGCAAAUGUUUUCUUAGCAAAAAUUUGUUGAUCUUUCCAGGGACUAUCUUUUGCAUAUCUUGGUGAAUAUAUUAAAGCUGAAGAGGCGCAUCUGAAGUCCAUCCAGCUGGAUAGUAAUUAUCUUGAAGCAUGGCUACAUCUCGCCCAGGUAACACACAUAUACUUAUUUAUGUACAAUUAUGCGUUUUCUAUAUAAUUUUCAACUAUUUAGUCAUGAAAACAGUAUUUUGGUUAUUGCUUUAUUCUUCCUUUUUCAAUCUGGGUUUCCAUGCAUAUGAUGGUGAAUAAACGAAGUUGGCUUUCUGUAAAGCUUGUGAGACUUGUAAAUGAAGAGUUCUUUCAUUGACUUUGGAGGCAAACACUUAAAAAGUUUCCUGAAAGCCAUUGGAAAAUGACCUUACUUUAGUUGUCUUAUCCAAGUUUUUUCCAUAAUCAAUUGACUAUGGAACCCUUCACACUUUUUUUAUUCACUGACGUUGUUUCCUGAUUUUCUUGGCAGUUGUAUCAAAGCUUUGGAAUGCAUUGAUCAGGUUCUACAAGUCGACAACAGGUAGCUCUUUAUUUGGGAUGAACUAUCACAUGCUUACUAUAUUUCUGGCUUUGCCAUCGUAGUAAUGGAAAUGUUCCCGUCUUGACCAGGGUUUGGAAGGCCUAUCACUUUCGUGGGUUUGUGUUCCAUGGAUUAGGUGAACACAGGUAUGUAUAGUUAGGCUGUACUUAGAUUACUGGAAAGUGAAACUUUGGUUAAAGAGGAAAAUACGCCUUCGUUAGUUUGCGUGUUACCUAAAUCUCCUUAGUGAUCCACGUAUAUCUCAAUGUGUACUUUAAGAUAUGAUGUCUGAUAAGAUUUUCUUCUCAUGGCUCUUGGUGUUAAAAGAUCUCCGUGUGAGCAAAAGAAUGUUCUAAUAGAAACCGAGAAUUUUGAUGGUCAUAUUCACCUUGGGUUUUAUCUACAAGGCUGGUCUUUAAAACAGUGUUAUUACUUAAUAUUCACCUGUAGUUGUUUUGCUAUUUUGAUUUUUAAGGAGAGUAUAGAGAUGCGGUAAAUAAUCCACUUUGCUUCGCAGAAGGGAUACUUGGAAGUUGUCAGAACUCUACUUUCCGUCGGAGUUUCAUUGAAAGCCAUCACUCGCAAGGGACUGACACCUCUUCCCUACGCUGCUCAAGGUUCUCAGUUGGACCUCGUCAAGUACUUGGUUAAGAAAGGAGCCAAUGUCAGAGCUACAACAAAGGCAGGUGUUUAUGGAGCAUGUGUUUCAGACUCUGUUUUUCUCUAUCUCCGUCCCUUGCAAUGUCAUUUUUGAUCAUCUUUCUGCUGAAUGGUAGCUUGUGGCAGUGAGCCAAGUGAGAAACAUUCUCGGACUGGGAACACGGGAGGCUGAAGCUAUUACUGUUGAUGUCACGUCUAAGGCAUACCGUAAAAGACUUGCAAUCCAUGAAGGUAUAUUGGGACCACCUGACCUUAUGUUGUUGCGUUAUAUAGUUUGACUUACCACUGUAUCGCCCAAAGAUACGAUGGAUGGGGCCAUGGAAAACUAGAUUCUUAUCAAUUUGGUUGAUGGCUUGUGAACCUGCUGGUCCCUUACCUUGCGAACUAGCUUAAAUUGUUGUGAAUUUUGGUUCUCAGCAGACUUCCAACAAGUCUGGCACUUUCGUGUGGGUUUACACGCUGUUAUCUAACAGUUUUGAUGUCUAUUGAAUGAAGUCUUUUCUUCCCAGUCAUCUGACAAUAACCUGCUUUUCUUCAGAAAUCUACAGGCAGAAGCUUCAACAAUGUGUUCUGAUGGAGAGCCGAGCGAUGACAAUGUCGCUGCUUUGUUAAGGUCAAGAGUCAUGCUCUGAACUAUUGAGGCAGCUCAUGCAGAAAUCUGUGGAAGCAAAUUUGAAAAGGUAAUCCAGCUUAUUAGUCCCCUUCUAUGCCCUAGUUUGUUACCAUGGUCUUUCGUCUUAGUGCUCUGCAGAUUUAACGCUGUUUUUUAAUCUCUCAUGUUAAUAGUAAUUUUUUUGCCUGUUUUCAAUCCGUUUCCAUUAACUUCCUUUGGACCAUAUUUGAAUACAGAUACUUAUUCGUUACCAGUUUGGCAGGCAGGUUAUUUCUUCUGGAGUGAGAUGGUUACGAUGCUGAAACUACAAAUCAGUAAGAAAGGCUACUCAUGGUCUUCGGUUAUCCAGAGAGACUGCCAUGUCUAUUGCUAGCAAGGCUGUGAGUAUCAUCAUCGCACUCUUUACUUUCCCCAUAUUUUUGAUAUUAAUAGUUUCUCUGAUAAGAAAAGAUAAACUAUAUCAGACGAGCAAAGGAGCCCAAGAAGAUGAUUGCCUUGAAUCGCUCAGAAAGACAAGACCUGACAAAGAACUCGCGGAGAAGAUGGGAAAGCCUGGCCAGACUGAGAUAACUCUUAAAAACGACCUUCCCGAGAGGGACAGGAUCGAUCUCUACAAAACAUACUUGCUCUACUGUCUAACAGGAGAGGUAACAACAAAGAGAGACGACUCAGAGUACUUGCUUCUGAAUCAGCUUGGUGGGAUCCUUGGAUUAAUUUCGAAAGAAAUAGUCAACAUUCACGUAGGUUUAGGCGUUAGCUGAAGUGAUUCUAGCUGAUGGGCAGUUGACAAAGGCUAGAGUAGAGCAGCUAGACGAGCUGCAGAAACAAGUUGGGUUGCCUCAGCCGCAAGUGGAGAGAAGGUUAUAAAGAACAUAACAAACCACAAAAAUGGCAAACGCGAAAGAAACUGCUGUUAACCAAGGAAGACGGAAUAUAAAGCAGAUACGAGAGAGCUCAAGGAGUAGACUAACGAACUCGCUGAUCCACGCUGUGGCAUUACCAAGGCAGAGAAACGCUAAAGGAGUGGUAUGCAAAUCCUCUUUUCCUCUCAAUUCUAGGAAGUCGUUUUGUAUGUCUCAUUAGUUUGCCGGAGCACAAGAGAUUUUGUGGAUUUCUAAAGUUUAUAGAUUUUUAAAAUAACUGAUUUUUUUUUCAUAGACUUUUUCAAUUAUGUUAGUCCAUAUAUAUAUAGAGUCCAUAAUUUUUUUUUUAAUCAUGUUAUUUUGUUUUAUUAUUGUUAAGUAAAGUAACUAUGUAAGAAUAUUGUUGUUGUAAGGUAAUAUGUUAACACUGAGAGCAUCUCCAAAAGACACUCUAUAAUUUUAAAUAUGAAGUUUUUUGCUUUCUAAAAUAAACUUCAAAACUUCAAAUUUGAUGUUUUGAGAAGUGAAACUCUAUAUUUGAAGUUUCACUACUCAAAACUUCAAAUUUGAAGUUUCAUAUUUUUAUUUGCAUUUUGGUCCCUACAAUUACACGUCACAUUUAUGGUUCAUAAAUAUUUUCUUGUUUAUUGUUUAAUCCUUAUAAAAAUUAUAUCUCAUAAAUAGUUUUAAGUUUGUUUACAAAAUUUAAGUUUACACAUAAAAUUAAAUAAAAACUUUAAAAUAAGAUUUAAAAUAUUUAAAACUAUAUUUAGAUAACAAAAGUAUACAAAUAAACUUAACAAAAAGCUUUUAAAAAAUUACAUGAAGACAUAAAUAUUACACAAAUUUAAAUAUUAUAACAACACUAAUAGUCAGGUAAGUUUGAUCCGAAACCUUCAAAAUUUCCAAAAAUUGUCCAAUUUUGUUUUGUGUAACUGAAGAUGGUUGUUGUUGUUGUUAAUGUCUUUUCGUACAAUUUUUUCUUGUUCAUAUUGAAUAUAUUCACGAGUGUUAAUAUCAUCGAUAAAAUUUAGUCUUUUAGCAAUAUUUUAUGUUUCUCUUUUACUUUCUUGCUCUAAUCUAAUGCAUUUACAAGUAUUAAUAUCAUCUGAUUUCAAUAAUUUUUAUUUUUAAUCUACAAAUUAAAAUGAGGAGAGCCAUUUUUACUUAAAAAUGCACUAGUAUAUCAUAUAUGCAUUACGAAAAUCACUUUAUGGAAUAAUAUGUUGUUUUGCUUGAAGUUUAAUAUUAAUUAAGUUAUUUUGUUUAAAAUUUUAUAUUAUAAUAUAAUAUUUUAUUAAUUAAUAUUGUUGUAAUAUGUUUAUAUAUGUGCUAGUUAUUUACAGAAUUUUUAUGAAUUCAAAUUAGUUAUGACAAAUAUAAGGACCAUAUUAUAAAAUACAAAUAGUUUUGAAGUUGAGUUUGAAGUUUUGCUUUUGGAGAAGAACAACUUUAAACUUCAAAUAUAGAGUUUUGGAAACUUCAAAAUAGAGUUCAUUUUCGGAGAUGCUCUAACAAUGAGGUACGUCAAAGAGGUGUUAGUUUUUUUGAAAGGUAUGUUACAUGUAUAUGAAAAGAAUCUAAGUUUUAUCAGUUUAAUGUGUCUUUUUAACAUAUGUCAUUUAAAAAUUUAAACAAACAUCAAAAAUAUUCAUGCUCCUUUUCAGUUUGUUCACGAGAUCAUUGUACUAAUUUGAAUAGAAUGGGAGCCAUCUUGAGUAGUCAAAAGGGUGACAUGGUUAUAUAGCAGGGGGAUAUGGCUGUCGGUACCAAACAUCAUCGACCCAAAACAGAGAACACAGUAGCAAGACACAAGUUGAAAGAAAUCUAGUGCAUAUAUAACACAAUACACAAGUAUAUACAAAUAUAAGUAAAGAGUUGUGAAACUAGAAUAAACAAGGAAAAGGAAAAAAAAGAACCAUCAACAGAUGCGAGCCAAUAAAGAUAAACAAAAACAAGUUUGCUGCAUAAAUAUUAUUUGAUAAAGAAAAAAAAAAAAAUCCCGAGAGGGUUUUGUUUGUCAACAAGCUCUUAGACAUAAAAACACACACAUUUUAUAGAAAAGCAAUACUAUCAGCGUGCUGGGGUGAGAAAGAGGCGCAACAAAUGCCUGUGAGUCCAUAACGGCUCCAGAACUCUUCAGUAUCUGCGACACCGUGGAUCCUGACUCUUCUGGCGCUCUUCGUGUCUGUGUUGAAGUAGAAAACAUAGAAGGGCUUGGCACGGCCUGGUAGAGUUGUUGGGGAGAAAAUGAUUUCACCAGCCUUGUUGGUUCCUUGGGAGAUCAAUCUCUGACCCAUCGGCGCACGAGUGAAGGGAAGAGGCAAGGGAAGCUCAAAUGUUUGUUUGGACCACUCAUGUUUCGUCACAUCCUCCAGUAUCCAAAGAUUAAAACGGUCGAAAGAAGAAGCACAUCCCAAGCAGUUUGGUACAAUGACAGCUAGCUUCCCUUUGUAUUCUAUCAAUGAUGUAUAAGACUGCCAAACCAGGACCUCCUUAGGCGUUGUGAUAAAACUUAGUAUCCUCUCAUUUCUAACAUCAAAACACACAAACACAGGAGUAGGAGGAGUCUCUUCUUCAUUUGGAACUGGAACAGAAGCACCAUAAUACAUGAAACCAUUGAUGCUUAGUCCCACAGUCAAAGGGAGAUAAUACGGGGAGGUAACUUGGCUGCUACGAGAUACUACUACUCCUCCUCUUCCAAGUCUUAUAACCUCGUGCGUGCACAUCAUCAAACUAGGGUUAUGAAUAUGAUCAAACUCAGAUGUCAACAGGGUCAACGCUUUGAAUUGAUCAUGGACAGGAUCGUAUCCCAAGGAUGUGCGAAAUGCCUUGCAGUGAAAGGAAAGGACUUGCCGCGUGCUAGGGUUACAAAUAAUGAAAGUUGUAACAUCAUUACAAGCCAUAAAGCCAUGGACGGAAGAAUACUUGUAGCCGUUGCAAGGCAAGGUCACCGAGGGUAUUGUCAUGUCUAGAUUGGCAACCAAAGAAGAAGAACAAGUUUUCUCCUCCUCUCCCGAGAAGAUGAACAGACGCUCGGGUUUACCAAAUACACUAUUGGUGAAAGCGGCUACAAAACGGGAUGGCUUGGCAGCGUAGUAAGAAGCGACGAAUCUUUGGCUUCGGAUAAGGGAAUACCAAUUCUUGGACACGCAUAGGAACUUCAUAAGCGACUUUCCAGGCAAUCUAGUCAGUGUCUCCACCUCCAUAUCGUAAGGGAGGAAGACAUGUAGCUUCUUACCUGGGCUCUUGUCCCUUGACUCGUAGACUUCUUUUUGGUGAUGGGUCACACUCUUUGCAGGCGAUCUAGCCAUCUUCUUCAGAUCAAGAGGGAUCGGUUCCAAGAUGCUUCGGCUGCCCUUCUCAUGUUCCUUGCGUUUCAUCAUGGAACGAAAACCCUUAAUUCGACUCGAUUGUUAGAUCUAGAUCCAUAUAAAGACAAAGGAGUGUUUCGUUUUGAGAAUUCAGACAGAUCUCAGCCGUUCGUUUGAAUUUUAACUUUUAACAACUCUAACUCUGACACAUCUACUUUACCUUUUUUUUAGUUUAUUAGAUUUUGUUACGAGUAACUAAGGUUCGGUUCGGAACCUGUGGUGGGAAGGGAUGAUUUUUUCACCUGGAAGUUAAACAAAAGUGGAGAUAUGACAGUAAAGUCUGCUUAUUGGCUGGCUUCGUCACUUAAGGCCAAGGAGCAGAUUCCGGAAGCUUUCAUAGAACCCUCAACCAAUCUACUCAAGGAGAAAGUAUGGCAAGUGAAAACAGUCUCUAAAAUCAGAGUUUUCUUAUGGAAAUCACUAAGUGCUGCUCUCCCUACGACUGACUUGAUCAGUGCCAGAGGAAUGAGGGUUGAUAGUAGAUGUCAAACGUGUGGUGAAGAGACGGAAUCGAUCAACCAUAUGUUGUUUCAGUGCCCUUUUGCUAGGCUGGUAUGGGCGAGCUCCUCCAUUCCCUAUCCUAAUGGGGGUUUUGACGAGGGCUCUAUUUUCACAAAUGUGAACUUCCUUCUCAACCUUAGUGGAUCUCAACGGAUAAAAGAGGAAGAUAAAAGAGCUUGGCCUUGGAUCAUAUGGAACAUUUGGAAGAGAAGGAAUGAGGUUCAUUUUGAAAACAAAUGUUUAAGUGCAGUUGAAUUAAUUCACAAAUCUGUCCAAGAAGCUAAGGAAUGGUACACUGCUCAAGAAACAGAGGUUGAAUGGGAAAAGGCUCAAACCCCUUUGCUGGUCGUUUCUAAAAGAAAAUGGACGCCUCCGGAAACUGACUGGGUCAUGUGUAAUGUUGGAAUGGAGUUCUCUAAGAACAACCAUUGUGUAGGAGGAGCGUGGGUUCUAAGAAAUAACAGAGGAACUGUCCUAUGCCACAGUAGGAGGGCCUUUUCAGGGGUAAAGAGUAGAGAUGAUGCAAAGCUGAAGGUUGUAUUAUGGGCUUUGGAAAGUAUGAGAAGCCAGAGACAAUCUAACAUCAUCUUUGCGGGAGAAUUUGGUGACUUGUUUGGUGCUUUGCAACGACCUCAAGCGUGGCCAUCGUUCUCCUACCAAUGUAUGUUAAUGGAGAAGGAAUUGGAGGGGAUAGUGAACUGGAAGACGAAGGUAAUUACCCGAGAAGCAAAUAGAGGGGCUUUUUUCAUUGCUCAAAGUGUCAUCAAGUAUGGUUUGAUAAAUUCAUAUGUGGCCAAAGGGCAUCCACCUUGGUUGUUUGAGCUCUUUGUUAAUGAAAGUCGAUCCCUCUGAUUGGUGAUGAAACGGUAGACGGCCUUUUGAGAGAGGUUGAAGAUGCGCCAGAGUUGUUAAAGAGCACGAGGAAAAAGGAUAGAAACUGCUGUUCUUGGAUGCUCUGUUCUAUAUGGCUAUGUUUUAUUUUGUUAAUUACACCAGCCUGAAUGUUCUUCGGCUUGGCUUUUGUAAGAGGAAUGAUGGUGUUAAGGCCAAUCAAAUUCAAUAAAAACUCCUUGAUGGAAAAAAAAAAAAACUAAGGUUCGGUUCGGUUCUUUUUUUUUAAAUAAAAAUAAAACAAAAAACAAAAAAAAAAAACUCAGAGGGUUCAUACUGAAACAUUGAAAAGGAAAACAUACUAUGUUCUAAGUAGGCUAGGUCAUUGGCCGACUCUCUCUUCUCUUCGGCAAAUCCACUCGAUAUUAAAUUAAUAGACGAAGAAGCCAUCUUUGAUUAUCAUCCAUCCAUCCCUUUCUGAAUUCUGAUUAUCAUCUCUCUGUCUAGUGACGAUGGGAGCAGCUCGCUCAGUGUUUUCAUUAAGCCUUAUUCCAUCAUCUACUCAUGGAAUCAAUCGAAAUCAUCUCAACCUUUUCUCCUAAACCCAAACAGGAGCGUGCUCUUCCUUCCGAAAAGUUUCGAUUUUUUUUUUUAAUAUGGGUCAAUGGCGAAUUUAGCUAAAGGAAUGGUUUUUUCCUUGAUUCAGGAGAAAUUGGCGGUGGAUAAUGGCUCCACUGGUGAAAUUUUUUCUUCUUCUGCGUUGUUUCCCGAAUCUCCAAACAGGGAUGUAAAUAGAAUAGUCGCUGCUGCUUCUGUAACCGCCGCUUUGGCCUUGUUCCUGUCGACGAGGCUUGAUUUCAGCGUUGCCUUACGAGGAGGUUGGACUCGUUCGUUCAUCUUGGUUUUGUGGUCUUUAGAUUAUUGAGCUUUAUCCACGAAAUGCUUUAAUGAUUUCUUUUGUGGUUAGGCUUUGUCGAAUGGAAAGCCGACAGUGGUGGAGUUCUAUGCUGAUUGGUGUGAGGUUUGUAGAGAACUAGCCCCUGAUGUUUACAAAAUUCAAGUAAUGCUUGCUCUUUUAUGCCUGUGUUUGAUUUGUUGGUGUUGAGUGUGAACCAUAACUUUGACAUGAGGCAUUAGGUGAAUGAUGAGACGAGUCUUAGCGAGGAUUAGACAAACCUGGUGUUAAUUGAUUUCCGGUUUAUUGGGUCAAUGCCGGUUUGAUCUAAGAGUCUAAUUAAUAGUCCGGUUAAGUGUAAACCCUCAGUGAUAUAUAAGGGGGUAAACAAGAGCUGAGAUGUUAUCGUUGUUCUCAUUCAUCUAAGAGUCAACAACGUGUAUCGAGCUCAGGAGUGUUGAGCUUCAUUGUUGUUCUAGUGAAUUGCUGGAUCGAGGUCUGGCCCCAGUGAUUAGUUCUCCAUAUCGGAGAUAUACACUGGGUAAACAAUCUCUGUGUAGUUAUCUUUCUUGCUCUGAAUCUUGAUUAGGUUUAACAGGAGUUACAGAGAGGGUGAGAUCUGAGAUCGAUCGAUAGAUUGGUGAACUUGGAGCGUUAGAUCGUGAUUCAAGUUGCAACAGUUGGUCACAAUCUUCUUGAAGAAAAUUGAAGCCUCUGUAUAUAAAAGAUAUGAACAACGAGCUUUCUAGUUGCAUCAUCUUGUGUUAGUGUUAUGGAAUAGAAAACUUGUUUGGGAAAGGAAGACGAGCAAGUUAGGGCUUUGGAGAUUCUUAUUGCACCCAAAGUUUAUGUUGCAUUUGUUUAAUUGAUUAGGGAAACUUCUCUAGUAAUGGAUUUGGCUAUUGUUGUAGGCUAAUGAACAACAAGCUAGAGCUUGAAUUCAAGAUUCUGGUUGAAGAAUCAGAUCCGUCUUGUGUUGUUGGUUUUAAAAGGACAUGGGAACAUGUUUAGGAAUGGAUUUUGGAACUUUUAGAUACUAACGAUCCAGAUUAAAGAUAGGUUCUUUCUUUGGCUUUUGUCACUUGUCAGGUCGUGGAGAACCGAGAGAUAGUGUCUUCACGUAGGAUCCUACGUGUGUACACGCUAAAGUGAAUCCCAAAUAUUUCUUGUUCUCUAAAUAACUGACCCCACAUUGGGUUUUUGGAGAAUCUCCCUUCUCUAAUUAGACAAUAUGAUUUCCCCUGGUUUAAAGUGAAAAUUAUUAUUUAAAGAAAUUAUCAGGUGCCGUUCCAAAAAAAAAAAUAUUUAGGUAAAUAACUUUCGUUUUUUUAAUGUUAUUAUUUAGUGCCAAAAGAUAAGAAAAUUAAGCAACGAAGUUAGAUGAGAGCGCAAUUUAUAGAUCUGAAUUUUUCAAAACCAUUCUAUAAUUUCUCUUCUUUGUCUUUCUACCACAUUCAAACAAUAAUGUUAAUCUUACAUCACAUUCUGACAAUGUUAUUUUAUAAAAAGAAACAAAACAUUGUCAAAAGGAAUUUAAAAAACAAGAUCCAAUAGCUUCCUUGUGACGCAAACUUCAACCUCCCUGAGUUUUUUUUUUUUUUGGAAAAAAAACUUCAACCUCCCUGAGUUCUCACCUCUUUCCAUCUUCCUUCUAUAGCUUUCUUGACUUUACUCACUAUUUUUCUUGCUCACAGACUAAAUUUAUCUAUUCACCACUUUUACAUACAUUUAUCUAUGUAUACCCAAUACAAUUUCAUGAGUUGGACCGCAUAAACUACACAGGGAAAUGGGAAAUAGUAUUUUAGCAACAAAAAGGAAAGAAAAAGAAAUAGGGUCCUAAUGGUGACUGCGGUUGAUAUUACGGCAGCUUCUUCAUUUUGUCUGCGUGGAUGAUAUAUAGUAAGUACUUCGGUUAUUUUCCAUGGCUUUUUUUCCUUCUAAUUCACAUGAGUAACAUAUAUAAUAAUACUAUUAGAAAAUUGCAUGUUAUAUUUUGGUGAUAUGUUUUGACUUGAUAAAAAGAUAUUUUGUCAUAAAGAAUAUAAGUGGUUCGAAUGCAAACUGGCCUUUCAACUUGCCGUAGAAUCAACAAUAUGACUUUUGGCUCUUACGAUUUCUUGUGUAUUUUUCUUUUGUAAAUCAGUUUAACUCCUUAAUAUAUAUAUAUAUAGAGUCCAUAAUUUUUUCAGAGCUCCGUAUCCAUACUUUCUUCUUGUGUAAUUUUCCUGCUUACCAGCUUCGUGGCGAAUCAGCCAGGCUUAAUUUCCCACACAUCAAACACGAGUAUGGAUACGGAGGCGGUGGUAGAAGCUUCAAGCCUCUUCAUCCCUCUGUUGAAGCAAAGCUCGAAGCGAUUUGUCAGAGCUUGAGAAAGACAGAGGAUGAUGAUGAUCUCCCCUGUUCUGAAACAGAGCUUUUCCCGCCGAAAGCAGAGGAUCAAGAGAGUGAAUUUGGGUUUUUGAGAGCUGAUGCGAAUUCGUUUUCCGAUGAGUCUCAGGUUGGAUCUUUGUCUCCGGAGUCAGGUAUUACCACUAUGUUCAUGGGUUUCUCGGAUUCUGAGUUUGAUGAGACUGGGAGUUUCGUGCUUGAGAAGUUUCCUUCUGUGGAAAUUGAUUGGGAUGCGUUUAGCAAGUUGUCUGAAUCUUAAGUGUCAGCCUUUAACCUCUGUGUCUGCUAUUAAGUGUCGUAUUAGUUAGCUAAUCGCUGCAACUUAAAUAAAAAAAAAAAAACUAAGGUUCGGUUCGGUUCUUUUUUUUUAAAUAAAAAUAAAACAAAAAACAAAAAAAAAAAACUCAGAGGGUUCAUACUGAAACAUUGAAAAGGAAAACAUACUAUGUUCUAAGUAGGCUAGGUCAUUGGCCGACUCUCUCUUCUCUUCGGCAAAUCCACUCGAUAUUAAAUUAAUAGACGAAGAAGCCAUCUUUGAUUAUCAUCCAUCCAUCCCUUUCUGAAUUCUGAUUAUCAUCUCUCUGUCUAGUGACGAUGGGAGCAGCUCGCUCAGUGUUUUCAUUAAGCCUUAUUCCAUCAUCUACUCAUGGAAUCAAUCGAAAUCAUCUCAACCUUUUCUCCUAAACCCAAACAGGAGCGUGCUCUUCCUUCCGAAAAGUUUCGAUUUUUUUUUUUAAUAUGGGUCAAUGGCGAAUUUAGCUAAAGGAAUGGUUUUUUCCUUGAUUCAGGAGAAAUUGGCGGUGGAUAAUGGCUCCACUGGUGAAAUUUUUUCUUCUUCUGCGUUGUUUCCCGAAUCUCCAAACAGGGAUGUAAAUAGAAUAGUCGCUGCUGCUUCUGUAACCGCCGCUUUGGCCUUGUUCCUGUCGACGAGGCUUGAUUUCAGCGUUGCCUUACGAGGAGGUUGGACUCGUUCGUUCAUCUUGGUUUUGUGGUCUUUAGAUUAUUGAGCUUUAUCCACGAAAUGCUUUAAUGAUUUCUUUUGUGGUUAGGCUUUGUCGAAUGGAAAGCCGACAGUGGUGGAGUUCUAUGCUGAUUGGUGUGAGGUUUGUAGAGAACUAGCCCCUGAUGUUUACAAAAUUCAAGUAAUGCUUGCUCUUUUAUGCCUGUGUUUGAUUUGUUGGUGUUGAGUGUGAACCAUAACUUUGACAUGAGGCAUUAGGUGAAUGAUGAGACGAGUCUUAGCGAGGAUUAGACAAACCUGGUGUUAAUUGAUUUCCGGUUUAUUGGGUCAAUGCCGGUUUGAUCUAAGAGUCUAAUUAAUAGUCCGGUUAAGUGUAAACCCUCAGUGAUAUAUAAGGGGGUAAACAAGAGCUGAGAUGUUAUCGUUGUUCUCAUUCAUCUAAGAGUCAACAACGUGUAUCGAGCUCAGGAGUGUUGAGCUUCAUUGUUGUUCUAGUGAAUUGCUGGAUCGAGGUCUGGCCCCAGUGAUUAGUUCUCCAUAUCGGAGAUAUACACUGGGUAAACAAUCUCUGUGUAGUUAUCUUUCUUGCUCUGAAUCUUGAUUAGGUUUAACAGGAGUUACAGAGAGGGUGAGAUCUGAGAUCGAUCGAUAGAUUGGUGAACUUGGAGCGUUAGAUCGUGAUUCAAGUUGCAACAGUUGGUCACAAUCUUCUUGAAGAAAAUUGAAGCCUCUGUAUAUAAAAGAUAUGAACAACGAGCUUUCUAGUUGCAUCAUCUUGUGUUAGUGUUAUGGAAUAGAAAACUUGUUUGGGAAAGGAAGACGAGCAAGUUAGGGCUUUGGAGAUUCUUAUUGCACCCAAAGUUUAUGUUGCAUUUGUUUAAUUGAUUAGGGAAACUUCUCUAGUAAUGGAUUUGGCUAUUGUUGUAGGCUAAUGAACAACAAGCUAGAGCUUGAAUUCAAGAUUCUGGUUGAAGAAUCAGAUCCGUCUUGUGUUGUUGGUUUUAAAAGGACAUGGGAACAUGUUUAGGAAUGGAUUUUGGAACUUUUAGAUACUAACGAUCCAGAUUAAAGAUAGGUUCUUUCUUUGGCUUUUGUCACUUGUCAGGUCGUGGAGAACCGAGAGAUAGUGUCUUCACGUAGGAUCCUACGUGUGUACACGCUAAAGUGAAUCCCAAAUAUUUCUUGUUCUCUAAAUAACUGACCCCACAUUGGGUUUUUGGAGAAUCUCCCUUCUCUAAUUAGACAAUAUGAUUUCCCCUGGUUUAAAGUGAAAAUUAUUAUUUAAAGAAAUUAUCAGGUGCCGUUCCAAAAAAAAAAAUAUUUAGGUAAAUAACUUUCGUUUUUUUAAUGUUAUUAUUUAGUGCCAAAAGAUAAGAAAAUUAAGCAACGAAGUUAGAUGAGAGCGCAAUUUAUAGAUCUGAAUUUUUCAAAACCAUUCUAUAAUUUCUCUUCUUUGUCUUUCUACCACAUUCAAACAAUAAUGUUAAUCUUACAUCACAUUCUGACAAUGUUAUUUUAUAAAAAGAAACAAAACAUUGUCAAAAGGAAUUUAAAAAACAAGAUCCAAUAGCUUCCUUGUGACGCAAACUUCAACCUCCCUGAGUUUUUUUUUUUUUUGGAAAAAAAACUUCAACCUCCCUGAGUUCUCACCUCUUUCCAUCUUCCUUCUAUAGCUUUCUUGACUUUACUCACUAUUUUUCUUGCUCACAGACUAAAUUUAUCUAUUCACCACUUUUACAUACAUUUAUCUAUGUAUACCCAAUACAAUUUCAUGAGUUGGACCGCAUAAACUACACAGGGAAAUGGGAAAUAGUAUUUUAGCAACAAAAAGGAAAGAAAAAGAAAUAGGGUCCUAAUGGUGACUGCGGUUGAUAUUACGGCAGCUUCUUCAUUUUGUCUGCGUGGAUGAUAUAUAGUAAGUACUUCGGUUAUUUUCCAUGGCUUUUUUUCCUUCUAAUUCACAUGAGUAACAUAUAUAAUAAUACUAUUAGAAAAUUGCAUGUUAUAUUUUGGUGAUAUGUUUUGACUUGAUAAAAAGAUAUUUUGUCAUAAAGAAUAUAAGUGGUUCGAAUGCAAACUGGCCUUUCAACUUGCCGUAGAAUCAACAAUAUGACUUUUGGCUCUUACGAUUUCUUGUGUAUUUUUCUUUUGUAAAUCAGUUUAACUCCUUAAUAUAUAUAUAUAUAGAGUCCAUAAUUUUUUCAGAGCUCCGUAUCCAUACUUUCUUCUUGUGUAAUUUUCCUGCUUACCAGCUUCGUGGCGAAUCAGCCAGGCUUAAUUUCCCACACAUCAAACACGAGUAUGGAUACGGAGGCGGUGGUAGAAGCUUCAAGCCUCUUCAUCCCUCUGUUGAAGCAAAGCUCGAAGCGAUUUGUCAGAGCUUGAGAAAGACAGAGGAUGAUGAUGAUCUCCCCUGUUCUGAAACAGAGCUUUUCCCGCCGAAAGCAGAGGAUCAAGAGAGUGAAUUUGGGUUUUUGAGAGCUGAUGCGAAUUCGUUUUCCGAUGAGUCUCAGGUUGGAUCUUUGUCUCCGGAGUCAGGUAUUACCACUAUGUUCAUGGGUUUCUCGGAUUCUGAGUUUGAUGAGACUGGGAGUUUCGUGCUUGAGAAGUUUCCUUCUGUGGAAAUUGAUUGGGAUGCGUUUAGCAAGUUGUCUGAAUCUUAAGUGUCAGCCUUUAACCUCUGUGUCUGCUAUUAAGUGUCGUAUUAGUUAGCUAAUCGCUGCAACUUAAAUUUUUUGAAAUAUUCCUCCUCCAUGUGUUGAAUAAGACACUGACUUUUUUUGUGAUCUAGUAAAAUGGGUUGUAGACAAAUGAAAAACAAUCUCAUAUUUUCAUGAACCAAAAAAGUUUACAGCUUUUUGAUUAAAAACUCUAAUCAAAAGGUGAAUACUGAAUGAUUUUGUCUACAAAACAAAAGAGGGAAGACUUUGCUUUAAACUCAUGUGACAAAAGAGAAACUCCCCGUUCAGUUGUCUUCUCCAAGGGUAAACUUCACAAACCUCCUGACCUUAAUGUUUUCACCAAGAGUAGCCACCGUUUGCUUCACAAGAUCCUUGACCAGAACGCUAUCAUCUUUAAUGAAAGGCUGCUCAAGCAAUGCCAUUUCUCCAAGCCUCUUUGAGAUCCUUCCUUCAACAAUCUUCUCCUUUAUGUUCUCUGGUUUCGACUCUAGAUCCUCUCUUUGCAUCUCAAUCUCCUUUUCCUUCUGCUUUAUCUCCUCUGGAAUGUCCUCGAUGGACACAUAUUGCACCUGCGUGUGUACACGUUUCAUGUCAGAGACCACCACCAAGCUAUUGUUUUCAGAUGAGAAAUGUUCUUUACCUGUGGAUUAGCCACUGCUUGCAUUGCAAGAUCAUCAACCAGUUCCUUGAACUUUUCGCUUCUUCCCACAAAAUCAGUCUCGCAGUUCACUUCUAUGAGGACUCCAAUGCGAGCAUCGUGGAUGUAUGAACCGAUUCUCCCUUCAGCUGCAAGCCUGCUUGAUUUCUUAUCAGCUGUUGAAAGACCUUUCUUCCUGAGAUACUCUUGCGCUUUCUCAAGAUCUCCUCCUGUCUCCGCCAACGCCUUCUUGCAAUCCAUCAUCCCUGCUCCUGUUUCUUCACGCAGCUGCUUCACAAGACCAGCUGAAACCACUGCAGUUGGUGGACUGCAAACGCCAUUUUCAAAAUAGUUUUAAGUCUCUAACGAACAUAAUAAAGAAAGAGAGAAUAAUAUCGUUUCACCUUGGAACAGCUUCCUUGGGCAACUCUUCAGCCUUUGGCUGUUCUUUCUCUGGUUCGGCUUUCGGUUUAGCUGCGGUUUGAGCAGCAACCUCAGCAGCAAAGUCCUGACUCUUCUUCUCGAGGCCUUCUCCGAGAGUGUACCUAAUGAAUCUCUUCACCUUGAUGUUCUCUCCAAUGGUUGCUAUCCUCUGCUUUACGAGAUCCUUCACUAUCACCUUAUCGUCUUUAAUGUAUGGUUGCUCGAGCAGUGCAAGUGCGUCUACCCUCUUCUUUAUCCGACCUUCCACUAUCUUCUCCCUUAUCUGCUCCGGUUUCGACAGAAGAUCUUCCUUUUGCAUCUCUAUCUCCUUUUCCUUCAUCACAAUCUCUUCUGAAACAUCUUCAGGUACAAGGUACUCUACUUGAGGGCACGCAGCCACCUAUGUAACAAGUCAAUUUAUGUUUUAAGUUACAGAAAAUGAAGAAAAUGUUGUUAGCUAGGAUCUUUGGAGUUACUUACCUGCAUAGCCAGAUCAUCAACCAGUUCCUUGAAGAUGUCACCGCGUGAGACAAAGUCUGUCUCGCAGUUAACUUCCAAGAGGACACCGAUUCUGCUGUCGUGGAUAUAGGAACCGAUUCUCCCCUCGGCUGUGGCUCUGCUGGCUUUCUUGUCUGCGCUCGCUAGUCCCUUCUUGCGGAGGUACUCUUGCGCUUUCACCAUAUCUCCCUCGCUCUCCAAGAGAGCGUUCUUGCAGUCCAUCAUUCCGGCUCCUGUUUCUUCUCUGAGUUGCUUCACUAAGGCCGGUGAAAUGCCAGCUGCAACAGAGAGAAGUUUCCCAUUAUAUCAUGAAGCAGAGAUCUACAGAAGCUAAAGAUGAGCAAAAGAAAUACCUUUGAUGCCACUUUCCUCAGUAGAAGCUUCUGUGACUACUGCGGCAGGAGUCUCGGCUUCAGCAACAGGUACUUCGGCCACUUUCUCAACGUCUUCACUUGCUACAGCUUCUGGAGAUGAAACUUCAUCAGGUAUAGCUUCAGCAACAGGUACUCCGGCUACCACCUCCUCCUUCUUCUCAACGUCUUCUGUUGCUACAGCUUCUGAAGAUGGAACUUCAUCAGGUACAGUUUCAGCAACAGGUACUUCAGCCACCACUUCCUCCUUCUUCUCAACGUCUUCGCUUACCACAGCCUCUGGAGAUGAAACUUCAUCAGUAGCUGAACUUUGAGGAAUAGAGUUCUCAGAAACUUCCUCUUCACCUGGUAACGAGUAGAAUAAACGGAUCAAUGAUAUUAAACAUUAAAACCAAUUAACUGAUUUAGUACUAGUAAAAAGGCAACUCAACCUACUUUUGGUUUCUGGAACUGGAGGAACAUCUGGCGUUUCCUCAACCUUUUCCACCUCCUCAACUUCAGCUGCUGCAGCAAGUGUUUCCGUUUGCUCUUCUGUCUCCUCUUCAGCUUUGGUCUCUAUCACUUCUUCUUCUUCUACCUUUGGAGUUUCUGAAAGAACCUCUUCAGGUGAUAAAGAUAACGAUUCAUCAACUUUCUCAGAGGUGAUAGCUUCCUCUGAUUCCUUCACAGGCUCCACUGGUUUCUCAGCUUCUUCCUCCCUCUUGUCAAGAAACGCAGCAAUCUCCACGUUCUUACGGAAAGCAAGCACAAACGGAUUCGUGGCUGUAUGCACAACUCCUUGACUGAGCGUUUCAUCAAACUUACCAUCAUCUUCCUCUUUCAUCGUCAAAGUAACACGUCCCCUCGCUAUCCUCAACACACGAACCUUAACCUCUUGUUCAGCUUGCAACGAAGACCCUCCACCCAUCAUCAUGCUCCCAAUCCCAUCAUCUGCUUCCUCAUUCGUAGGCAAGAACCCUUCUUCACCUUCACCAAUCGUUAUAAACGCUCCUGACCUCGUCAAGUUCUUCACCGUUCCAUCCAGCAUCUGCCCUUUCACAUACUUUGAGCUGAACCCAUCUUCCUUCUUCUGUCCCCCUCUUUUCCCUCCUGGCCUCGGCUUAUUAUCACCACCACCGGACUGGCGUUUAGGAGGAUCGUCAUUGGAACGCAUAGUGAGAGAGAUACGUUUAGCCUCAAUGUCAGCUUCCACCAGCCUCACUUUCACCUCUUGCCCAAUAGAGACAACACUCGCAACAUCUUUAACAAAGGUGUCACUCAGUUGAGAGACGUGGACUAACCCAUCAGUGAAAGCACCAAAAUCGAUGAAAGCACCAAAGGGCUGGAUGGCUCUUACUUUCCCGGUGAAGGUAGCACCAGCAACAAGCUCCUCGUUCUUAACCGCAGGCAUCUCGCUCUUCCUUCCAGGUCUUGCUGUUCCCCUUGAAGUAGGAGCAGCAGGAGGAGCUGAAUCAUCUGACUUGUCAUUGGCGUCGGUUUCCGGAACAGGAGGAGAAUCUUGUCCCUCUACAGCGGCCGCCACGAGGUCAGUUUCUGUGGUGGCUCUAGUACGAUGAGGAUGCAGCACAAAGUGUCUUCCAUGAGUAGGAAACAGUUUAAGCGAAGUGGAAAGAGGAAGGACGAGUCUUUGAGUUGAUGGUGGUAUAUGUUUGCCAGCUUUACGCGAGAAGCAACAUUUGAUGGAGCAAUCAUUCUUCUUUACAGUGAAAGCUGCUCCGGGAACGAGCCAUGGUUUGCUGAUAGAGGAAGGAGUAACCGUAGCCAUCUAAAAAACUGUGACAUACAUACACAUAAAGCACAGUAUCAAAAGCUCCAUCGAACAAACACAGAGUCUAACUAAACAAUUGACAAUUCAUAUCUCCAGACCAGUAAAGUGGAAUAUGAUUGCAGAAACUAAACCCAUUUUAUUGAUUACAAGUAAGAAAAGGAGCUACCUUUUACUUCGCCUUGCUUGCUCUCCCAGAAGGCGAUAAAAUCGCUGCUGCUUUCCCUGAUAAGCUUUAGAAGAGAAACGAGGGAAGUGGUGAGAGGCUUUAAAGCCUUAUCUCGUUUUGUCUGUCUCUUCAAAGAUUACAUACCAGAUGAUUGUCUUUAUCUCUCUCUCUCUCUCCCUCCUCGGCACCAAUCAGCUAUAACUCCAGGCUGAGUCGAUUGUGGGCUUUAGGCUAAGGCCCAUUGUGUUACUAUAAUUAAGCCCAUAAAGUUACUGAAGCUUGAGAGUUUGACUGAAACUGCUAAAUUUUCUGAGCCUGUGAUUGGUGAGGGACUAUUCAACAUUUUUGGCACAAAGACUUUAGUGUUAUAAGAUAAGCAUUGAAAUGAUCAUCCACUUCUUUACCAAACUUAAGCACUAUGAUCAUCCACUCCUUACCAACUCAAGCACUAUGAUCAUCUACUCAUCAAGCACUAUGAUCACCCACUCAUUUACCAAAUUAAGCACCAUCCUUGUUAUUUUAUGUAUUGUUGUUCACUAUAAAUACCAUCACUCAUCUCACUCUUUUGUACACCAAAAACAAUAACAAGAGUUUAUAAUCAAAGAAUCAUUACAUUUUCUUCUUCCUUCUUAUAAUAAACUCUCUCCCUUAUACUAGUGUUAUUUGCUUCCUACGGGUAUUAAAUUCUACUCUUAUUUAAAUUUCUCGAUACUAUAAAUUAUAAGUUAUUUCAUAACACGUUAUCAGCACGAUCACUCUGCGAUUCGGUAAAAUUUAUUUGUAUCAUUUAUACCCUGUUAUAAUGGUCGGUAUACCGCCUCUACUAUUAUUUAUAUCAUGUUAUAAUGGCCGGAAUACCGCCUAUAUUAUUUACUAGUAAUUUAAUUUAUUUAUUGGUCGGCCGAGCCGCCUUAUAUCCUGUUUAUUAUUUAUUGGUCGGCCAAGCCGCCUUAUAUUCUGUUUAUUAUUUAUUGGUCGGCUGAGCCGCCUUAUAUUCUGUUUAUUAUUAAUUGGUCGGCCGAGCCNNNNNNNNNNNNNNNNNNNNNNNNNNNNNNNNNNNNNNNNNNNNNNNNNNNNNNNNNNNNNNNNNNNNNNNNNNNNNNNNNNNNNNNNNNNNNNNNNNNNNNNNNNNNNNNNNNNNNNNNNNNNNNNNNNNNNNNNNNNNNNNNNNNNNNNNNNNNNNNNNNNNNNNNNNNNNNNNNNNNNNNNNNNNNNNNNNNNNNNNNNNNNNNNNNNNNNNNNNNNNNNNNNNNNNNNNNNNNNNNNNNNNNNNNNNNNNNNNNNNNNNNNNNNNNNNNNNNNNNNNNNNNNNNNNNNNNNNNNNNNNNNNNNNNNNNNNNNNNNNNNNNNNNNNNNNNNNNNNNNNNNNNNNNNNNNNNNNNNNNNNNNNNNNNNNNNNNNNNNNNNNNNNNNNNNNNNNNNNNNNNNNNNNNNNNNNNNNNNNNNNNNNNNNNNNNNNNNNNNNNNNNNNNNNNNNNNNNNNNNNNNNNNNNNNNNNNNNNNNNNNNNNNNNNNNNNNNNNNNNNNNNNNNNNNNNNNNNNNNNNNNNNNNNNNNNNNNNNNNNNNNNNNNNNNNNNNNNNNNNNNACUUGAUUAGAUAAAUCAAUUUGCAUGAAGUUGGCAGUGAUAUAAAUUUGUUCAUUAAAUUGAUUGAUAGGUUAAACUUUGUUAAAAAGCAUGAGAGUAAUAAUAUAGUCUAUAUAAUAAUUACUAUGAAAGUUUUAUUUAUUUUCUGAUAUAAUAAGACACCUUUGUUAAUACAUAUUUAUAUAUAUUUGAAAUAUUUUGAUUUUAUUACCAUUUAUACUGAGGAUUUUAAGUUUAAAGCUUGACUCUAAAAGAUCCAUAAAUUUUUGGACGAUAAUAUAUAUAAACAAGGUAUUAUCACCUGAAGUGAUUACCUAAAGCUCAUUUUUGUAUUUUGCACUUAAAGAUUACAAGAUCUGAAGUCUGUAAAUAAAGCCAACUAUGUUAGAUGUUAAGUUUAAAAGUAAAAUUUCUUCAAGAAAUUUUUUUAUGAUGCAUAUAUAUUGAAAAAUAUCUAUUGAUAAAUCACGUCUAGUUGAUUAUGAUUCAUUCUCCUGAAGAGAAUAUGACAUUUAAAAAAAUCAUAAAUAGUGGUUUUAGACGUGAGCAUAAAUGAGGUCAAGGUCCAAAGAGUUUCUUUAUAGAACUCAUACUCUCACUUAAAGUUGAGAAAAUAAACAUGGUAAUAAAGAAAAGAAAUUAUGAAUUCAUCUGAAGAUGAAAGAAAAUUUAUUGUGUGUACAAUACAAGGUAGUAAAAACUUAUAGAAUGCUUAAAAAGAUGAUCUAUAUGAUGCUCCAGAAGUGUACAUAGUAUUACUGCACAUAAAAAUUCAAUUUAAAGUUCUUAAGAAUGCAAUUUAAAGUUCUUAAGGUAUUGUAUUUUUAUAAGUAUCAAAAGUUAAAAGGAUCUACGAAAAAUACAUAACCCAUGUAGGAUAUGUUGUUGAUUAAGAAAAUGAGAUACAUUCGAGAUUGAUAAACCUGUAGUAUUAUAAUCUCGAGGGGAAGAGUUAAAGAAUCUCACUUUUUAUGAUAAGUCAAACAUCCAGAAGAUUAUGUUUACACUAAAACUAAGAUUGAUGAAUUUUUCUCAAAGUAAAUCCGUAAGAUUUUGAGACACUUAUGUUGAGACAAUAAGCAAACGAAAUGAUAUAUACAUUUCAAUCAGAAAUAAUUCUCAAAGCAGUAUAAGUAUUUUAGAGAAAAUAUCUACAGCCUCUUAUAUAUUGUACUACACAAAGAUUAGUAUAAUGAAGAUAAAUGUAUAGUAAACUAGAAGUUUACAUUUGGCAUGAAUCAGUUAGACCAUUUUGGUUCAUUAAUAAUGCGAAUAUAUACUUAAAGGUCAUAUGCAUAGUCAUAUAAGAACCAGAAGAUUCUUCCGAAUGAUUUGACAUAUGUUGCUUACCCAUAAGAUAAAAGGGUAAUAUGGUUUUCACCAGCCAAAAUAAGAUAUUGGCAUAAAUAACGAAGAUGUUAGUGGACUGAUCACCCACUAUGCAUUUUUAUAAUAUUGGUGAAUUCACUUCUUAAAGUCUUUAACGACUAUAGCACAUUCACUGAGAUAAGUGCUAAACAUUUUGAGCAACAUUGGAUCGCAUCAAGCCAAUAAAUAUUCACUAGUUCUCCCCAUCAUUGGUAUAGAAUCAGAAACCAAUCAUUUUCAUCUAAGAAUGUUGGAUGUUGCUCCGCCACAGAGCUUCAAAUGAAGAUGUGUUUUCAAAUGAGGUUGGAAAUAUAUGUUGGAUAUAAAUCUCUAUUGACACUUAAGAAUCCAGAGCCAUCCCCGAAAAAUAUAAGUAAGGCUAUACAUGAAUUCUAAAAGUGAGUUAGUACUUCCAACAUAAGGGGGAGAAAAUAAACAGCUGGAAAAGAAAAUAAGUUGAAAUGAAUUAUCAUUGAUCCUCGGGCUAAACACAAUGUGAAAUAGAAGUCCAAAAGAUAAUUCAUUUCAAAACUUACUAAAGCAGUUGCCAGACACGACCCAUAUAAAUAUAGUGAUCAAGUCACAUAUACCAGCUGUAAAUGCUCCAAUAAGAAUAAAUGUUCUACAAGAACAAUAUCAAACUGCUAGUCACGCCUGCAGCGUGGUAGACAGAUUGGUUCCAAAGAUAAAUCCUCGUAAAUGAAAAAGGAGCAUAUAUUGAUAAUGGUCAAAACGAGGCAAUAUAGUUUUGUAUGAUCUCCAGAAGAGAAAUUAAACAUGACUGACGAAAAUUCAGGUACCUGAGACAAAUGAAGAGAUCUCAAUAAGUUAUGUCAUGUAUGAAACAAAAUGGAACCGAUAAGAAAAUUGACGUCGAUGAUAUUAUACAUGCAAAGUAGCAGUUGAUAUAAUAAAUGAGAAAGAGGAUCAUGAAAGAAAGUCUAUUGAAAAGUGUACACAAAGAAAUGAUUGGCCAAAUCAGAAAGAUGCAAUAGACAAAGAUAUAAACUUCUUGUGAAAUAGAGAAGUAUUUGGACCAGUAGUCCAUACACUAAAAGGUGUAAAACAAGUGAGAUGUAAAUGAACCGUUGCACACAAAGAAGGAUCAAUAUGAAAUUGAUUGUGAAGAGACAUAAUUUCAUAUGGUAGAUGCAACUAGUUUCAAGUUCCUUAUAGUCUGGUAAUAAAGGAAGAACUUGAAUAAAACAAUCCACUUGAAAAAUGUUAAUCCCUGAAAGUAUAAUCCAUGAAGGAUUGAUGAUAUCAAAAUCAUGUUCCCGGGAACUCUGCAUAUUCGAUCGAAUUGAAACAAACUAUUUUAUGGGAUAUAUGAAAUAUUAUAAGGUUAACAAAUGUAUCCAUUUGUAUUUAUCAAGAGAUUAUAAAUCAAUAGAAUCAUGAUUUGAAUAUAAUCAAAACUCCUGAAGAGUUAUAGAAAAAUUAUAUUUUGAAAGAAAACUCUUGACAAUACUAUAUUGUUUUUAUGUAUUCUAAACUGGAGAUCUAAAACUGAGAUGUUAUCAUAAAGAUCCUUAAAGUAUUUUAUUUAAGACGCUCGUAUAUGUUUGGUCCUGAAAUACCAUACGUAAGAGUGUUAUUUAAGAAAAUUAUUAAUCUUUUUCAUUACUGAAAGAUGUAAUUUCAUAUGAAAAGAAAGAAAAUCAUAAUAGUAACUUCUAUAGUUACAAAUGAAUAAUUCGUAUGUACGAGACGAAUUUCUAUACGAUUAUAUGUAAGAAAUUUGGUUUGAAAUCCAAAUAGACCAAUAAACUAUUGUCUAAGUCAAAAGAGAAUUAUGGACAAGAAGUCUAAAGGCCCUAGAUAUCAUAAUAGAAAUGAAUAGAGUUUAUUCUCUUAAGCUUAAUUCUCUGAAGAGAGUUGAUUGGAAUGCAUAUCCUGAAGAUAUUGUUUCCAGGGAAAGAAAUAUGAUAGUAAGUGUGGUUGUACUCUUUUUCCUUAUCAUGGUUUUUUUUUUAUCCCAUUGGGUUUUUCCAUGACAAGGUUUUAACGAGGCAACAAAGAACAUACAAAAGAUAGACACCCAAAGAGAAUGUUACAAUUUGAGAGAUGAAAAUCUAUCAUUGUUCUAAAGGUUCUAUGACUACUCAUUCGAGGGGGAGCUUACGUAGUUGUACUCUUUUUACUUUUACUACGGUUUUUCCCAUUGGGUUUUCCAUGACUAGGUUUUUAACGAGGCACCACGUAAUACAAGAUGGAUGAUCAAGGGGGAGUGUUAUAAGAUAAGCAUUGAAAUGAUCAUCCACUUCUUUACCAAACUUAAGCACUAUGAUCAUCCACUCCUUACCAACUCAAGCACUAUGAUCAUCUACUCAUCAAGCACUAUGAUCACCCACUCAUUUACCAAAUUAAGCACCAUCUUUGUUAUUUUAUGUAUUGUUGUUCACUAUAAAUAUCAUCACUCAUCUCACUCUUUUGUACACCAAAAACAAGAACAAGAGUUUAUAAUCAAAGAAUCAUUACAUUUUCUUCUUCCUUCUUAUAAUAAACUAUCUCCCUUAUACUAGUGUUAUUUGCUUCCUACGGGUAUUAAAUUCUACUCUUAUUUAAAUUUCUCGAUACUAUAAAUUAUAAGUUAUUUCAUAACAUUUAGCUUAUUUUUUCAUUACCAAUAAUUAUAAACAUAUCGUUUGAUAAAAAUAAAAAUAAAAAAAAUGGUAAGAUCAUUCAUCAGGAAGAAACAAGAAUUGCAAAAGGAUGAAUAUGUUUGUAUUACCAAUAAUCUAAUCUUUCUUUUACAAAAAGUCCAUAUUGUCCUCAAUUCAUGCAAAAACACUACGAAUUGUCAAAGAUCUUCAAUGAGAAAAUAUCAGUGGAGCCUGACAAUUAUCAAAGAUGAGAUAGAUAUAUUAAGGGAGCAAAGGCUUUGAGAGACACGAGGGAAAGAGCGAUGAUAUUAGGGAGCAAGCCUUUGAGAGUCACGAGGGAAUAGAGAAGUUUUGCGGAUGUUAUCGAGGGCACAUAAGAGCAUUACCACACGCUCCAGCCCCACUCCAAAUCCACCGUGAGGCGGUGCACCAUACCUGUAAACAUGCAGCCACUUGUCAACUCAAACUCAACUCAACUCAUAGUAUGUGGAUAUGCAGUAGAUCGAUCAGUUUGUGGUUACCUGAAUCCAUCGAUGUAUGUGGAUAUUGUCUUGACAUCAAUGCCGCAUUCUCUUGCACGCUUCUCCAAGAGUUCUGGGUCAUGGAUACGUUGAGCUCCUGACAUGAUCUCCUCUCCUAUAAGAAAGAAACCUCAAAUUUAGUGUAUUAUUAUUAAAUCAAGUGUACAAGUAACAACAUAAUUGGGUGACAAACUCGCACCUCUGAUGAAGACAUCGAAUGAGUUGCUGUAGUUAGAAUCGUCUUCACAUGGCAUCGUGUAGAACGGUCUGAUAGCCGAUGGAUAGCGAUGCAGCAUGUAGAACUCUGUCUUGUACUUUUCCAGAACAAGCUGGCCAAGUUUCCUCUCAGAUUCUGUAUUUAAAUCACCAAGAGGAUCAACCUCCUCGCCAGCUUCCUGUCAAGAUGACCCAAUUAUUAUUAUUAUUAUUAUUCAUACUCUUAACUCAUCAAGUUGAAUGCAAAAAAAAAUCCAGUCAUACCUUAAGCAUUUGAAUCCCUUGUGCAAAGGUUAGUCUCAAUGUUUGCGGAAGAAACUACAAGUUUAGUGCCAAAUCAUCAAUUUUCAAUACAAAAGAAACUUUAAGUUUUUUUUCCUAAGAAUCCAAACGAUAGAUAGAUACCUUCAAAGAUUGAAAUGGGUAUUGCUUUCUGACAGUUUCAAGUUCCUUUGGGCACCUUUCUUCUAUUUUUGUGAAUAUGAACGGAAACAAGUCCCCCACAAGAUCCAUUAUCUGCACAAAACAGGAAGCACUAAUGGAGAGAUUGAAAUAUUAUCAAUAAUAUUUUUUGAACACUUGGCGCACAAUCAUAUAAACACACCUCAGAGUAGUGCAUUCGUAUCUCCAUCUCCACAUCAAGACCCACGAAUUCACACAGGUGUCUAUGAGUGAAAGAGUCUUCAGCUCUGAAAACAGGACCAACCUCAAAGACGCGACGCAUGUCACCACAUAUCGCCAUCUGCUUAUGAAGCUGAGGAGACUGAGCCAGACAAGCAGGCUGCCCUUUGUAGUCCAACCUAAAUACAGCGGAACCUCCUUCACUACUGCCAGCCAUCAAUUUCGGUGUGUGGAUUUCAAGAAACCCCUUGGAUAGUAAGAAUUCUCUGAACGCCUACACAAACAAUUAAAAAUCAUGCAUGCAAGGAACGUAUCAGGAUUAACACAUGUAUAAUGACAAAUCCUAUCCUAAAAUCCUCCAUCAGGGCUUACAAUUUGGACAUGGCACUGAAUACGGAAGAGGGCUUGAUUAGCCGGUGUUCUGAGGUCAAGAAACCUAUUAUUGAAACGCGUGUCCUGAAGGACACGAGCAGCUGGUUUGCCAACCUGCAACAAUCAAUCAUGGAAACAGCAGCGAAGAUAUUAAAAAAAAGCACAUUAGCAGCUCUCCAAAUCUUAAAAACAUUAUUAUUCUCUACCUUGACAGAUUUUUCAAUAUCUGCUUCACUUCGAGCAGCAUCCUCCACAAGAAGUGGUAAAUUUAGCGAGGAUCUGCUGAGGCAGUACAUUUUUGUGACAUGUAUUUCAACCUGCAACAUUGUUAUCGAUGAGUUAAUAAUGUCACACUAAUCAAAAGAAUCAAAAGGAAAAGGAAACAAGAAGCAAACCUGCUGAGUGGUUCCUGUGAGAGGCUUCUUAGGGAGAGAGACGACACCGAUAAGCUCAACAACGGAUUCAUGACUCAGCUGCUUGACAAAUUUAAGCAUGCUUGUACCAACUCGGGCCUCCUCCACGACGCAUUGAACCCUGAAUUCACUUUGCCUCAAGAUCACAAACAAUUUUUUACCGACUAAGCGAUGAUCGUGCACUCGACCUCUGAUGGAAACCUCUGACCCCACAAUCUCUUCAACCAAGUUGCUCACUUCAGUUAACUCUUUUCCUUCAACAGCCUCUCUCCAGCUUCUACCUGCAGCCGACUUAGGAGUCACGUCACCGUAGUUGCUGGAAAACGAUUCAUCCUCCUCCUCCAGAGGAAGAGGAAGAGAAGAUGAUGUGGCUUCUUCUCGUUCCUGUUUACGGGACAACUUCUCCAGUUUAGCGGCUCUCUUCUUUGCUGCUUUCUUGCUCAUCUUCUCUUCGUUGGAUGACGACAUGAUGCCUCCUUGGAAACCCUACACAUUAUAUAUUCCCCCCCAUUCACUCACGAGAAAGAUGACUUAAACCCUACUUUCUUGGUAAUUCAAAAGUUUCAAUUAACUAAUAUAAAAACUCUGAAUUAGGAUAAUAUAAAAAAAAAGAGACAAAUAUGAACAAGGAGAGGGAGAGAGAGAGAGAGAGAUCUUACGGCGAGGAUGGAGAAGCGCGACUGAGAAAGAAAUAGGUUUAGGGUUUUUUUUGUGUGAUCCCUUGUAUAAUAAAAAGUAAGUUGCCUAGCUAAUUGAAUAAUGACAUGUAAAAAUUAUUACAAAAUAAUAAAUAAAUAAAAAGAAUUGAAAAGAAAAAAUAGCAAAAGCAAAACAGGUUCCCAUAAUUUUUGUUUAGCAUAAGAGGGAAGUUAAAGUUUUCAAAUUACUAAUUUUUUAUAAUUUUUUAUAACUUCCUCAUCACAAAGACGAAAUAUCCAUUGAUUUCGCAAGUUUUACGCUACUUUAACCGUUAGAUGUUUAACGUAACCAACACUACAAACUAGAAAAAUGAAGAUUUCCAAUCCAAGGUGUUCAAAGGAAAAAAAAGAAUUCUCAAUUCAAAAAAAUAUAAGAAAAACGAAGAAUACAACAACAACAUCAAAAGGCAAAAUACAAUCUGUCGCAAUGGUAAAUGAUCUUAAUUACACUAUCAAAGAUGAACAUCACUAAAAUAAAAUAAAAAUAGUUUGAAUUAAUAAAAACAAAAGAAAAAAAUAGAAAAGAAAAAUGCACCAAAAAUGUUUCACAGUUACGUGUUAAUUUACAUAGUUAGUAGAUAAAAUCAAAUUUUUUUUUUUUACUUUACCUCGCCGUCCGUUAUUCUUUCAACACCUCCACGAUCACCAUUUAGUUUUUACGUCCUAUAUUCUAUUAUUUAUAAGAUUAUUCCAUUACUCUACAAUUUAAAAGAUCUCUCUUUUGUUUUUCAUUUUUCUUCUUUAUUUUUCAUUUUGUGCUCGAGUGUAGCAAAAAAAUUUAUACAAAUGUCUUGCCUAUAUUCAUAUUUAUUUGUUUCCUUCUCAGUUUAACAAUUUUAGUGCUCUCUAAUUCUUUCUACAUGAUUCAGGUUGAAAAUUGUAUUUAAGUAUUCUCCUAUUCCGAAAACUUAAUUCUUUCAAAGAAGAAGAAAAAGAAAAUUCAAAAAAUUGUAAUCAACUUAGGUAACAGUAAGUAUGUCUUAAUUUACUAUAUACAAAUUGAUUAUUUACAGAUUUUUGCUUUUUUAUAACCGAACAUAUUCAACUAUUUUCAGUAAAAAAAAUAAGCAUAUUCAACUAUUUUUCAAAUCUGUUUAUUAAUCUAUUAUAUACAAGUUGACUAUUUUAUACAUGUUUUCUUUGUUAUCAUUGAAGUUCCAGGUUGUUGAUGACUGUUGAGGAAAAGGAAAACGAUGGAGUAGAAUCUAAAAAUGAAAGUUCAAACAAAAUAUCCAAAAAUGUAUUUUUUACUUGGCAUUUUAUCUUUGUCCUGCAUCUCAGAUAUUAAACUAUUCAAUAUAUACUUUCAAUAAAAAUUUAAUGUUUUCAUAAUUUUUUCCUACUAAUAUUGUAUUUAAAUAAAUAUGUUUACUCCAAAAGUAUAUUGUUAAAGACUUAUUUUAAAAACAAAUAUAGUAAAAGUGAAUGGAUUAGAUGUAGUAAAUUUAACUAUAUUUAAUUUUUCUAUAAAAUUAUUAUCUAUGUUCGUAAAAAAUAAUAAUAAUAAUUGUUUUAACCCUUCUAAAUAUGUUGUUUGAAUACAACACUUCUAAUAUUACGUCACCAUUUUAUCUAAAUCCAGAAUAUUUAACUAAAAUAAUGUUUAUUUUUGAUUAAAUGGGACGUUAGAAUUUUAUAAAGAAAAUAAUUAAAAUGUAAAUUAUAUCUUAUUUUAAAAGCAGUAUUAUAAUAUUUACUUUUAUGUGUUAGCAUAUAUAUUAUUUUUAUAGAAACAAGCUUUAAAAAACAUGUAUGUUGUAUAUAUUUUUCAAAACUACAUCAUAGAAAUUGUUUCAGUACUUCUAAGUUUAUGUAUUAAUGUUUACCUAGGUUAAGAAAAUAUAUAAAUAAAAUAAUAAUUUAUUUUGAUAGUCAUUUUAUGAUCAAAUACUUUAGAAGACAUUAAAAUUGACAGGUGCGUAGCACCGGAAAUAAUACUAGUUAUCAAAUAGGAUAAUACUAUGUUAUUAUCAAUAGAGCACAAUAAAGAGUUGUCUUUAUCUCGGUGACUCUUACUGGAGUAAUAAAAAGAGAAUGACAAUCACUUUCAACUCACUGUGAAACGUGUAGUUUUACAUUAAUAUGAAAAUUAUCUCCUCUGAGGUUCAUUUAUUUGAGAACCAAAUCUGAAGUUUUAUAUGAAAUUUUUUUAAUCAUCACGAAAUAGAUGUAUUAAUUUAUUUUAGAUCUUUACUGGUGUAUAUAUUUUCUAUAUUUGUUUUAUCGGUUCGUAUUGUUUAGAACUCUUUGUCCCGAAGACUUGGUUAUACAAUUCAGCGACAAAAAAAGACACCAGGACUAACUUUAUGUAUUUGAUUGUUUUAUGUUCGUGGUUCCACUCUCCACUUGAUUCGUUUAACAUAAACCACAUCAUCAAUGUGUACAUCAUUUUCUUCUCAUUGAAUUUAUUAAAUACAAAUUAAUCUACGUAUUUGUUUUCUCUUUUUACACCAUUAUUGUAAUAAUUUAAUAAUUGAAUUAUUCAACAACGGCUAUUCAACAUUUUUGAAACUAAAACUCUAGCUCAUGAAUCUUAUUGGCUUAUUGUUCUGAUCAAUAAUUACAAACAUAUGGUAAAAAGAUCAUUCAUCAGGAAGAGACAAGAUUUGCAAAAGGAUGGAUAUGUUUGUACUAGUGAUUCUUCUUCUUCUGAUAUUUUCCAACAAAGCAGUUUCUCAGAGUGAAGAAGGAGAGUUUGGUUUCAACGGUUACUUAUACAACAGCUAUGGAAUUGCCAAUCUUGACUCCAAUGGCUUAUUAACGCUCACAAACUCGACCAGCUACAAAUCUGGUCAAGUUUUCUACAACUUACCAGUGCGGUUCAAGAACUCAAAAAACGGUACAGUCUCUUCCUUCUCCACCACCUUUGUUUUCGCUAUAGUCCCAAUAUUCCUAGGCCAUGGAAUGGCUUUUGUCAUCUGUCCCACCAGAGGCUUGCCCUAUGGCUCAUCAUCCCAACAUCUAGGACUGUUUAACUUGACCAACAAUGGAGAUCCCUCAAAUCAUAUCGUAGCAGUUGAGUUUGAUACCUUCCAAAACCAAGAGUUUGGUGACAUAGAUAGUAACCAUGUCGGCAUCGACAUCAAUGGCUUGCAAUCAGAGAUAGCUUCCACAGCAGGUUACUACAAAGAAGACGGUACUUUCAAAAACAUGUCUCUUGCAAACAGUAAGCCGAUACAAGCAUGGGUUGAAUAUGAUUCCUCAAGGAAACAGCUUAACGUCACGCUUCAUCCUCCUCAUCUCCCUAAGCCGAAUAUUCCAUUACUUUCUCUAACCAAAGAUUUGUCACCGUAUCUCCUCGAGUCUAUGUACGUUGGCUUCACUUCAUCCAACGGCAUGCUUCGUUCAUCUCAAUAUGUUCUAGGCUGGACAUUCAAGCUCAAUGGGGAAGCUUCGAACCUAGAUAUAUCUCGUCUCCCAAAACUUCCUGAUGACGACAAUCAAGAAAGUGGUCUGAAAAGGAUCUUGGCCAUUAGUUUGAGCUUAACGGGUUUCGCUGUGCUCGUCUUCUUGGCCAUAAGUCUUACCCUUUUCUUGAAAAGGAAGAAGUUAAUGGAAGUUCUCGAGGACUGGGAGGUUCAGUUUGGUCCGCACAGGUUUGCUUACAAAGAUCUUUACGUUGCUACAAAGGGUUUCAAGAACAGCGAGCUUCUUGGUAAAGGAGGGUUCGGAAAAGUUUACUAAGGUACAUUGCUGACGUCGAAGAUAGAUAUCGCGGUGAAGAAAGUUUCAAAUGAUUCAAGACAAGGGAUGAGAGAGUUCGUAGCAGAGAUCGCCACCAUUGGGCGUCUCAGACAUGCUAAUCUAGUUCGGCUUCUUGGUUACUGUAGACGCAAGGGGGAGCUUUAUUUGGUCUACGACUGUAUGCCAAUGGGCAGUCUUGAUAAGUUUCUCUACCACAAACAAGAACAGAGUCUUGACUGGUCACAAAGGUUCAAGGUUAUCAAAGACGUAGCUUCUGGUCUUUGCUAUUUGCACCAGCAAUGGGUUCAAGUUAUCAUUCACAGGGACAUUAAACCAGCAAACAUUCUUCUCGAUGAAUCUAUGAACGCAAAGCUUGGUGAUUUUGGUCUUGCCAAGCUCUGUGAUCAUGGUAUUGAUCCGCAAACCUCUAACGUGGCGGGUACGUUUGGAUACAUCUCCCCAGAGCUGUCAAGAACCGGGAAGGCAAGCACAAGCUCUGAUGUAUUCGCGUUUGGAGUGUUGAUGUUAGAGAUAGCUUGCGGCCGAAGACCCGUCUUGCCACGAGCAUCUUCGCCGAGCCAGAUGGUUCUUACGGAUUGGGUGCUAGAUUGUUGGGAAGAUGACAUAUUGCAAGUGGUUGAUGAGAGGUUAAAACAUGAUGAUAAUACGUACCUCGAGGAGCAAAUAACAAUGAUUCUGAAGCUUGGCUUGCUCUGUUCGCAUCCGGUUGCUGCCAUUAGACCGAGCAUGUCUAGCGUUGUCCAGUUCUUGGACGGUGUGGCUCAGCUACCUCCUAACUUGUUUGACAUUGUGAAAGCUCGAGAAAUCGUUGGAGGCACUGAAGCCUUUGGUGAAGCAGCUAAGUCUCUUGUGCAGCCUAGUUCGGUCGCCAUGGUGACGUUUACGGAACCUUUUACCUCACAUGGUCGCUAAAACAUCAAACUCGCAGAAUCACACUCUUUCUUCAUGUCACAGUUGUGUUUGAAAACUAUUGUGUAACUCUCUACUUUUGUCCGAGUGUUUUUUCUACGAGAAUGUCUAUUUAGGGUGUGUUUCAGUCAUUUUAAGGAUCCGAGAUUGCGAAAUGUAAAUGAGAAUGAAAACAAAUUGUUAUUUUGAAGGGAAAGCAGAUGACAUCAUCUCAUAUGAUUCGAAAGAUCCUAAGCAGAAACAAAUGUAUCAUAAGCAAAGUGUAAAGGAUGACGAUGAUGAUAUUACAUGUAAAGGCCUUCAGGGACGCCUUCUUUCUUCUUGAACAUAACCUUCUCCUUGGCUUUCUUGAAAUCCGGAUGCGUCACCUGAACAGACCACACAUCAAACAUUAGAGUUCGUGGCUACUAAUUCCCAAGAUGUGUGGUUUGAACCAAAUGAUUUAGACUCUUUACCUUCAUACGACGCUCCCUGAGAGCAAGCAGACCAGCCUCAGUGCAAAUAGCUUUGAUAUCAGCUCCUGAGAACUCGUCUUUUGUCAUCACAAACUCUUCCAAGUUUACAUCUUCCGAAAGAGUCAUCUUUGAUGUGUGUAUCUGUUUUAAACAAAGACACUCAAGCUCAAAUGACAAGAAACUUUUUAACAAGCAAUUGAUUUUGAUUUCUCGGCAUAAGUAUUACCUGGAAGAUGCGUCUUCUCGUUUUGAUAUCUGGUAGUGGGAACUCGAUCUUCCUAUCAAUACGUCCAGGUCGAAGAAGUGCCGGGUCAAGACUCUCGAUUCUGUUUGUUGCAAGGAUGACCUUUACGUCUCCUCUUGAAUCGAACCCAUCAAGCUGGUUCAGAAGUUCCAACAUAGUUCUUUGGAUCUCACGCUCACCUCCUGAGUUAGCAUCAUACCUGUUUCCAUUUCAAUCAUUUAAUCAGUAACCAUCUCCGAUGAACAAUUGGUUAUAUGGAUCAUGUUUGUGAGUUAGUUUGACUUACCGCUUGGUACCAAUAGCAUCAAUCUCGUCAAUGAAGACGAUUGAUGGUGAAAGGUCAUCAGCAACUCUGAAAAGCUCUCUCACAAGCUUGGGACCGUCUCCCAAAUACUUCUGAAUUAGUUCACUACCAACAACUCUCAAGAAAGUAGCUGAUGUAGAGUUCGCCACCGCCUGAGAAAAAAAACAAAGAUUCAAUAUAUCACUCCCGCAUUGUUCAAUAGUAAAGCAAGUACAAACACAAAACAAAAACUAAGCGACCAAACUGCAGCAGUUACAUGUAUGUGACCGAAACAAAAGAAAACAAGUGAUUCAUCAGAUCUUCAUCCUUGAGGAAAACAUUCUGGCUAUGAUUUAAUUUCUGUAAUUCAGGUGACAAGCGCAACAAAGGUUUAACCUUUUUCAAAUAUUUCUGCUUAGAGCACAGCCUCGUAUGUUUUUUAGCUAGAUAACAAGAAGAAAUCUGUUGCAAUCAGACUAUAGAUUCAUCUGAACACGUCAGUGAAUGUAAAUGAAACUUUAAACAAGAAACUACGCUAUACUCCUAACAGAUACUGGUACUUGUUAGAUUAAAGGCAAAACCUUAGCAAGUGGUCACUGAAUGUAAAUGACAUUUCAAACAAGAGACUAAGCGAUACUCCUAACAGGAAGAACUCUGUUGCAACUACAUUGCGAGUGACUCUAUGUGAACAAGUCACUAUAAGUAAAUGAAACCUUAAAUAAGAAACUAAUAUAUACUCUUAACAGAUAAUACUACAUGUUAGAUUAAAGGUAGAAAGUUCAAACCUUAGCAAGCAGAGUCUUCCCAGUUCCAGGCUCACCAUACAAAAUCACACCCUUGGGCGGCUUAAUACCAAUAUCCUCAUACAACUCAGGAUGAGUCAAAGGCAACUCAACAGCCUCCUCUUAAUCUCCUGAAUCUGAGCUUCUAACCCUCCAAUAUCAGCAUAAGACUCCAAAGGCGCCUUCUCAACUUUCAUCACAGACACCAUCGGAUCCACUUCAUCUUGCAGUAUCCCAACAACAGAGAGAACCUAAACCACAAAAACCCCCAAUUAAAACCACAUCUCAUAAAAAGAUCCAAUCUUUUCAAAACCCUAAUUUCACAAUACCUUAUUAUGCAUCAAGAUCGAGCAACCAGGCUCGAGCUGAUCUUUAUCAACGAACGACAAGAUCCCAACGUAAUACUCAGGUCCCACGGAAGACGAUACGAUUGCGUGAUUCUCAUCAAUCAACUCCUCGAGGUUCCCGACGCUCAUCGGCGUCCCACGGAGAUCAUCGACCUUAGAUCUAUCUUCCUCCGCCUUCUCCUCCUGAGGCUUCAGCCUCUCCUGAUUCGCUACGAACUCUUCCUCCAUCAGGAGAUAGUCCUUGAUCCGCUCCAUCUUCAGCAGCCUGAGCUUGCACUUAGUGGAAGGAGUCACCGUCGGGAGCCUCGCCGCCGCCUCGGGUCCUUUUUGGCGACGCUGCUUCCUCCCGACGCGGGACGGCGGAGCCGCCGGCUCGAACUUCUUCUCUUUCUUAUCGCCGCCAUCGGGCUUCUUGUCUCCUUGGCGAUUCAAACCUCCGGAUGGUCCUUGACCCAUGAUUGCUUCUUCUCCGAGAGAGCUUUGCCUUUUGUGUUUCUCUCUUUGUACUGAGAUUCUUGGCUUUGGGAAGAAGAUAUCUUUUUUAUCUAAUUCAUUUUUUUAAUAAAUUAAUAAUCAGAUUUUGGGCCUAUAUAUGUAUUAGGCCCAAAAAGGAAUCGAGCUUAAUUGUGCUACGUAAAACAAGGCCCAUAAAAUUUGAAGUUACCCUUCCGAAGCGUAACCAAACCUAAAGAGACCACCAUGAAAGUUUACUACGUAAACUGAAACCAUUUAAUAAAUCUUUAUUAUUGUUUAUUGUUGUUACAUGAUAAUAGUAAUACUGUACAAAGAUAAUAUAUGGUACUAUAUAUAUUUAUAGAUCAUUGAACUCAUUCAUAUUCACUCGCAGGUGCACCCACUCGAGUGUUUCUUGAGGGAGCAUCCCAUUUAUACAUGAAAUAUUCCCCGUGAAAUUGCUUGUUGAGGACAUAGACUCCCUCUUCUUUUGCGAUCCACCUACAUACAUUAGGGUCCAUUCCAGUACACGUACCAUCUAUAAAAUCUUUGUCUGGAAGAAACGCAUUAAAAACCACAUGGUGUUUGUAAUUUGGUCCCUGCAUGCAGAAACAUAAGAUAUAAAUUAAUCUGAUCUAUUUUAAUUUCUACUACAAGCAAAUAUAUAUUACAUAUAUUGAAAAUGUAUAUUUCACCUGCCAUAGAUCACACCAAUACAGAGUCUUUAGGUUGAUGGUAAAUUUAAAUUGAAAAUUUUCGCCGAUAUUAAGAUAAGUAAUCGGAAAAUCAUGACUUCCGCUCUUGCAAUGAACCUUGAGUUUUUUCUGAAACCCUAGCUGGUUUACAAUUUCAAUAUUGAAUUUUCUGAAGAGAGGAGGCAUCAAAUAAGAGUUUAUAGAAUCAACAGAAAGGAGGACAAGGAAAAAACAUAGUAAAUAUUUUCCCAUCUUAUUUUUUUUUCUAUCAGACGUAUAAUAAAUGUUUGUACCGAGUACCACAAUAAAUCUAUUACCAUGUAAAAUAUAUAUACAAAAAAAACGUACGACUAAAUUUGUCCAUACAUUAAAUAUUUUGUUGAUCAAAGUCCAUACAUUAAAUACUUUUACUCUAUUUUAUUGCAUUUAUGAAUCAUUCAAUUCAAAAGCAAGUCUUUUUUUUACUACAUUUAAAAAGCAAGUUUAUAUGGUAUUAGAGCAUCCCAAUUCCUCUUUAUAUUUUACUUUAAAAUGGAGUAAUGAACACAAAAUAAAAACACUACUCUAUAAAUGGAGUAAUGGAGUAAUAUUCUAUUUUUGUUCAUUACUCCAUUUUAGAUUAAAAUAUAGAGUAAAAUUGGAAAUGUCCUUAAUAUGCAUACACAUAUUUGAACUAAUUGGUUAUUGUUAUUCCAUUAGUUUCUUUACUAUAGAAAUAGGCUGUAACUUUUUUAUUUUGAUUUUAAUUCAUUUGCUAUAGAUUUAUUUUGAAAAAUAUUCAAAGCAUUUAAUAAAAGCUAGAAAAUAUGAUUUUCAUAGCUAAUCUUAUAUAUUAAAACAGAAGUCACAACUUUUUUCAUGUGUGAUUUUUUAAGUUGGACAUUCUAUUAAAUAAUUACUUUGAUGAAAUUUUCUAUUUGCAUAAUAAUAUCAUAACAGUAAUUGUAGUUGCAUUUUAGUCUUUUAUUUUCCUAAACAACUAAGUAAACUUAUUGUUAACCAGAUUUCUUCCUGGUUUCCUUCCUAACCAUAUGCUUCUUCUUUUUUUUUUUUAACGUGUGAUAUAUUCUUUAAAUUUAAUUGUAGCUAUUUAAUUAAAAAGGAACAUUAUAAAACAUAUCCUUUCAUCUAGAGUUCAAGAGAACUAUAAUACACAUUAUUCAUAUAGCCAUGAUUUAAUAUCUUCAUCUUCUUAUUUGAGAUACAAAUAAAUAUUUAUAAGAAGAUUCUAACAAAAUACUUUUAAAAAUAAUUCAGAAUCAUUUUAAAAUUUACUUACAACAAGUAAUUAAUUUAAACUUUAAUUAUAAUAAACUAUAACUAGAAAUUAAAAUUUAAUUUAGUUUUUAUUUAUAUAUAUUUUUAAAAAUAUAUAAAUAUUAUUAACUAUAUUUUAAUGAUAAUGAAAAUUUAAAUGAUAAAAGAUUUUUUUAGAAAGAUCCAUUUCUAUUUCCAAUUAAAGAAUAAAACUAUUUUACCCAAAUGAGGGUAUUUCAAGUAAUUUCUCAAAUAAGAUCACUACUACAAAAUUAUUUUGAAGUACAAUAUAUUAUAGCUAAUUUGAAAGAAAAAUUGUUGUUUUUAACAGUAUCUCAAAAAACAAUUAUUGAAUUUAAAUUAAAUUGGAUCUAUAUAAAAAAGAUUUGUCAUAAAAAAAUAUUAUGUAAAAUAAUACUGUUACAUAAUAAUGUUUUCAAAAUAAAUUUUGUUACAUAAAUAAAAAAAUUAUAAAAUUUAUAGUGAUAAUAUAUAAGUCACAUAAACAUAGAUAUUAUUGAAAUAUAAUACUAAAUUACAUUAAGUUAUUGAUAAAUUUUGUUAUAUAAAUUUAAAAUAUUUUAACUUAGAAAGAAAAAACUCGCACAGAUGUGCGGGUCGAGAUAGUAUAUUUUAUUUUCUAACUUUUUGGUCGUAGAUUUAUUUUUCAAGCCUAAAACAUGAUUGUUUUAAUAGAAUGCUUUAAAAAAAAUGGUUGUCUAACAUAUUUACAACCCUUCAAAUCACCCCUAUACUUGUCUAAACAAAUAGAAAAUGGUAAUAGUGUGCGGUUGUUUAACUGGUAAUUUUUAUUGAUCUGUAAAAUAUUUCCUGAUUUGGGAUUUAUUCGGAUAAACAUUCUAGACUUUUCUGGAAAUCGUUUUCGAACUUUACUACCUAUGUGGUGUUGUUCUGUUCUAUUAAAAAAUAAAAUUAACUAAGUAGUGAUAUCUUAAUGGUAAUCUUUUGAAGUUUGGUGUGUAUCCACAUCAAUUUUGAGCUCAAUUUUUAAAAAAAAUUAAAUUAUCACUACUUAGUUAAUAUGAAUUUGGGUUUCAACCUUAAUGGCUAACAAGAUGGACCAUAGCAAAUGAUCGGUUUACCCUUAGCAUUAGUCAGAACCAUAAAGUAUUCCAAACUCAUAUUAUGCUAUAUGGUACGAUUUUGAAGUAGUCUACUAUGUAGCAUAAAAUGUGUUACUUCCUAGUCCGGCCGGAUCAGCCAAUAGAACAUAUCAAAGAAAAACAAUAUGUAAUUUUGUAUUUCUUAUUUGCAAGUUUCUGCAAUGCUAUUUUAUAUAAAUAAAUAAAGUUAGUUGUUACAAAAACUAUGUAAAGGAUCUAUUUUCUACAUCUUGGGAUUUUGUUUAAUAACAUACUCGAACAGACUAAAGUAAUUCGAUAGUGAAACAUCAUCCCACUUGUAGUUUGUAUUUAAAAAUUAAAACAUGAUUGAUUAGAAACAUAUUUCGUCAUAAUCAUAGAAUUAUUUAUAUACCUUAAAAGUUAAAAUAAUAAUUCUACCAAUUAAUCAAAUAUAUUCUCUCCGUUUCAUUUUAAUUGUCUUUCUAGGUUUAUGAACAUAGAUUAAAAAAACAUAUAAUUUUGUAUAUUUUCAAAAUAAAAACACAAUUACCUAUACAUCUAAUCAUAUUUCAACUAACAGAAAAAAUGAAAGAGAGAAUCUGAUUAAUAAAUUUUGCAUUGAAAUUUUAAAAUGACAUUUAUUUGAAACGGGAAAAAAAUUUCUUGGAACAAUUAAAUCGAAAAGAAGGGACUAGUAAUAUGUAACUCCUAUCACAUCAACUCUGAUAUUUGUAGCAGUUGUACUCUACCUCCCUACACAGAAGCGACGGCAUAACUUAUUUGAUAAUUGUAGAUCUGGAAUAAAAGUUAUUUGAUAAUUUAUCCAAAGCGACAGCAUAACGGUUUCAAUAUUAAGAAUUGACCACCCAAAAACAAGUUAUCCACUUGUACGAUAUAUAUUUAUACAUGAUUAAAUUCAUAUUCACGCGCAGGUGCAACCUCUGAAGUGUUUCUUGUGGGAGCAUCCCAUUUAUACAUGAAAUAUUCUCCAUGAAAUUUCUUGUUGAGGACAUAGACUCCAUCUUCCUUUGCGAUCCACAUACAUACAUUAGGGUGCAUUCCAGUACAUGUACCAUCUAUAAAAUCUUUGUCCGGAAGAAACGCAUCAAAAACCACAUGGUGUUUGUAAUUUGGGCCCUGAAACAUAAUUAUAUAUAUUAUGUAAGAGCUUGCAUUUACAUAUGUCGAGAAAAUGUAUAAACAUCUUUCACCUGCCACAAAUUGCACCAAUAUAGAGUAGUUAGGAGGAUUGUAAAUUUAAAUUGAAAACUUUCGCCGAUAUUAAGAUACGUAAUCGGAAAAUCAUGACUUCCGCUCUUGCAAUGAACCUUGAGUUUCUUGUUUAUUCAGAAAAUUCAAUGUAGAUGUUUUCUGAAUAGAGGAGGCAUCAACGAGUUUAUAGAAUCAAAGGAAAUGAGGAUAACAAAAAAAAAAGUAAAUAUUUUCCCAUUUUUUCUCAGAUGUAUAAUAUAGAUGUUUUGUGACGAAUAUGACAAUAAAUCUGUCACUCAUAUAUAUAUAUACAAAAAAUAAGAACGAAUAUAUUUGCCCAUCCAUUAAAUACUUUGACUGCGUUUUAUAUUUAAUGUGAUAUACUUGCCUAGUUGGUUGUUUUCACCGGUUUGACUAGUAAAAUAUUUCCUGGUUUGGGAUUUACUCCUAUAAACUGUGUAACUGCAAAAGAUCAAUCUUCUAAGAGCACCAGCAUUAAUAAACACCCGGUUGGGAUUCAUAAUUUGAUUUUUUUAUUAUUAUUUUUUUUAUUUUUUCGUUUGAUUUUUUUGUUUAAAAAAAAAAAAAUUGACCAAUAGCGGGCCGCCACGUGGCGUGGAGCCCGCUGAACAGUAAUGAUCCGGGUUCAUCCGGAAGGAGCGUGGCGAGACAGAGUCAUAACUGUAGCAUAUUAUAAUCUUUUUUUUCUCGGGACGCGUGUGAACUCCUCUUAUCAUUCCCUGAUGCGCAUGGUCUAAGGUUCUAAAUGGUGAUCAAUCUUCUAACUGCAAAAUAAUUUCUUAUCAUUCCUUAUAUUUUAUACCAUUUAUAAAAAUUAUUUGUUACCUAGGAUUUUUUUACAUUCCUUAAAUGUUAAGGAAUAAUAUACUACAAUUAUUCUUUAUCAAAUUAGGAGAAAAAUAUAUGUUUUUUCUUAUUUUAUUUCUCUUCAUUCUUUUCUUUUAUUCCUCUUCAUUCUUUUCUUUUAUUCCUCAUAUUCUUCUAAUGAUUAUCAGUUAGAUCCUAAAUGACUAAGAUUUAACUUAUUCAUAAAUAAUGAAAGCCAUUAGUAAAAUAAAACUUAUUUAUAACCAACUAGAGUAUUUCUCGAGUUGAUCUAGAGAAUGAUAAUCACAAUUAUAGAUCAAACCAAACCUCAGUGAUGUAUGUUAUACAGAAACAAAACAUUUUCGUAUUAUAUCCAUAAGCAAUUGAGAUCAAUACAAGAUCGAAGGAAGUUCAUGUUGUUGUCCAAAAUGUGUGUUAGAGUAUUUUAAAUUAACAAUACAUUUUAAAUCAAAAUCUUAUUUUCAGAUAAAAUUUUCAAUGAAAAUCCUUUAAAUAAAAAACCAUGUAAUGCAUUAUCGUUAUAGUGUCGCAACAAUAUAUUUUAAUUAAUGAUUUUUUAUCAUUUUAUGUCCAUGAGUACAUCACAUAUAUUAACAGGUUUGUAUAUAUAGAUAUAUAAAAUUUAAUAACAAACAAAACAUUUUAUUAUUAGUGGAAAAGUUUAAAAGUGAAACAUGGAGAUUUAUGAAAGCUAUUAUGAAUUAGUAUUUGUUUAUGCAUAAAACAACAAGAUUAAUUUAUAAUCAUACAAUUAGCAAGAGAAAUUUCUUCACCACCCAGUUUCCCAUUUCUCUAGUAAUAAGUCUUCACCAAUAGCAGAGUUCCAAAGAUAAAGCCCAUCAGUUUUAGCGGUCCAAACGCAUUUUUCCCAACCGCAUCUAUGAAACAAGAUUACAUCAUCCCAAAACACUUUCACAUUCAUAUGACCAUCAUCUUUACUCAAGUAGCACCAAAAUAACGUUGAGUGAAGCAUAUUUUCUCCAAAAUUCCAAGAAAAUCUAUCUCCCAGAUGCAGAUUUUGUUCGCCUAAGUCGUCGUCUUUAGAUUUACAAUGGACGAAGAGAGUUUCACUGGUGAUUAAACCGUUGACCACCGUGAUUUGCCAGUCAGAAAUCUUCGGGACUAUGAUGUCUCUGGUGGUCGUGCUGCUUGCUAAUACACGAUCAUGAAAUGUUAAAACAAGAUAAAUAAAAAUGCCUAAGAGAAACUGUUUGAUGUUGUUCAUGCUUUUGUUUCUAGUAAACAUUUGUGAAGAAUUGUUUUUUGUUGCUUUGGUUAUAUAAUGGAAGAGCGAAACGGUAAUUGACGUUUAAUUAACUUAUGAACUCUGAAGUUAUUGCAUUGCAUUAACGAUUAAAUCAAUUACGUGAUCAUUGACGGGUGAUCAUUUUGAAGCUCAAAGGUCGGCCUUCUCUAUGAAAACAAAAAAGUUAGCUUAAAAUUUUUGUGAUCCAGUUAGUAUCAUCGAAAUCUAUAGUCGAACAAAAUUAAAUUAUAUAAGUUAGUAUAGAUUAGGAUGUCAAAACUAUAACUCAAAUGUUUAUGUAAUUAUGUCAAAACAAAUUAUUUUCCUUAGGUUUCAGCAUGGUGGGGGUAUUUAUUUCUAAGAAAAAUAGUAUUUCCUGAGCCUCUUUUAUGGGGGUUAUUGGAACACGAAUUUCUGUGGAAUUUGAUGAUUUUAAUAGUUGAGAGGAGUAAAUUCGAAAGUGCUUUUUAAAACUAUUUUUACAAUUUUUAUUUUAAAUUUUUAAUAUUUUUUCUAUUUUUUUAAGUUGUGAAUUGUAUUAUGUUAAAGUUGUGAUUUGUAUAUUAUUUCAUUCUUCAAUUUGAGUUUUUGUGUGUGAGUGUAUUUUAUUACAUUGAUUUCAAAAAUCUUAUGGGUAGAUGAUAUUCUCAAAGUUGAGUACAAUGAGUAAAAACAAAGAAAAUUUACAUCUCAAUAACAAUAGAUUUUAAUAGAAUUUUAAAAUCAAUGAAAACUAAACUUUUUCAAUAACAAAUGAUUUUGAGUGGAAUUUAAAAAUCAUCACCCCAAUAACAAUUGAUUCUAUUUAGAUUUUAAAAAUUCACAAACCAAUAACAACGGAAUCUCAAAAUUUAAUAAUUCCUCUAGAAUUCUUUGCCCAAUAACUCCCCCUUAGUUAAACUAAAUGCUUGAUUUAUUAUCUUCUAUAUUAAAACAGAAGUCACAAUUUUGACUCAUGUGUGAUUUUUAAAAAAUAGACCUAAUAGACUUAUUACUAGAAAGUCAUGUUAUAUUUAAUCUAUAAUCUUAUCGUUAUUAUAGGUCUAAAUAACUCACUUUCUACAUAAUAGGAACUAAAUAAUAUGUCUAUAACACAAUAUUGCUAUGUUAUAGGAACUAAGAGGGGUUAUUGGGAGAUGAAUUUGUGUACAGGUUGUGAAUUUUUAGAGUUGAUAGAUUUAAAAAAAGUUAUAUGGAUUGUGAAAAUUUAUAUACAUUGACUUAUUAAAUUUGAUCAUAACUUUUUUAGAUUGAUAUAGAUUUUCAUGAAUUUGCAUUACCUAUUUUCUAUCAUUUUUUGUAAAAUAAAUAUAGAAUAUAUUUAUUUUCUAAAUUAUAUAGCAUGAUUAUUUAUUUUUUUCUUUCAAAUUAAAAGAAAAUAAUACUGAUACAUACAAAAUUGAACAAUUUUCUCAAAUAGCCAUUUUAAAACAUUUUGUUACAAAAAGAGCAUUAAAAAGCUGUCAAAAAAAAAGAGCAUUAAAAAAAGAAAAUAAUCAAAAAAAGUUUCAUUAAAAAUGUAAAAGACUAUUUUACCCCUUACGGGGUAGAUGUAUAAGUAAUAAAAAAUAAAACAUAAAAUAAAAAGUUGUUCUUAUAUAUUUGUUUUUCAAAUUCGAACAUUUUUAUAUUUUUUCUAUUUUAAAAAAAAAUAUUUUUUUCAAACUAUCAAUCAUUUCCAAGCAAAAAAAUUGAUCUGGAAACAACCAAUUCAAUAAAAAAAUAUACGAUAAAAUUAUUAUGUUUUAAAACUAAUAGACACACUUCAUAUAUAUAUUAUAAUAUAUACCAAAAUGGAAUUAAAAAUAAAAUGUUUAUAUAAAAAUAAAUGAAAAUAAACAUCCGCACGGUUGCGCGGAUCGAAAUAUAGUUGUUAUUUAAAGUAUAAAGUAAGUACCAAUAACGUUGUACGUUACAUUAUUGGAAUAUAAAAUAUUGGAUCACUGGAGUGUUUGAAGAACACCUUUUCGAAAAAUGAUUUCAGUUUUCUUCUUAAAAACAAUACCAAAAAUUCGAUAAAAAAAAUUAAUCAAUACAAUUAACUAAUUAAGUACAUUCUAAGAACACAAUAACACGAAUCCAAAUAUUCGAAGCAGUCUACAUAGUGAAAGGUUUCGCACUAUUCAAGUUUAUAUAGAAAAAGGAAAAACAAAUCUAGACGGACAGAAAAAUCAAGACACUUCAUAAAUUAAAGGGCAAAUAUUCAAAAUAGCACAUUUCUAAUUUUAUAUCACAAAAAUAGCACUCAAAAACUAAAAUGACCAAAAUAGCACAUUUCUAAGUUUAUCAUUUGAAAAUUUUAAUUUUUUUAUUUUCUAAAAUUUGAAAUCUUAUCCUCAAAACCUCAUUUCUCAAUUCUAAACCCUAAACCCUAAAUUCUAAACCCAAAACUCUAAACCCAAAAUCCUAAACCCUAAACCCUAAACCCUAAAAUCUAAACCCUAAACCCUAAACUCUAAACUCUAAACCCUAAAUCCUAAACCCCACCAUUUAACUCUAAACCCUAAGUUUGUGACUUUUGAUAAAAUAUUAAGUGCUAUUUUUGUGACUUUUGACCUUGAGUGCUAGUUUGGGAACAUAAACUUGAUUUAAUGCUAUUUUUGUCUUUUUCUCUAAAUUAAAUAGCUUUCGCUCGGCUGUACUUUUUGAUAUGCUAAACAAACUAAAACUGAUAUAACCAAAUUACGAUUAAUUUGGUUGAAUUUUUUAUUUUUUAUUAUUUCAUUAGGAUAGAUCCACAAAGAAUUCAGCAAAGAAUUCAUAAAGUUUAGUAACAGCUAUAAAGCAUAUAAUAUCACAUCUUAUUCUCAUAUCAUGAGUAAUUAAUCUUGGACAUGGUUAUAUUUUCUUUGAUUUGGGUUAAACUCGAACCCCUAAAGGAUCCCUCGAAAUAACAUACAAUUAGAUAUUACGGUGAACCUCCGUUGUAGAUGACUGCUUGUAGCCUACAAAAUUGAUAUCAAAACAAGAUCAAAGGAAAUAUUUCUGGUACAACCUCGUACAAAAGUAGCACAACUGACAUAACCGGACCGGUUGGGUAUUGCUGCUAGGCACACUCAUAUAUGAUAUAUAUAUAAACGAUGAAUUUUUCUGAUUUAUAUUUUUAAAUUAUUUGACAGAAUUGUUUGGAAUAGCUUUGGAUGUGAUUGUUUGACGCUGGAAGUUCCAAAGACUAUGAUAUGAAAUAAAAAUAAUACAAAAUCGCAAUUUCUGUAAAAUUUUGUUUGGCGAAGUUAACAUUUCUCAGUUCUCAUCAUUAAAAAAGGAAAUAUCCAUGAGUUAAUAUUCACCUGCAACACAACGUGUAAUAGACCAAGUUCCCAACCUCACACAUUUUGUAAAGAAGAGAAAGAGUAAAUGCACAAAACCAACCUCGCAAAAAGUAUUUUGAAAUGCAACGUCAGCUCAGCCUAAGUUUGACUGUUUUUUUGCCUUCUAAUUCUAGCUUGGAACGUACUCAUUUCGACUUUAAUAUGUUGUCACCUAACUAUCCCAAAUACGAAAAUUGUAGAUCGAUCGACUUAAGUGUAAGUGUUGUUUAUGCCUAGUCAAAAAAAAAAAAAGUGUAAGUGUUGUUCGAUAAGUAUAUCCUUUCCACCCUAUACAAUUACUUGUUACAUCUACUAAAUCAUGUUUUUAAUUAUGUAUAUUGUUUUCAUUUUUUGUUGUCAUCCGUACAUUAUUGUUUUCAUAUUUCCUAUCUAAUUACUUGUUACAUCUAUCAAAUGCCAUAUAAAACGAAAAUCCCAUUUCAAUAAGUAAAAGUUUUUUAUUUGAUAUUCGUUUGUUAACUUAUUUUCUUUGUAUUUUAGUUGAACUUCAAUUAGCUCGAGGUGCGUCCCAAACACAUUUAUAUACCUAGAGGGCUUUACUAUAACUCUUUUUUUUUUGUAACACGGCUUUACUAUAACUCUGUAAAUAGACUUUAUGAUAAAAAGUAGUCAUAUAUGUUGACUAAUUUAUUAAGUGAAACACUGGAAAUUAAAUAGAAUUUGAAAUUGGACCAAGCCAUGACACAACAAAGACACGAGUUUGAUUCUAAGGACACCAUAGUAACUUAAGACGCACGUCAAACAGCUAAUGAAAAUUCCAAAAAAAAAACAUGAUUAUUAUUGUUGCCCUGACAUCAUCUUAAGCUAGACCUAAUUCAAGGACCGUUACAAAUCCUUAAACCAAAAGUAACAACUCAACCACUCAAGGGAAAUGAACUCCUCCAGUACUUCCUCCACCGACUCCGGAACCAACUCCACCGCCUAUCCCGUUUCCUAAACCACCGCCUAUCCCAUUUCCUAAGCCACCGCCUAAGCCUCCACCAACACCACCAAGUCCACCAAAACCAAGGUUACCACCGGGACCAGACACACCCCCACCGACGCCACCGAAAGGUAAACCGUUGUCUCCGAUGCCGGAGUACCCGCCACCGUAUCCGAGGUAGUUCUUCUGGUCAGAGAGCCCUCCUGGGAUGUUUCUUGCUCCGGAAGCAAAAGCUGAGGCUAGGGCAAGAACCAAGAAGAGACUGAAAAGACACUUCGCCAUAAUCUCAAAGUGGUUAAGAACGGUAAUAUUGAUAACAAGAAAGUAGACAAAUUUGAAUUUUUAUGUUUAUUGCAUUGCCGAUGAUCUGGGAGAUAUCUGGGUCCUUUUAAAGGCCCCGAGUGACCACAUACAAAAAUAUGACCGGUGAAGAUAGUUAUUGCCAAUGUAAAUGCUUUUUACCAAAGGCUCUGAUGUCAAAUUUAAGUUUAUUUACAUUCUGAAAAUGACUGGUGGUGACGUGGUAAGUAACUAACGUUCCGCCACGGCUGUGUAAGCGGUUGAGCCAGUCAAAGCUAUCAGAUAAAAUUGUUCAAAUUUGGAACGAUAUUUUAGACGGUAAAAUAUUGAAAUUAGAGAAUUGUAAUUUUUCUCUAAGGCUUUUAAUUUAGCUUUAUCAAGCGACCAAACAUCUUAAAAAUAAUCCUGUCCUGGUUUCCUCUUUGAAAAUAAUCAUGUUCUUUAAAACGAUAGUCUCUAUCGAAUGAUUUCGUUUUGUAGAUCUGUUGUAUUAGCUACCCACGUUUAAUACGGUGGUGCAUAGAGUUUGAUGAUUGAUCGAAAAAGGAAAAGAAUUGGUAGAGUCUCCAGUUUUACAAAGAAGUGGCAAAUGGUUCACCUUUCUUCUGAAAGACAUGCUGGUACACACUUUCGCUGAGAGAUACAUGAAAAGUAAAGUAAAAUCUUUCGAUGUAAACUAAGAGCAGCAUUAUCGCUGACUCUUAGCCCAACUCUUCCCCCAAACUCAAUUAAAAAACAAUUAACAAAACACAUAAGCCCAAGACUCGCCUCUUACGGGAGGUGCCGAAGGCCCGCCACUUAGUGACUCGAUGUAAACUAAGAGCAGCAUUAUCGCUGACUCUUAGCCCAACUCUUCCCCCCCAAACUCAAUUAAAAAACAAUUAACAAAACACAUAAGCCCAAGACUUGCCUCUUACGGGAGGUGCCGAAGGCCCGCCACUUAGUGACAUGUGUCAACAAAUGAGAGGACGAAGCAAUCGGUUACGCGUCUCUCUCGAUCAUCUCUCUCUCUAUCUCGAUCAUCUCUCUCUCGAAACUCUCUCGACGAAAGGUGAUUUCGUCUCUUUCGGUGUCUCUCAUCGGCGACGUCUCCGUCGGUAUCUCUCAUCGGCGACGUCUCCGUCGGUAUCUCUCAUCGGCGACGUCUCCGUCGGUAUCUCUCAUCGGCGACGUCUUCUUCGGUGGCUCUUGUCGGCGACUCUCUCUCGGUGGUUAUCCUGGAGGCGACAGAGCUCUCUCUCGGUGGCUCUUUCAAAAUCGAAAGGUAAGCGGUUGUUGUGUUCUUGACUAUGCAUGUGUUCGAUUAGGUCUGAUCUGUUGUUUUUCUAUGUAGUUUGUUGGCUCUGUCUCUCAGUGGUUUUUCUCCUCUAAGCUUUUCCUCGGUGGCUCAAAUCGAAGCUCUCACCUCAAAUCGAAAGGUAAACCGGUUGUUCUGUUGUUUCAUUAUGCAUGUGAUUGAUUAUUGUAGUUUGUUGGUUCUGUUUGUUUCACCUGAAAUCAAAAUUUUGAUGUGUUUGAUCUCUGGAUAUGUCCUGUUUGUUCUUAGGUUUUAAUUUUGUUUCAGUUAAUACAGAUCGAUCAAAGUUGAUUUGCUAUGUUUCAAUCCUUGCUCUGUGUCUGUUCUUUGAUUUGUUUUCGCUUUUGAUUAUGUCUUUCUGUUGGAUUAUGGUCUGAAUCAUUUUUUGUUUAUGUCUUUAUGUUGUCAGAUAAAAGGAUCAAAAUUCAUCGAGCAAAGGUUCAUCUAGCUCAGGAGUUCACUGCAAAAUAAGGUUAGUGUUACUCUUAACUGGUUCUCCUUACUAGAAUUGAUUUAGGUUGUGGUUAGAAUUGAACCGACUGUAAUUAAUGAGUUGGUUAGAGUUAGGAUAUGGUUGUGUGAUUAAUAGAAGUGAUGGAUAGCUACAAUUGAUUAACGCUUAAUGUGAUGAAAGUAGUAGAUAAAUGUCAACACGUUUUUGUUUGUUGGUUGUCAUGAAUGCAUCCUCUCUUCCUUCUCUGUCAUCUAUAGACACACUUUCCUCCUUCUCUUUCUUAUCAUCUCCUUCAUCUUUCUUCUCAACUUCUUCUUCUCGGUAUGAAUCCUAAUGCCCGUCCUUUAGCUUUUUAAACUUACUAAACAGUCAACUCCCUAACAAUGAAUACCGAACUCAGUUUCUGAGUUUUUCACCUACUCCAGACGUUGGAGGAUCUGCUUCAAGUGCACAAACUGGUGAGGACCGUAAGCAAAUGUGUAAGUGGUCAACAGCUGAAGACCUGGUCCUCAUCAGUGCAUGGUUGAACACCUCCAAGGAUCCACUCGUUGGAAAUGAGCAAAAGGCAGGAACCUUUUGGAAGAGGAUUACGGCUUACUAUAACGCAAGUCCCAAGGUGGUUGGUUUGGCUCCAAGAGAGCAGACCCACUGCAAGCAAAGGUGGGGGAAGAUAAAUGAAGGUGUCUGCAAGUUUGUGGGGUCAUUUGAAACUGCAACAAAACAGAGGACCAAUGGCCAGAAUGAAGAUGACGUUUUGAAGGCUGCACAUGAGAUAUUCUUCAACGAUUACAAGGUGAAGUUCUCAUUGGAACAUGCGUGGAGGGAGCUUAGGAAUGAUCAGAAAUGGUGUGGGACUCAAGGAAGUAGUCAACAUAGCUCAGGUUCGAAAAGAAAGAGGGUGGGGGAAGAACAAUCUUUUCAGUCAUCAGCAUCUAUGCCCAGUGUUAAUGGGGAAGAUGAAGCAAUGGAUAGGCCUAUUGGUGUUAAGGAUGCAAAGGCGAAGGCUAAAAGGCCAGUGGGAGAAGAAGUGAAGAUUCCGGAAGGGUUUAAGGAUAUGUGGGAGAUGAGGACCAAGGACUUAGCUUUCAAGGAUAAGCUUAGAAACAAGAAGCUGCUUGACAGUUUGAUUGCAAAAAAAAAGUCACUUACUGAAUUAGAAGUGGCGCUUAAGAACAAACUGAUAACUGAAAUGUUGUCACUGUAAUCUUCUUUGUCUUGAUGUGUUAUAUAAGUAGUUGAUGUGUAAUAUAAGUAGUUCAUGUGUGUUAUAAGUAGUAUUUCUGAUCAAUGUUAUCAAUCUUGCGUUUCUGUUAUCAGUCUUUGUGAUCAAUGUUCUAAUGCGUUUCUGUUUUGUUUUUAUUUUUAUUUUUCAGGGGAACAAGUCACACACCACCAGCAAUGGAAGCAAGAAAGCCGAUUGUUUGUGGCCUCUCAGCGAGAGGUAUGAUACCACCACCUCUCCCACAAGAGAACACGGAUGAUGAUGUUGCGGAUGUCACACCAAGUGAAGUAGAAGUAGUGGAGAUAUCAGAUGAAGAAGAAUCUGAUAUGGUGGAGUUAUCAAGCGAAGAAUACAGGAGAAAUAUGGGCUAUUUGAUUAGGGUGGAGGAAUCGGAAGAUGACCUUGAACCUGAGUUCAGAAGGCUGCUGCAAAGGAUGCAUGAGGAAGAGAAGAAGCUGAGAGAGGAGAAGUUCAAAGCCAUGAAGUCGGGAAUCUAGCUAGAAGAAGGACAAUCCUCUAAGGUUGAUGGUAAGAAGAGGAAGAGAAAAAGCUGAGAGAGGAGGUCACGGACUGUGGUAUUGUGUCACGGAUCAUGUGUGUUUGCGUUUUGUCUUUGUGUUCUAGUGUCACAAAUGCUUAUAGUCAGGUCACAAGACAUGUAUGUUUGUAUGUUUUAUCUUUGUGUUAUUGUGUCACUGAUGCUAUGUCAGGUCACAAGACUUAUGUAGACAUGUUUAAUAAUUUGUCUUCUAUGUUUGUAUUAUUGGUUUUCUUCUAUAAAUUACGGUAAAAUUUUCAUUCUUGAUCACACAACUCUUCAUCUCUUCUUCCUCUCUCAACAAACACAACUCUUUAUUCUGUUUGGAUUCGAGAAACAUUUGAUCAAAUAAAACAUUAGAUCAAUUAAAACAUUCCCCACAAUUCUCUCCUCUAUUCUCUUGUUCCAAACAUUUAAAAAAAAAUUGUUUUUCCUUUUCAUAUGGCAUCUUCUUCUCAAAAUUCGUUUGAUGGAUUGGAUGAUCAAAGUUUUGAUGAUGCAUUUGAUCAAUAUGUUGACCAAAAAUUUGAUCAAUAUUUGGAUCAACAAUUUGAUCAAACUUUCGAGAAUCUUACCAUAAAUUAUGGUCAUCAAGAAAAAGCAAAGAAAUAAAGAAAAAAACGAGCUUAUAUCGAAAGAAAUCGUGAAGAAGGGCAUAUUCAUUUAUGGAAUGAUUAUUUCAGUGAAACUCCAACGUAUCCCGCAAAUAUGUUCCGGCGACGAUUUAGAAUGAACAUGUCGUUGUUCAUGCAUAUUGUUGAACGAAUCUCCAAUGAAGUUGAAUUCUUUCAACAAAAGACAGAUGCUCUCGGAAGACUUAGUCUCUCUCCACUUCAGAAGUGUACAGCGGCCAUUCGUGUCUUGGCAUAUGGGACUGCGGCUGAUGCUGUUGACGAAUACCUCUGACUCGGUGAAACUACUACAUGGUCAUGUGUGGAACAUUUUAUGGAAAGCAUAAUAUAUUUAUUCGGCGAGGAGUACCUAAGAAGACCAACAUCGGCUGAUCUUCAACGUCUCCUUGAUAUUGGUGAGCAUCGUGGAUUCCCUGGGAUGAUAGGAAGCAUCGAUUGUAUGCAUUGGGAGUGGAAGAAUUGUCCCACCUCUUGGAAAUGUCAAUAUACACGUGGUUCGGGAAAACCCACAAUCGUUUUAGAGGCGGUUGCAUCGUAUGAUCUAUGGAUAUGACAUGCGGUUUUUGGACCUCCAGGUACCUUAAAUGAUAUCAAUGUUCUUGAUCGAUCACCUGUUUUUGAUGACAUAAUAAAAGGUCAAGCUCCGCAAGUCACCUUCUCUGUCAAUGGAAGAGAGUAUCUUAUGGCUUAUUAUCUCACCGACGGUAUUUAUCCGAAAUGGGAAACUUUUAUCCAAUCAAUUUCAAUACCACAAGGGCCGAAAGCGGUUUAUUUGCUCAACACCAAGAAGCUGUCCGAAAAGAUGUCGAGCGUGCUUUUGGAGUCUUGCAAGCUCGCUUUGCCAUUGUUAAAAAUCCAGCAUUUUUUUGGGAUAAAUGCAAAAUUGGGAAGAUAAUUAGAGCAUGUAUCAUACUCCAUAACAUGAUAGUAGAAGACGAACGAGAUGGAUACACUCAAUAUGAUGUUUCAGAGUUCCAACAAGGAAAAGACAUGAUGUGUCGAGUUUUAACCCGAUUAUCUAACUGCAAGUGCACAGUAAAGUACGCAGUAGUAAUGCGGGAUCGAAUCCACAGGGACCGAUGAUCACACGUAGAGUUGCAGACAAGUUAAUAGCUACAGCGAACGAAUAUAUAUUUUUGAUGGUUUUUAUUUAAUUUUCUUUAGUGUCACAAAACAUAAACAAGCUGUAAAAAGAUGAUUUAAACGAUUUGAAAACUAUUUUAAAGCAAACGUUGGGAAUUCUCAGGGAUUUCUUUUUAAUCAAAAUACAAUUAUUGGCAGACACAGGGAUAUAUUAAGAACCGUCUAGAACUCAAACACGAUAUUAGAAUUAACCUACUUCCGUAGCGCUAAUUCUCUAUGUUAUAGAAAUCUCCACACUAACUUCCGCUGAGUUUCAAUUUCUAAACAAGCAUUAAGAACAGGUUCAAUAUGUUCACAAAGCGCAAUAACAUCAACUUCCGAGGGUUAAGGACACUUUGCUCAUCUAAAGCAUUUUCGGAAGUUCAAACAAUCACUUUCGGUGCAUCAAACAAUCUGAAAUCAUGAACUAAGUGAUCAAUUCAGUUCAAGCAGUAAGAAAUCCAUUAGAUGAAGAACCAAAACGUAAUCCCUUAGUCUACACACGUUUUAUGAAUCAAAACAUCAAGAAAUCCCCUAUGAGAACCCCUAAACCCAACUAGAUGACUACUCACACAUAACUAAGCAAGAACAACACGAUUUUGAUGAAGAAAACAUGAUAAGAUUGUAUUAAAACAGAGUAAAGGUUCAGAAGAUCUUCUCCAAAUGGUUUUGAGAUGAACUCCUUUACAAAUCUUCACAAAUCACACAAAACAAGUUACAAAACUCUCAAAUCUCUCUCAAGAACUUGUAAAUCUCCUUCUUGGUCGUCUCUGGUCUUUUCUGAGUCCCAAAAGUCGAGUUCUUUUUUCCAUUAUUGAGGGGAGUGGGUAAAAAGGAGUGAAAAGCUCGUUGGUGCGUGUGGAGCCCGUAGAGCGUGGGAUCGGUCGAUCCACAUGGACCGGAUCGGUCGAUCUAGUGCAUGAAACCGUAGCGACAAGUUCUGGUUUUCUUCUUAGCUCUGGAUCGGUCGAUCCACAGACAAUGGAUCGGUCGAUCUAUGUCCUGUGCGAUCAAUACUUCUCAUUCGGUCCAUUGUUCGGUCCAUCUUGCUUCUGAAUAAAUCCCGAAUGCGUUCUUUUCUUUCAAGCUAUCUAGUAACCUGCAUAUUACACUUAAGAACACCAAAACGCAUCAAAUAGACCAAAACAUUAAUUAAAACCGACCAUUUAAUUGCUCCAAAACGAGUUUAAAACCGUUAAAAACACGGAAUAUCAAGACACCAGAAGUUCACAUGUCGAUCUCACAUUCUCUACUGAUAUCCCUACAAAUAUCGGCAAUAUGAUGGGUGUUCAAACUAGAAUUCGUGAUAAACACAUGCAUGAACAACUCAAAGCUGAUUUGGUUGAACAUGUAUGGCGUAAAUUCGGAUGUGGUCAGGACAACAACUAAGCUCACAUGUUUCUUUCAAAUUAUUCUCGUUUAUUUUACUAAUCUUAGUUUUAAUGUUCUUUUUAAUAAUUAAUGUCUAAAAUGUUUUAUUUUAAUAUGUUAUAUUUAAUAUAUAAAUUUUAUCUUUAAAAAUAUUUUAGUUUAAUAUUUUUUUUUCUUAAGAACCCAAAAAUAAGAACCCCAUUGGAUCUAACAAAUUAAGUGUCUCUUAAGUACAACAUCUUAACUAUUAUUAAUUACUAAAAAAUCAUUAAGAACCCAAAUUAACCUCUUAGGGUUAAUGGUGCUCUAAAAUCAUUUUUUUGAAUUAUUUAAACCAUUAUAAUCAUAGUAAAUGUAUUUAGUUUGUUUAGAGAGCUGUAGCUAACUUCAGCUUCAAAAGAGGCUUCUGUUUCGGAACUACACAUUUACUCUUCAGCUUAUUGGUGGUUGUAACUAAUUUGUUAUCCUUUUUUUUGACAUCAUUUGUUAUCCCUUAUUGGAACUAAAUCGGUAAAUAUGUGUAUAUAUUUGUAAUAAUUGAAACACAUGAUUCAUUCACGAAUAGUUUGAGCUCCCACCAUAUAGAUCCUACUGCAAAAACAUCUCAAGCAAUGCAUUAUACUGCAUUCAUAACAUAGUAAGAUACUCCACCGACGAUAUUCGAGUCUCUCAGACUCUUAAUCUCUUGAUUUUUAAACAGGUACAUACAAACUCUUUUAGAAACUGUUAAAUUGAUUGAGAUCCAGUUAGAUUUAGUUCAAAACAAAAACAAAGUUUAACAAUAUUUGAUGUCCAUUGUUUUUUGGGGAUUCAAAUCUGUAGGCUCUUGGAAAUAUGUAAAUAACUGCUAGCACUUUGACGCAUAAGCUUAGUUUUGUAAACUUAAUCUCGUUCAUAAUGAGAAAUUGCACGGUGAGACAGAGAUUUGUUUUCAUUUGUUAACUUUUACAAACGAGAUUAAGUUUGAUAUUCUAGCAUGCUAAUUGCAGUUAUAUGAAUAUCUUGGAUCACAAGAAAGCAACACUGUUGUGCUACAACAAAAGCACUCUAUUUAUUGAUAGCAAGGUUUCUCACAACAUAACAAACAGCAUGAAAAGUAAACAUAUAUAUAAACUAUACAAAGACAUAAACAUAACAUCCGGGGGAAAACUUACAACAUGAUAAAACUGAUACAAAUAUUAAUAAUUGUGAACCCUUCAAUCGAUCUAAUUUUGUUUACAUAGAGAGAAGAAAAAAAACGCUUUUAUCAUCAAGGGUGAGUGAGACCACCGCAAUCGCUUCCACCGCCAAUUCCUCCCAAGCCACCAACUCCGCCUAGACCGCCUACACCGCCGAGUCCACCUACACCACCACCAAGACCUGAACCACCACCAAUUCCACCUAUUCCACCACCGAGACCUGAACCACCGCCGAGACCACCUACACCUCCUAAACCACCAAUUCCUCCUCCUGCUCCGCCUACAGGCAAAACUCCGGCGACACCACCGACUCCACCGGCUCCGACACCACCAACACCACCAACUCCAGCAGCUCCACCGAUCCCAGCAAACGCAACAAAGUUCUUCUGGUCGUCAAGGCCAGCUCCGACAUUCUUGGCCGGGGACGGUCUUGGGGCCGGUCUUGUGGCAGUGACGGACUGAGCCACAGUGAGAGCAACGAGGAAAACGGCUAAACACUUUAUUGCCAUCUCUUGUUAAUCUUUUUGUUACUUAACUUUAUUGUGUGUUUUGUAAGUAGAGAGUAUGUAGUGAAGAAUGCAUGAUACAUUGGGAGGUUUAUAUAGGAGAAUGAACGGUUAAAACUAGGGCUAUGGAAUGACACAUGGAGAUAAGUUGUAAAUGAAUGUUGGACCAUCUCAUCUCUUAUAUGUUCGAUGCAGAUCCCUCCACGUACGUCUACAGUUACUUUCUACUACUCUAUCUAUACAAUUUGUAAUUAGGGUUAUAAGUUAUAACUUUUAAUCGACAAACGGAGCAAAUUUUUUUUUUUCAAGUGGAGCAGAUAUAUAUGGUACAAAGUUAUUUAGAAAAAGUAACUAAGUUAUAGAAAUUCGUAUUGGUUUUCCUUUGUUUCAAAAUCUAGAGUUAGGUCAUAUAUAUGGGCACUACUAGGAUUUUACCACCAGUAUUUUUCCUAGCUCGCAUUUGUUUAUAUUGAUAUACCAAUGUACUUUUGCAUCAUUAUGUACGCAGAUUAGACUUGACAUUAAAGUGUUUUAAUCAAUCUCAUAUAAACGGCCGUAGUUAUAAGAAACUCUGGAUUAAAAAUGUAGAUAUACUCAAUGAAAUUUACAUGCAUACAAAAAUGUAGAUAUAAAACGAAAAUGUAUAUAAAAAUAGUAGUUUAUAAUGUACUACAUAUAUACAAUACAAGUGAAAUAAAUGUGAGCAUGCAGGGCAUGUGGCUGCACCCAAGCCCAAAGUUAGUAGAGAGCAUGUAAAUGCAUUGACCUUACAGUUGGAAGACAAAAAAUAUUAAUAUGGAAAUUAACAACAACAAAAAAUCCGUAAAUACGCAUUUCUCGAAAAGAUUGAUAAAUUUAGUUAAACUAGUAUAUGAGAAGAAGCAAUAUAUGACUAGUUAAUUGAGUGAAAACGAAAACAAAGAAAUAAACGAAACGAAACGAAACCCUUGGUUUUGUACAUUUAGAGGGUUUGAAACGAAAACGUUAAAGAGUCUCAUGUUUUAAGCACACACAGACUUGAUACGAUCCAUUAUCCAUAUGGUCAAAAUCUUGUUGAAAGAGUGAGAUAUCUAAGUAAUAACUCAUAACUGAACUACAGGUAAUCUACACACCCAAACAAGUGGAAUAUAUAAAUGGCCAGUGGAAAAUAAAUGAUCACGAGAUUUCGGUCAGUAGCAAUAACUCUACAAGCCAACGCAUAAUAUUAACAACGACAGCUUGAAGCCAGUAAAAUAGUUGUUCCUUGGGCCUUACUUAUAUAGUUAACUUACUUCACCUCUAUAAUGUUCUUUUGUCCUCACAUGAUAAGAGCAUGAUUAAUGGAGAGUUUUUACGGUGGAGAUUUUUAGCAGAAUAUAAUAAAUCGUUUCUUAAUUUUUAACUAAAAAAAGCUAAGAACCGGCUCUUAAAUAAGAGAUUUAAGACAAUGAUUAACCAGUCUCUUAAUUGGGGUUCUUAGCUUUUCUUAGAUUUUAAAAUCUAAGAAAAGCUAAGAACCCCAAUUAAGAGACUGGUUAAUCAUUGUCUUAGAUCUCUUAUUUAAGAGCCGGUUCUUAGCUUUUCUUAGAUUUUAAAAUCUAAGAAAAGCUAAGAACCGUCUCUUAAAUAAGAGAUAUAAGAACCGUCUCUUAACCAAAAAAUGUAAAAAAAAAUAAAAAUAAUAAUAAUAAUAUCAAAUCAUGAGUUAAGAACCCCGACUAAGAGACUGAGGUUAAUCAUAUUUUUUAGUUAAAAGUUAGGAAACCGAUUUUUAUAUUCCGCUAAGAAUCUCGUUCUACUAACCCCUAGUAAUCAUGUUCUAAGAGUUUCAUAUACAAUAGUUGCUUUCUUCUCUUGGGAUUAUAUAUCUUAUAUAUAUAAAGUAGACUUGUGCUCUACCCACAGCCUUCUACGUCACCAAAGACCAUAGGGCAAAAACCGCCACAUGGCAUAUAUAGUUAAACGCUAAUUUCACUUGCGUUGUUUUAUUUGAGCUGUACCGUGUUUUCCAACUGAAUAAAACGAUGAGCUUUGUUUUGGUCUUUCUUAGGAAGCCCAUAUAUUCUAGGGUUAGAUGUAUUAUCACUACGUAAGCUAGAGAAUAAGUCGCGUAGCUCUUCAAUUCUCACGAGUCACGACCUCCGCCAUUCAUCUAUGUAACAGCUACCAUUAACGUAAUUCUGAUACUUUAAGCCAUGCAUUAAUGUCUCUUGCACCACUUCUCCCACUCUCUCUCGAAUUAAAUCAGCCAUGGCAUCCUCCAAGUAACCAACUGAAGCUUCACCUAUAAAUGUCUUUGUUGCUUAAGAUGAACAGACACACCUAAACGAAAUCCCGAAGGUCUCUCUCUAUUAAAUGCCUUCUUUCUAACUCACGAUUUCAAACCCAUGAAACAACACUGGAACCAUCGCCGCUCCAGCUUCGUGAUUUGAUGACUGGCCACUGUAGACAUAUUGUUGUUACGCGUGGAGAGAUCUAAAACUUCCAAGUAACUAAGCUUCAGCCCACCUAAAACUUUCCCAGGAAAAUAUAGGGUCUUGGAAGAGAAGUGAAGAAAUUUCAGGCCGAUGCAAGAACCAAGUCUUGAGAAAGUAGAUAUAUGACAUGAAUAGGGUUCUUCGAUAGAUCCAAGCUGGUGAAUAGAAAAAAAAAGUAAUUGAAACCAGAAACGGUGAGGAACAAGAGAGACAAUGUCAUACCAUUAAAUCAGGUACACAUGUUUUUUGUUGGAGACCGAUCUGGUGAGAGAUUCUUGUCAGGAAGAAUUUUUGGAUCUUAUAACUAAUGAAUUUCUCUGUACAAAUACUGAUAUGGUGAUGUGUUUAUUAUGUGUUGCUGAUGUACUUUCUACUGAACCCAUCGUAAUGACAGUAUCGGAUAAGUGUUUUAAUGGAAAGACUGUUUAGGUUAAUACUCGUGUCAAGUAGACAAAGCCUAAAGUCACCAAUACAAAGCCUUUCCGGUCAUAGUAUGAUGUGCAGUAAUAUGCAAUUUUUGAUUGAUUAUUUUCUUUGAUGGAAGAAUAAUAACAUGUUUCUAGGAAAAAAAACCUCAAAAAGACGCAAACGUGGAGAAGAAACCACAACUUUCUCUUGUCAAAGAAGAAGAAUAUGAAAACAUCAUUGGCUUCCAUGGUGAAAACUUGGGUCCUAAACAUCAGUAAGCUCGAGUAAGUUCUUAAACCGAAACAUAACCAUGAUCGUUAAUCAAGUUCAUUUUUUUAUUUUCUUUUUGUGACAUACUAAUUUCAACUGCAGCUGGAGAAGAACACAACUUCCAGGUCAAAAGAUUUUAGAGGAACAUCCACAACACUUUGAUAGACAGGAUGCAUAUGAAUAUAUGGUGAAUUGCAAGAGGUAGAUAACUGUUUUUUCUGGAAAAAAAAGUUCUCUCUCCAACGUGAGAGGACCAUUUUUCACAUGUCAAUAACAGUUACAUCAGCAUGUAAUCUGAAAAUUUUGUGUAUUUCCUCAAGGUUGCAUCAGGUACAAAGAAGCAAGUGGCAAGCAAAAAAGUUAUAACAAUGGAGGACACCUCAAAGAUGAAUGGUGAAUCUCAGGAAGCUACACAGCCUACACUAAUCAACAAACCUUUAGUUUGUGUUGUUUCUUCAGGGGAGAAAAGACCUUUAACUGUCCCAAAGGGACCAAACUUCAUGUACCUAAGAGCUGUUGUACAAAUAGAGUGGCAUUACUUGUCUAAAAUCUCUGGUUUACUCCACACGGGAGUUUUGUAAUUUGGUUUGAUCUUUGAGAAGUAACAGAAGUGAGUUUUUUUUAGUGUGUAUAAAAAACACAUGCUCAUCGUUAGUAUUAGUGAGCUCAGAGGAGAACUUGUAGUGUUGAAAGCUAAGGAAAACUUGAGAGAUUCUAAGUCUGACACUACAAGAAAACAUAAGCUUAACGAGGGUGGUUUUCGUCGUGAGUUUGUCGUAAAAUAGGCUUUACGAGGAAUUAGCGAGGAAACACGUUUUCUCGUUACUCAUCCGUCGUAACACAUAUUUCCUCGCCAAUUCAUCGUAACUUAGCGAGGAAAAUAUUUCGUCGUAAAGACGAAUUACAUCAUUUCGUCGUAAAGACCACGUAAAUAUUCCACGUAAGGAGGUCGCUAUAUUUCCUCGUAAAUCCCUCGAAACGUGUUCCUCGUAAACUACACGUAAAUACCUCGAAAGUGUUUCCUCGCAAAAUACACGUAACUACCACGAAAGUAUUUCCUCGUAAAAUACUCAUUUAUCUUUCCUCGUUAUUUUCUCGUAAAUGUUUCUUCGUAAAAUACUCGUUUAUUUUUUCUCGUCAUUUCCUCACAAAGUUUCCACGUAAAUAGGUCGUACAUUAGCUACGAAUUUACUUCAUUUUUAUUAUUCUCCAGAAUUUAAAAAUAUAAUUAAAAAAAAAAUUAUUUAAUUUAUUAAUAAUAUUAUAAUUUAAAAUAAAAAUCAAAUCAAUACAAAAAUAUUUUAUAUAUAAAUACGUUUUGAAUUUAUAAUACAACAACCGGAAAAAAAGAACUUAGGGUCGUUCAUUGCCUGGUAGAAUUCAUCACUCCUCCUCGCAACUCGGCGGGCAUCAGAGGUGCCAUCGGAGGAGGCACAGGAGGAGGCAUCGUCGGAUGAGCCAUCGUGGAAGGCACAUGAGGAGUCAAUGGUGCACUAGAAGAAGUAGACCCAGAGACUCUCUGAGUGUACUGAGUCUCGGGGACAGUCUUACGCAGCUCAGUGACUUCAUCAUCCCGUCGCUGACCAUAAGACGAUGUCGCUCUCAAAACAUCGUUGACGGAACCAAUCCCCAACGUCUGUCCCUUUUAUUUAGGGACAACCUUAAAAACAAAAAAUAAAUGUUGUUAGUAAAAAUUUAAAGUUAAAUUAAAUGAAUAAUAAAAAAUUAAACUUUUAGAAAAUAUACCUCCUCGUAAAUCUUAUCCACUUCAAGUGUGGAUAAGGUGACGGGUAAUCCGUCGGUAGACUGCUGGGUCAGCUGAGUCUGGCGGUCUUCAACCCGAGCAACUACGUCGUUGUAGAUUUGCUCGGACUUGCCAUCUACAAAUACGCCCGCCUUGUUCUUGUGGGUCCUCUCGUAAAGUUCCAUAAGAGAAGGGAGAUGUCCCGUCUCUUUGGCCUAAAAAACAGUUAAGAAAGUUAGAAUAAAUUAAUAUAUAUAUUAAAAAAAUUAUUUAAUAAAAUAUUUAAUUACCAUUUCCAAACGGACACCGGCGUGGGGUUUUUGGCCCGUAGUGUGAAGCAUCGGCCCGUUCCCGUGCUCAUCGACCGUGUUACGGGAGUUAGAGCAAGCCUGGGCGAUUCUAAUGGAAUCAGGAAGGCGCCAAUAACGGAUGAGGCCAUCCCACACAUCCGUGGUGAGCUCAGCGGGUUUGCCACGCUCAUACCCCUUCACGAUCCAGUCACCCUUCCAGUUGGAGACCGUGUCCAACAAGCGAACUUUCGCUUUCGCGUUAAACUUCUUCCUCACCCUCUCAGUGAUCCCCAAAGCCCAAUUAUAUUUUUGCUGUUGGAAAAAAUAAAUUAACAAUUAUUUUUUUAGAAAGUAUAUAUAUAAAUCAUGAAAAAAUUAAAGUAUAUAUAAUUAAUUAAUAGAAACUUACAGCGUAAAUUUUGAACCACGUCUUUCUGACGUAGUGAGGCGUCUUACUCCAGUUCGGAUGUGCCAUGGAGAAGUAACCUUUGAUCGUGUCGGUUACGUCCGAUGCAAGACAUCCGUCAACCCCCCACCUGGAAAAUACAAAUUUAAAAUAUAAAUUAUUUUUUAAUGUUAUAAAAGAAUUUUAAACAAAUUAAAAAAAAAUUAAUGCAACAUACCACAAAGUUCCGUCGGUCGGUCGGGGUCGAUGACGGGUAAACCUUCUCUGCCUGGCAGACGGAGAAUGUCCUCUACAUUGUACUGCGAGUAAAGAGCACCUGGAGGCACCAUCAAAUCGGGAUGAAUAUCGGCGGGCAUCAGAGGUGCCAUCGGAGGAGGCACAGGAGGAGGCAUCGUCGGAUGAGCCAUCGUGGAAGGCACAUGAGGAGUCAAUGGUGCACUAGAAGAAGUAGACCCAGAGACUCUCUGAGUGUACUGAGUCUCGGGGACAGUCUCCUAACCCGAAGAACCGGGAGCUAAAGAAGACUGGUCUAAACGACUACCCGGCUCACCAAACAUCUCUCUGUAAUGAGCAGUAAGUCUGCCUUUUCGAACCUGGGAAAAAAAAUUAAUUUUUAAAUUUAACAUCAACAUUAUAUUUCCUAACAUUAUCCACCUAAUCAAUACUAAAUAACAUAAAAUUCGUAAACCUAUCUAAAUUCCCUAUACUAACCACCUAAUAUAUCCUAAACUAACCAAAUUAGAGAGGAAUUAGAGAGGCUUACUAUUGCCACGAAAUGGAGAGGAAGCGGAGAGGAAGUGGAGAGGAAGUAGAGAGGAAAGAAAGAGUGAGCGCUCGGGGUAUAUAUAAGAUUACAUAUCGUCGCAAUUUCCUCGUAAGGUUACGACAAAAUAGCGAGCAAUUACAAAGGCCCGCGUUUUAUUCUACGAGGAAAUAGCGAGGAAUUACAAAGGCCCGCGUUUUUAUGUACGAGGUAUUAACGAGCCGCGCUUUCCUAUAAAUAUACCCACAACUCUCUUUCUCAAACCACACACAAACUCCCAAAUCACACUCCUCAGCAAAAUCCUAUUCAAAUUAUAAAUAUUUGAAAAAAAAGGAAGAGAAGAAGAUAUUAGAAUUCAUGUGGGCGAGACUUACGUAUUAUAAUUGCUGGAAGUCUUGCCACAUGUGAAUCUGGUAAUUUUCUUCUUUUUCUUUUAUUUCUAGUUUUUACACUACGAGGUAUUUACGACGAUUUCGUCCUACGUGGAAUUAACGAGGCCCGUGUUCUUUAUUUAUUUUACGAGGUGUUUACGACGAUUUCGUCGUACGUGGAUUUAACGGGGGUCGCUUUCUUAAAAAAAUUUUUCAUCGUUAUUUCCUCGUCUUCUUACGAGUCCUUUACGACGAUUCUCUCUUACGUGGAAUUAACGAGGCCUGAGUCGUAAGUUCGACGUCGCUUUACGAGGAAUUAACGAGUGUUAUGUUUAAAUCCCUAAAAUCCGAAACCCCAAACCCCAUAUUCUUUAUUUUCUACUUCAUAUAUUCCAAACCCCAUCUUUAUUUCCAUUCCAAACCACAAUUCUCACAUUUGCUUAUUCAUAAAACAAACUCUCACAUUACCGUAUUCAUAAAACACCCUACACAAAAUCAAAUACAUCAAUCGGAUACAUCGACAUUCUCGUCAUCACUAGAAACAUCAUCAUUUUCAUUAACUCGUCUUCAACAGCUUCGUCUGUGGCAUCAUCGGUAAGAUCUUCAUACUCGUGAUUAUGCGGAUCAAUGAGAAAGAUGUCAUCAAUUUCUUGUUCAGGUUCCUCGACUUCAUUUAUCUGUUCUUCUUGCAAUGGUGGUUCUUCUCCACUGAUGAUUCAUCCUUGAGGUGUAACUUUGAUCACUGCUAACCAAUUUAUACCUGAAUCUCUCAUCCGAGGGUAUGGAAGGAAGCUAACUUGGUCUGCUUGUGAAGCUAAGAUGAAAGGCUCGAAUUUGUUGUACCUUCGUCCACCGUUGACAUCAACUACACCGAAUUUGUUAGACCGAACACCUCUGUUGACGACGGGGUCGAACCAUUCACAUUUGAAGAGGACGCAUUUCAGCUUCAGUAUCCCUGGAAAUUCGACUUCAAUAAUCUCCGUCAAGAUCCCGUAGAAAUCUGUUUCCCCUUUCACACAUAUUCCAUAGUUACUGGUCGCCCGCUGUCUACCAUACUCAUAUGUAUGAAAAGUAUAGCCUCGUGUGAAAUACAUCUGUGAUGUGGUGACCUUUACAAGUGGAGAUUGAAUUAUUUCGUGUAACCACUUAGGAUAAUUUGCAUCGUUAUCGUAAUCAACCUGCAAAAAUAAAGAGAACAUUAAAAUACAAAUCAUGUAUGAAAAAAUAGUUUGAGUUAAUACUUGAUUCAACAAUCACUUAAUGAAGUGUUGAUCUUUCCUUUUGUCUACGUCACUUGUGGAUAUACCAGGAAAUGUUUCUUCGACUUGAGAAACAAAUAGGCUGUAAAAUCACAUUUUAUAGGAAUGAAUCUCUCGCAAUUAUACAAUUAAUUAUACUUAUAUGUGUUUCGAAGUGUCAAUAUAUGUUACCUUUCAAAAUAACGCAUCAAUGGAUCCUCGCAAUUGAGUAGAAUAUAGGUGUGUGCACUAUGAGCGUCUUNNNNNNNNNNNNNNNNNNNNNNNNNNNNNNNNNNNNNNNNNNNNNNNNNNNNNNNNNNNNNNNNNNNNNNNNNNNNNNNNNNNNNNNNNNNNNNNNNNNNNNNNNNNNNNNNNNNNNNNNNNNNNNNNNNNNNNNNNNNNNNNNNNNNNNNNNNNNNNNNNNNNNNNNNNNNNNNNNNNNNNNNNNNNNNNNNNNNNNNNNNNNNNNNNNNNNNNNNNNNNNNNNNNNNNNNNNNNNNNNNNNNNNNNNNNNNNNNNNNNNNNNNNNNNNNNNNNNNNNNNNNNNNNNNNNNNNNNNNNNNNNNNNNNNNNNNNNNNNNNNNNNNNNNNNNNNNNNNNNNNNNNNNNNNNNNNNNNNNNNNNNNNNNNNNNNNNNNNNNNNNNNNNNNNNNNNNNNNNNNNNNNNNNNNNNNNNNNNNNNNNNNNNNNNNNNNNNNNNNNNNNNNNNNNNNNNNNNNNNNNNNNNNNNNNNNNNNNNNNNNNNNNNNNNNNNNNNNNNNNNNNNNNNNNNNNNNNNNNNNNNNNNNNNNNNNNNNNNNNNNNNNNNNNNNNNNNNNNNNNNNNNNNNNNNNNNNNNNNNNNNNNNNNNNNNNNNNNNNNNNNNNNNNNNNNNNNNNNNNNNNNNNNNNNNNNNNNNNNNNNNNNNNNNNNNNNNNNNNNNNNNNNNNNNNNNNNNNNNNNNNNNNNNNNNNNNNNNNNNNNNNNNNNNNNNNNNNNNNNNNNNNNNNNNNNNNNNNNNNNNNNNNNNNNNNNNNNNNNNNNNNNNNNNNNNNNNNNNNNNNNNNNNNNNNNNNNNNNNNNNNNNNNNNNNNNNNNNNNNNNNNNNNNNNNNNNNNNNNNNNNNNNNNNNNNNNNNNNNNNNNNNNNNNNNNNNNNNNNNNNNNNNNNNNNNNNNNNNNNNNNNNNNNNNNNNNNNNNNNNNNNNNNNNNNNNNNNNNNNNNNNNNNNNNNNNNNNNNNNNNNNNNNNNNNNNNNNNNNNNNNNNNNNNNNNNNNNNNNNNNNNNNNNNNNNNNNNNNNNNNNNNNNNNNNNNNNNNNNNNNNNNNNNNNNNNNNNNNNNNNNNNNNNNNNNNNNNNNNNNNNNNNNNNNNNNNNNNNNNNNNNNNNNNNNNNNNNNNNNNNNNNNNNNNNNNNNNNNNNNNNNNNNNNNNNNNNNNNNNNNNNNNNNNNNNNNNNNNNNNNNNNNNNNNNNNNNNNNNNNNNNNNNNNNNNNNNNNNNNNNNNNNNNNNNNNNNNNNNNNNNNNNNNNNNNNNNNNNNNNNNNNNNNNNNNNNNNNNNNNNNNNNNNNNNNNNNNNNNNNNNNNNNNNNNNNNNNNNNNNNNNNNNNNNNNNNNNNNNNNNNNNNNNNNNNNNNNNNNNNNNNNNNNNNNNNNNNNNNNNNNNNNNNNNNNNNNNNNNNNNNNNNNNNNNNNNNNNNNNNNNNNNNNNNNNNNNNNNNNNNNNNNNNNNNNNNNNNNNNNNNNNNNNNNNNNNNNNNNNNNNNNNNNNNNNNNNNNNNNNNNNNNNNNNNNNNNNNNNNNNNNNNNNNNNNNNNNNNNNNNNNNNNNNNNNNNNNNNNNNNNNNNNNNNNNNNNNNNNNNNNNNNNNNNNNNNNNNNNNNNNNNNNNNNNNNNNNNNNNNNNNNNNNNNNNNNNNNNNNNNNNNNNNNNNNNNNNNNNNNNNNNNNNNNNNNNNNNNNNNNNNNNNNNNNNNNNNNNNNNNNNNNNNNNNNNNNNNNNNNNNNNNNNNNNNNNNNNNNNNNNNNNNNNNNNNNNNNNNNNNNNNNNNNNNNNNNNNNNNNNNNNNNNNNNNNNNNNNNNNNNNNNNNNNNNNNNNNNNNNNNNNNNNNNNNNNNNNNNNNNNNNNNNNNNNNNNNNNNNNNNNNNNNNNNNNNNNNNNNNNNNNNNNNNNNNNNNNNNNNNNNNNNNNNNNNNNNNNNNNNNNNNNNNNNNNNNNNNNNNNNNNNNNNNNNNNNNNNNNNNNNNNNNNNNNNNNNNNNNNNNNNNNNNNNNNNNNNNNNNNNNNNNNNNNNNNNNNNNNNNNNNNNNNNNNNNNNNNNNNNNNNNNNNNNNNNNNNNNNNNNNNNNNNNNNNNNNNNNNNNNNNNNNNNNNNNNNNNNNNNNNNNNNNNNNNNNNNNNNNNNNNNNNNNNNNNNNNNNNNNNNNNNNNNNNNNNNNNNNNNNNNNNNNNNNNNNNNNNNNNNNNNNNNNNNNNNNNNNNNNNNNNNNNNNNNNNNNNNNNNNNNNNNNNNNNNNNNNNNNNNNNNNNNNNNNNNNNNNNNNNNNNNNNNNNNNNNNNNNNNNNNNNNNNNNNNNNNNNNNNNNNNNNNNNNNNNNNNNNNNNNNNNNNNNNNNNNNNNNNNNNNNNNNNNNNNNNNNNNNNNNNNNNNNNNNNNNNNNNNNNNNNNNNNNNNNNNNNNNNNNNNNNNNNNNNNNNNNNNNNNNNNNNNNNNNNNNNNNNNNNNNNNNNNNNNNNNNNNNNNNNNNNNNNNNNNNNNNNNNNNNNNNNNNNNNNNNNNNNNNNNNNNNNNNNNNNNNNNNNNNNNNNNNNNNNNNNNNNNNNNNNNNNNNNNNNNNNNNNNNNNNNNNNNNNNNNNNNNNNNNNNNNNNNNNNNNNNNNNNNNNNNNNNNNNNNNNNNNNNNNNNNNNNNNNNNNNNNNNNNNNNNNNNNNNNNNNNNNNNNNNNNNNNNNNNNNNNNNNNNNNNNNNNNNNNNNNNNNNNNNNNNNNNNNNNNNNNNNNNNNNNNNNNNNNNNNNNNNNNNNNNNNNNNNNNNNNNNNNNNNNNNNNNNNNNNNNNNNNNNNNNNNNNNNNNNNNNNNNNNNNNNNNNNNNNNNNNNNNNNNNNNNNNNNNNNNNNNNNNNNNNNNNNNNNNNNNNNNNNNNNNNNNNNNNNNNNNNNNNNNNNNNNNNNNNNNNNNNNNNNNNNNNNNNNNNNNNNNNNNNNNNNNNNNNNNNNNNNNNNNNNNNNNNNNNNNNNNNNNNNNNNNNNNNNNNNNNNNNNNNNNNNNNNNNNNNNNNNNNNNNNNNNNNNNNNNNNNNNNNNNNNNNNNNNNNNNNNNNNNNNNNNNNNNNNNNNNNNNNNNNNNNNNNNNNNNNNNNNNNNNNNNNNNNNNNNNNNNNNNNNNNNNNNNNNNNNNNNNNNNNNNNNNNNNNNNNNNNNNNNNNNNNNNNNNNNNNNNNNNNNNNNNNNNNNNNNNNNNNNNNNNNNNNNNNNNNNNNNNNNNNNNNNNNNNNNNNNNNNNNNNNNNNNNNNNNNNNNNNNNNNNNNNNNNNNNNNNNNNNNNNNNNNNNNNNNNNNNNNNNNNNNNNNNNNNNNNNNNNNNNNNNNNNNNNNNNNNNNNNNNNNNNNNNNNNNNNNNNNNNNNNNNNNNNNNNNNNNNNNNNNNNNNNNNNNNNNNNNNNNNNNNNNNNNNNNNNNNNNNNNNNNNNNNNNNNNNNNNNNNNNNNNNNNNNNNNNNNNNNNNNNNNNNNNNNNNNNNNNNNNNNNNNNNNNGAAUUUGUUAGACCGAACACCUCUGUUGACGACGGGGUCGAACCAUUCACAUUUGAAGAGGACGCAUUUCAGCUUCAGUAUCCCUGGAAAUUCGACUUCAAUAAUCUCCGUCAAGAUCCCGUAGAAAUCUGUUUUUCCUUUCACACAUAUUCCAUAGUUACUGGUCGCCCGCUGUCUACCAUACUCAUAUGUGUGAAAAGUAUAGCCUCGUGUGAAAUACAUAUGUGAUGUGGUGACCUUUACUAGUGGAGAUUGAAUUACUUCGUGCAACCACUUAGAAUAAUUUGCAUCGUCGUCAUAAUCAACCUGCAAAAAUAAAGAGAAUGUUGAAAUACAGAUCAUGUAUGAAAAAAGAGUUUGAGUUAAUACCUGAUUCAGCAACCACUUAAUGAAUUGUUGAUCUUUCCUUUUGUCUACGUGAUGUGUUGUGAUUUUGCAUAGUUUUAGCUUUGUUAUUUCAUAUAUAUUCAUGCAUUAACCUUACAUUUAUUUGCAUUUAGAGUCUAUUGCAUGUACAUUUGCAUCUUGUAGGUGUUGGAUGAAUUGUUUGGAGUUUUGGAGGUGAUUAGAGCACAAAAGGAGCUUUCGAGGAGUCUUGAACCGAACGUGUGAAAGACAAGCAUGGAUNNNNNNNNNNNNNNNNNNNNNNNNNNNNNNNNNNNNNNNNNNNNNNNNNNNNNNNNNNNNNNNNNNNNNNNNNNNNNNNNNNNNNNNNNNNNNNNNNNNNCAAAUAAACCAUGAUAUUCUCGAUAAUAUUAAAUGAAAGGUGUUUUAAAAAAAAUGUUGUAGACCUGUGCUUGUCGAACUUUUCUUGAAAUUUCCUCGAAAUUUAAGUGUUCUCUGCUGACGAGAUUCCAUGCGAAGAAAAGAUUAGGGUUUAUUAUGUUUGAGAAUAUCGCCUUAUCAGAUUAGUCCCGGUUUUGGUCAAAUACUGUAUUGGUUUGUUUGGUUUUGUUGUAUUGUAUAUCUUAAGAUGAGAAGGGCUUGUAUCCCAGUGAUCCCCCUUCUCACAGACGACUGCUGUCAGAGGUCGCAGAUUCGAUUCUCUGUCGGCGCUGUGGUACUAUGACUUUCCAAAAAAAUCCUAAAAGAUUUUCCUCGAUUUGGGGAACCGCUUGCGGUGGGGUCUAGUCACUAUAAUGAGUUAGGUUCUCUCUCUCUCUCUCUCUCUCUCCCUCUCUCUCUCUCUCUUGUAAACCCUAGUUUGAUUGGCGCCGCUCAGCCGGUGGCGGCUUCCGGCGAGUCCGUCGCGGUUGUCACCGGCUGUCUUCCCUUUCCUCUACUCUGUCUCUAUCUCGCCUCCUUCCACAGCUCUUUUGUCUCGCUGAUAUACCUACUGUUGUGGUCUUCCUCUCUUCGCCGGCGUCGCUGCCCAGUGGUCAGGGAUCUGGAGCGGUGGUGAGGUGUGUAUAUAAGGGUGGGGCUUGGUGGUUUUUCCAAGGGUUAACUUUGAGGCAUAGCUCAGAUCUGGCCAGAUCUACUUUCAAUGGAGGACGAUUGUGCUUCGGUGGUGGUGCUCCGGUCAUCGCCGAUCCCUCCGGCGUCAGUUGCUGGUGUCGAAGACUGGUUCCCUCGUUCUCGGUUGGAGGGCUCUCGUCUCUGAGAUCUCUACUUUUGAUUCAUCACGGUUUCUCACCACCAAUGAGAAACAAAUACAUCAAGAGUCGAUUUUGCAUCUCAACGAGCUCCCUGGCAGUGGUGGUUACUCUCUGCUAGUGGUUUCUCCUUGUAGGUGGGUGCAGGGCUCCUUGUGGCUAGGAGAUGUCGCUGUCAGGCUCAUGAGGUGGGCUGAGUUCUUCUUCUCGUCUUAACCAGAGGUGGCGGUCUGGUGAGCUGGUUAGAUUGAGCUUAUAUGCUCGAUUUUUGGCCAGUCUCUGGUUCUCAGAGUUAGUCACUCGUGCGGGUCAAUGUGGUCUUAGGUUGUUGUAGUCUACCUUCGUCCUCAUUCCCGGUGACAGCGAGUGUAGCUAGCAUCUCUGAAGUAAGGGUUUAGUGCUUCGGUUCUUGCCCUGUGGUGUUAGCUCCUUUUAUCGUGCAGCGUCUGGUGGAUGUGGCGGGUUAUCAACUAUUAGUCUCUUAAGUGGGCUUGAUGUUGAGGUGUUGGUGGUUCCAGUGAGGGGCUUACAGGUUGUUGGAGUAUCAUGGUGCCUUUGAAAAUCAGGAGGGAGGAGCAGAGGUGGCUGUUUGCGGUGAUUGAUGUUUGGGGCUUCGACAGGCUCUAGUUCGUUGGUUUCGCCACUUUGGUGCGGCCCCAUUGUCGUCUGCUGCAAGCUCCGAGUUCUCGCUGGUGUCUUUGCUCUUUGCGGGUGGUAGGGCUUUGUUGUGAGGUCAUUUUAUGGAGGCGAGUGCCUGGGCAAGCCAAUAUUACCGGCUCGUGACUCAUGUUUUAACUGGUGCCGUACUAUGGAGUUUCUGAUCUUGCGUUUUGCAUGCUCUUGGCGACUCUCUCAAGUUCUCUCGAGUGCUCUCUCCUCUGCCUUUUGGUAUCGGUUCUCAAUCGUGUUUUUCAUUACUGUAUUUUGUUGUUGUGUUAGUAGUUUCAGUUUGGUGUUUGUAUUUUCUGCUACUAGUAUCUCUUUGUACCGUCUGUCACAAACUCAAAAAAUUGGUAAUGCAAUCUUAACAUGUUUACCAAAAAAAUAAAAUAAUAAGUGGCGAAAGAAAAGAUGAAAAAACAUUUUUAAAAAUAAAAGAAAAAAAAUAAAAAUCAAAUACUUUACGUCUCUUGAUUAUUAAGGGUGAGAAUGGAAUUGAUACAUAUUAUACGCACUAUAUUCUAGCUAUUAGUUAAUUAUGGUUAGUUUCUUAAUUUUUUCUAUGGUAUGGUUAUGUACUCCAUUUCUCAUAUUUUAAUGAUAUGGUUUAGAGAAAAAAUCACAUUUUACUUUAUAUAUAAUACAUAGAGAUGAAAAACAGGUUUUGUCCUCCCGUUUCGUACCGCUACGGGUUUGCCUUCAGGAAGGUUAGGUCCGCACGAGUAGCAGUCUCAUGAAUGGCUGCCCAAACCAGCCCGACAAUAUAUGUAAGCAUUUGCGGAUUGGUCCGCAUGACAUGUGCUUACAUACAUGCAUAAGGCUUAUGGACGCUUCAGGAUGAUUCAUGUCGCGUCAGCUGCUUCAGGACGCUUGAUGAUGCUUCAGUACAUGAGUCGAGGAUUGAACUGGAUCAGCCGAUCAGGCAAGACGAGUUUUUUUGAAGAUUUUUGCUGGAUCAAGACACUUGUUUAGUUAUUUUUGUCACACUCCAGAACACAUCCACAUAACAUCAAACCAAGCUAAACACAAACAUAACAAGCAAUACAAUAUAAUGAACGAAAUGAACAAACAAGUCAAUCAAUUAUUUCGAAAUUAUUUCGAAAUGAACAAAUGGGCAUUAUUUCGAAAACAAACCAUAAGAAUCUUUCCUUACAUGUGACACAUGUGACAUGCAUGGAGCGAAAGAGAGUUUGGAACCACCGUCGAUACCCAUCAUCUAAACUGGAUCUUCUUUUUCAGUGGAAAGUGAGUUCGCAAAUAUUUUCUGGUGGUUCGAAGAAGCUCCACUGGUACAGAUGGAAGACGCAUAGGAGACUAGAAUCAUCAUCGACCCUCAAACCGCUAUCACCAGAGCUCCCAUAGGUUGUGGAUGAAAAUUUAACGCCCAAUCUCCUUUGUUCUCUCUCUAGUUUUUUCAGGUGAAAACAAAAAUGAAGAUUAAGGUUUUGCGGAUCUUUAGAAUCCCACAAAUCAACUUGCGGGCCCAUUCCCGCACAGUACCAUCCCACAAGGUCCGCAAAUUUUUGGACCUACUAAAUGUAGGCCCAAACCGCCCUGCAACAAGUCAUUAUGGGUCAGGCACGUGGUCCAGUUCCAACAUUGCCAUAGUACACGAAGGUGUUUUGGCAAACCAAUACUUUUUUCAGCAAACCGCAGAUCCAUCUUAGAAAAAAUAAAAUUUUGAAGAAAUAAAAAUCGAAAAAGCCAAUAAAAUAUGACCAACAAAGAUAUUAUCAAAUGCCAUUACAAGAGACGCACAAAUCCAAACCCGGAAGAGCGACAACAAAGAUAUUUGGUUCUAAAGUAUCAUCAAAUCGAUCGCGUUAUUACAAUCAAUCACAAUGAAAAGGGGAAUGGCAUUCUUUUAGCGAAAGAAGAACUUAAGAAACAUAAAUUUAGAGAUCAGACUCGAUGAGGUAAUCCCCGAGCCUUUCCACAACCAAAUUGCAUUGACCUCCAGUCAUUGGCUCCUCGUAGAUGCCAAUGACCAAGGCUUGAGUCGUCUUCUUGAUAGUAACGCCUCCAGGUCCCUACAGAUUGUAAUAUGAAUCCUGAUCACAUUCUCUAACAUAAGAUCAUCAUCCAAGGGCUAAUGGAUAAGAAUCAUAGACAUAUAUGUUACCUUCUUCCCUCGGAUCACAGCUCCUGGUUCACCUUGAAUAACCAUGUACUUAGCUCCACCGAGAAAUAAACCGGUCGGGGCAAGAAACCCAGGCUCCUCAAAAUCCUUGGUGAUUCCAUUGAUUUCUUCGGUCUUCAACUGAAAAAAAAAAAACAUAUCAAGAACACAAGACGAUACAGUCAUUAGAUUGAAGUCACUUUAGAUCAUUGAUGCACAAAUCAAUAGAAACAUAUAUAUUAUAAUCGCUCGCGCAUGCAUGCGUAUGAGUUCACAAACGCACAUGGAUCUUGUAUGGAAGCUACGAUUAACUACUGAUACCGAUGAAAUCUCAUAAUCGGACUUAAGAUCUAGAACCCUCCUAGGUUCAACUCGAUUGAUUCGGAAACACAGAUCGCAAUUUUUCAUUGGUGAGAUCGAAAUCAGAUCCGAGAUUACUCAGAUCCGAUCACGGAAAAUCGCAAGAACAAACGAUCGAUUUCGACAUUUGAACGAUGGAGCACAGAAGAAAGAGAAGAGAAGAAACCUGAGGGAAAUUGGCGCUCUGAGCCCAGACACUGCCGUCUUGACCGAGAAUAGCGGCGGCGGUUAGGUGGUUGCCUUCCACAUCGCACAUAAGAUGGUCAUCAACGUACGAUUGCCACGACAUAUUCUUCUUCUUCUUCUUCUCCGACGAGUUAUUUGCUUCUCUGAAAGACUUCUCUGAGUUGAGACUUCUGAGAUUUUUGAUCGUAGACAAGGAAAAUGUUGUGCUUUAAAUUGAUAUUUUCUCGUAGUUAACUAAAGUUUUUGGGCUGUCAAGCAAAUUAAUCAUAGUUUUUUUUAUAAAAAAAUAGUACAGAGAUAUCCCAUAAUUAUUAUUCUUGUAAAUUAUUAGAAAAUUGGUAGGGAAGUGGAAGAUACACAUCAGAUACAGGAAUAAAUUUUAUCACAACAUGGUAUAUGUUAAUAAGUUGAGAAUCUCUAUAAAUUAUUCAAGGUACUAAAAAUAAAUAUAUAAAUAAAAAGCAAAAUAAAAUCAUACAACGUGAAUGAAAAAUGGAGAAUAGAAUCAUUUAACAAAGAUAGCUAUACUUAGAGUCUUAGACAACUAUAGUACAGUUAUAUAUAUUAAGAAAUGGUUAUUUAAAAUUAAUAAUAUAUUUUUAAAAUAAUAUAUACCAAAUAAUAUCAUAUAUAUAUAUAUAUUCAACUAUUAAAAAGAAUUAAUAAACAAAAUUCACAUCACUUUUCGCAAUAAUUUAAUGAUGAAUUUUACAAACAUAUAGAACACAAAUACUAACCAGUUAAAUAAAAGAUUUUCAAUCUAAUAAAUAUUUGUUUUUGCCUUGUUUUCGUUUAUAUUACCUUAACAAAAUAUGGCAUAGAGUUUAUUUGUGAAAUAACUAAAAAAAAAGAAAAUUUAGUUUAGUAGAAAGAGAGCAGAGAGAAAUAAAAAGAAAAAAGAGGAGAGAGGAUGUGAUUUUAGUUAGUCAAUGAAUUAUUUUAUUUUUUAUAAUUAUUUCACCAAUUUUCCUACCGUAUUUACAAUGAUCAAAAACAACAUAUUAAUAUGAUUAAAUUAUGCAUAUUUUUAAUAAAAAUCUAUAAAUCUACAUUAUAAUAGAGCAGUUGCAUCACUCCUGAUGAGACACAUCAGCGAUUUGUGGGUCCCACUUUUAAAAAGUGUCAAGUCUGUGACUCGAACCCGGGUUAUUGAGAUCUAAACAACAACAUUUAUACCACUGAGCUAAAAGAUUCUUUGUACAUUGAUGACUGAAACAAAUAUAUAUUUAUGAAGGUCGGAAACCUUUGCUUCUUCGGUUUUCUCUGUGGGACCCACACUUAUUUAUUUUAUCUAAUGAUUUAAUAAAUACUUUAUAACUCACGUUUUGAAAUGAGAUUCGUUAAAAAAAAGUCCAAUAAACUUCUUUGGUCUGUAAGCGUUCUCUUCAAUGGAAAUUUAGGGCUUUCAAUUUUUAAUCAUCGGUUCAUGACUCAUCAAAGAAACACAGAUUGGCUCUUUGAGUUUCAUGAAUCAGUUUUUCUUCUUUAGUCUCUACAUCUCCCCAUCUUUAAUAAAUUCAUCAUCGGUUCUUUUAUUUUGCCUGAUAAAUCAUGAUUGUGUGGUUUUAAUUUUCUUUGGUCAUCCUUAGUUUGCACCCUUUGAUCUAACCAAGAAGAAGAAGAAGACAUUUGUCGUUUAGGAUGCUAUCGAGGACUCAGCUGAGUCACACGGGAGACAUACUAUCCGUUGCCUGAUUAUUCAAGAAGAGUUUAUGUGUGGUGAAACAUAUUUGUUUCUUUUCAUCAGUUGCUUUGUUUAAUCUUUUUUCCUGCAAAUAAUGAUGGCUUUGACAGUUCAUUCACGGGAGCCAAUAAGUAAAAGAAGAGGAAGCCAGUGAAUGUUUGACAUUUUCUGUCUUCCUGAGUUUUUUUUUUUCCAUUCAUUAAACUUGGAUUUUGAAGAUUAUGUGCCUCACAUUCUUUUUAUUUUGAUGGUUGUUAGGUUGAAUGAAGAUCAUUGAAUAAAGAAAAUGUCGAUGCUCCUGAAGAUUUGGAGGGUACUUUAUAUUUCUUUCUCUGAUAAUUCUAGCGACAUAAAUUUGAACCUUACAGAGGGUAUAUUGCAGAGCAUCCUAAUGACGAGGAAGAGGUGGAGGGAAUUGAUCUGCACCAGCAACGUUACCCGUGGGAGGGAAGUGACAUGGAUUACUUAUACGACGAGGUAAGCAUAUCAUUAGAUGGUUUGCGGUCCAUCUUUGAGAGCCGUCGAUUGUAAGUGUCUAUCGUUUUGAAGUUGUACGACACUAAGAUGUAAAGAAUUACUAAUCACGAUUACCUUACUAGCAGAGUUCUUUUGCACAGCUAUUGUCAAUGGAAUUAACACUGGAAAUUGAUGGUGCUAUAUUUCAUGUUCCAAAUGCUAACGCAAGCUCCAAUGUUGAUUCUCAGCUUUAACAUGCCAAAAUCACAAUGCAGUGGGUGUUGUAAGGUAAUUCAGUAGGCACAAAUGUUCAGUUGAAAAAAAUUCUAAAUUGUAUUUAUGCAUCAAACUUAUCAUCCGUAACAUAAUAAUAUGUUUUUCUGUGAUAGGGACCGUUUGUAAAUAAAUGUCUCGGAUGUAUAUGACUACUUAGUUUGUUGCUUUUGACAGUGAAAUCACUAAACUUGCAAUGUGUCAGGACAACAAAAGCAUCCCAGCUGAUGGUUAACUUUACAAUUUCGUUGGUUUCUUUUUCCUAUUAUGUUGGAUGGAUUAUUUUAGCUAACAAAUAUCGCAACAGAGCGCUGACAAUAACUCUAAUAGAUUUAUAUAUACAUUUAGAAUUGGAAGUUUGGUGAGAACAGGAACAAGUACUUCUGUCACGCUAUUGGACAGUUAUACGCCAUUUCAAGAGAAUUGAUUUCUUAUAUUUCCCAUAAUCAGUAAGAUUUUAACUGUUUUGUCUACUUUGCAUUCAUACCUCAUUCUCCAUCUAACUUCUCGGUGCUACUAUAUAAUGAUCAAGUCAUUUUCUGCACAAAUAGGCAAGUGGGGAUGUUACGUUGGGUGCUUGGUUUAUUUGGCUUGGCUAUACAAAGUCUGUUGUGACUCUAAAACUUUUACCUCAUUUAACAUUGAUUCUGGUUCUUGGGAGAAUUGAAGGUUGUGAAUGAAAGGCACAAGCAGGGAACAUAUGUGUAGUUGUGUUCGACUCGUCAUGUAGCGGUAUCUGCAGAUCCGCUGAUCCCAUUGUGGAGGUUAACAUGCAAUGUGUUGACCUGGAAAUCAUUAUUUGGAAGCUACAUUUCGAGACAUUUCCUCAACAUAUAAAUAGACCAUAGACAGAGUUUGAUAUUUAUAAUACUCAGUGAUCAUGGAGUCUGUAGAAAACAGUCCUUUUGCAUAUUCUAUAUAGAACCAAAAGAUAUGUUCUUUUUUUGAUGAUUGUAUUAUGAUAGCUACUAACAUAGGAGAUGACUAGAGAAAGAGAAAUGAGUAUGAAACUCUUAUAUGGGUAGCUUUUGUAAACACAUUUGGGUUUAUUAACGGUUGUGACAAGCAAUUAUGUUUAUAGUAAAGGAAACCCGCCGCAGCGUCAAUAACAAAUGCGCCUGUUUUUUGGUUGUUUGGGAUUGAAAUAGCUUAUGGGUUUUCUAAAUCAAUAUAAUUGAUUUGACUAAAGCUAUCUUGGAUGACAAAAAGAAGGAUUGCAAGUUUAAUAACUUCUACUUUAGACUUUAAUUUCAACUAAAUUAUAAUCAGUCUUUUAUCCAUAUCAUCUUAGUUAUAAUCGUAAGGAUUUAUUAGAAUAAAUAAACAGUUUCAACAAUAUUUAAUAUGUGAUUUAAUAAACAAAAGAACAUGUAGGAUUUUUAGGAUUUAAAGAGAUUGGAGACAAUAGUUAAUGAAUAUGAAAAGAAUACGAAGCAGAUAAUGAAAAAUGAUUCGAACAAAUUAGUGGCAACACAGAGCUAAGCGAGAUAAAAAUAUCAAUCAAUAAAGAACGAAAGAAGAAUGAGCAGUGUUAAGUUAUUACACAAGCCAAAACUAAGACAAAUCAAACGAUAGAACGUGAAAACAAAUGUAAAUAAGACAAGAGGAGAUGAUGAAGAUAAAAUGCAUUGAAAAACUGAAUGCUAGAUUAGUAAGCAAGAGACAAAAAUAGAUUAAAAUGCAAAAACUCUGCGAUUUGGCGCGGGUAACGAUCCCUAGUUUAUUUAAAAGGGAAGUUGAGGGAUGCCAGAAUGUGCCAUCAUUUGUUCUCUACAGAGUGGACAUUCUCUACAGAGAUCUCAACCAUAUAUUAUUGUGUUAUAGCCAACAUUGCACUUAAAUCUGGCCAUCAUAUUCAAUAAUCAAUCAUUGUUUUUUCUGUGUAAAAUAUUAAUAUCAAUCAUAGUGUUUUUUUUUGUUGGUGUAAAUGUUAAGACCUUUUUUCACUAAAGAAUUCAUUGAUUCAAACUAGAGUUAUACACAUGAAGAGAUACAAAGCGUGAGUUAUAAGAACUCGUAGACCAAAGCCAACAGAAACCAUACAUUCCAGAGACAUAUUCAGAAGAGUCUGGGACUCCCAUCAAUGACGGAAAUGAUUGUCAUCUCUAAGUCGCUAACCAAUGACUCAUUGGAGGCACACGAAUUAUAAGAAAACCUAUGCGACCAAGGUUGAUAGUUCUCAAAAGUAGGCGGAGAAUGUGUAAAUGUAUUCACUUAUUAUUUUAUUUUUCGUAAAAGUAUUCACUUAUUAUUGCUUAUAACACACAAAAUUUAAGGUUCAAAGAGAAGAAAAAAUAGGCAGACCAGGUAAUGAAGCUCCGGAAUCAACAAUAUAUGUAUUGCCAGAGACAUAUUGAGAAGAGUCAUGAAUGAGAUACCGAACGAGAGAGGUAAGCCCAGGAUCAACGCUCUGUUGCAUCUUUAAGGGGACUGUCCGCUCGUUCACCAUCUUGAGCCACUCUUUCUGCAUAAGACCUUGUGUGAUCUCUGACUUGAACAGCCCCGGCGCAAUCGAGUUCACUCUGAUCUUGUAAACACCUAACUCAAUAGCCAUCAUCCUCGUCAUUAUGUCAACUCCGCCUUUGGAACAAGCAUAAGCGACUGCACCAGGCAGCAUACCACGGUGAACCCCCGCCAUCGAAGAGAUGUUUAUCACCGAGCCACCUUGUUUAGCGUCACGCAUUAAAAUACAGACGUAUUUGGAGACUAACCAUGGUCCGGUUAAGUUGGUCCUGAACACUUUGUCCCACUCGUCCUCCGACAAAUCCAAACUCGACUUGACAUUGCCUCUGAUUCCAGCAUUGUUGAUCAGCACAUCGAUCUUUCCAAAGAUUCCCCAAGCUCCCUUAACCGCUUUUCGAAUGGUGGCUGCAUCAGAUGCGACGUCUAGCUUGAGAGAUGCGGCUUGUGUUCCGGUUGAACAGAAGCUGUUGAUGUCAGAGCAGAGAGAGUUGAGGCGGUCGACACGACGUGCUGCUGCGAUAAUCUUACAGCCAGCUUUGCCCAAAUCAAGACAAAUUUCUUUUCCUAUACCAGAUGAAGCUCCUGUCACAAGAACCACUUUGUCUUUUAGGUCACGCCAUGGCUCCAGUUUCUUCAACACCUGCUUCAGAUGGACCAUAAAUCACACGAUCAAAAAGAUUACACAAGCCAGAUAUUAAAGACAAAAUCAAUGUACGUGAUUCGGAGAGAAAAAAAUGUAUCUCACAGUUCGAGGAUUGCUCAUAUUGUUGUUUUGUGUGUGUGUUCAGUUGAGACGGUGAAACCCAUAACACACCUUAGUAAAGCCUUCUCCGUUACCAAAACGACAUUUUAACGUGGCAAUGUAACGGGAGGCCUACUUGUCUUAUAGUUUAGCUGCUUUAUUUGUUUGUGGUUUGGAUUCAUGGGGCCACCAAACAAAUUAGGUUUUAUAAUUUUUCAAUGUAUAUCUGAAUUUUUUCUCCUUUUUAACAACUAAUAUUUUCGAUGUUUUCCAAGCAAUAAUGAUUUUCCAGUCUGAAUUAUACGCAAUAAAUACAUUUAAAGAUAAAAUUAAACCAAAACAAACAAAAUUAAUUAAUCAAUGAAACCAUGCAAAAGAGGAAGGUUUCAUAUUCUUUUAAACUUUGCUAAAGUAGAAACGCCAAAUAUUAAAUUAGGAAAACAUAAGAACCCAUGCACCCAGCCAAAAAUAAAAGUGAAACAAUGGUUUAUAGGAUUGGAACAACAGCAAUAUAGCAUUCUAGAAGGCUUCAGAGAUCCUGUUCGACCAAGUAAUCACCCAACCUCUCGACGACCAUGUUACAUUGUCCUGGAGUCACUGGUUCUUCAUACAGACCAAACACCAUUGAUUGUCCUGUCUUCUUGAUUGUGAUUCCUCCAGCCCCCUGCACAAGUUUGUAAUAAGAAUCCCGCGAAUUCAAAUCGUUUAUAACGGUUUUGAGUUUGAAAACUAGAUUCUUAACAUCAGAUAUCAAGUGAUUACAUAACCAUCUUCGCAAGAGUUGAUUCUCCUAAUAGGCAUGAACUUUUUUAUAUACGAAUUUGCAUUUUACAAUAUAUAAUAUGUUUCAAGCUUCAUCAUUUUUAAAAGGUAAAAGACGCCAAACGGAAACGGAAUAUUUAAUGUUGUGGGCUUAUAUGUAAAAAUAGAACAUUGCAAAAGUUAAAAAAAAAAUAAAAAAAAUAAAAAAUAAAUAGAACAUUGCACAUUAAGCUCAUGAGAAAGUAAAAGAAUAUUUAAGCUUCUGGGAAAACAUAUUUAAAGCUUCUCAUAAACUAUUUUCAAAAUCCUAAAACAAACACUGAACCGUUAAUCUAAAAACACUCAUAAUCAUACCUUUUUGCCACGGAUGACUGCACCAGGCUCGCCUUGGAUAACCAUAUACUUAAGUCCUGCGAGGAACAAGCCUGUGGGAGCGAGGUGACCAGGCUCAUCGAAAUCUUUCAUGAUAUCUGUCAUCUCUUGAGGCUUGAACUGUUUGAAGAGAAUGAAUCAUCAUAUAUUAUUUUGGGGUCAAAUUAAACUAAAUGUUUAACCAUAUCCAAAAUCAGAAAAAGUAGAAAUCACAAAGGUGAUCUGUUUAUGAAUAAAAUAGUGGUAAUAACUUGGGAAACAAGUAUAUAUCUUUCUCCAAUAAAAUAUUUUCUUUGUUCCAGUUGGAAAGAAAUUAGAACAAAAUCAACCAAAACAUGAUCCUCAUAUCCCUCUUUUAACAUAUGCAAGAUAGAGCAUUGAACAGAACACCGAAUAAAUUAAGAGUAUUACGCAGAGCCUACAAAUAAUAGUUUUAACGGUUAUAUAGCCAGGUUUAACAAAAUACGAGUAUGAAUCUUCAAGAACGCAGUCAUGGACGAUCAAGGAUGAGAGAAAGAGAGAGAUUACCUGAGGAAAAUUAGCGCUCUGAGCCCAAACGCUACCGUCAUGGCCGAUGAUAGCGGCAGAGGUGAGGUGGUGACCUUGGCCGUCACCGACAUCGCACAUCAAAUGCUCAUCAACGUAAGUUUGCCACGACAUUAUCUCGAUCUCUUUCUUGUUCUUCCUUUUUCUCUACCCGGUUCGUUUUUUAAGCUAUUUACGUAUGUACGUGCA
rnacentral:lncRNA from 1 species